AAAAAAAAAAAAAAAAAACACAAGUUGUAGUUAAUUUUCUUUUGAAUAUGGAUAUGUGCAGAGUAUCCUGAGGCAGCUAGUUAUACAAAGACCCACAUUUGAUGUCCAGAGAUGAUGUAGACCUAGCGUAUUCUUAGUAUCUAGAUCAAUCAUGUGUUAGGAGAGGAGGAUUGAGGCGUUUGUGUCGUCAACCUAUGGGAUACUGCACUUAGAUAUAUGCCUUGGUAUUUCAAAUACAUUAUUUCACUUAUUUAUUGGAGGGCCUGGGUUACACAUGAGAGAAAAAAACUGGAGACAAUCUCCUCCCUUACCUAUUAUCCAUACUUGAAGGAGGGCAAAUGAAGCCAUCUGAAGAAGGUUGCAGUGGCAGCACCACAUGAGCAUAGAGGUACUCCCGCAGACUUGAUCCCAAGAUAUAGAUGUAUGAUACACUUAGCCUUUAUGAUGCUUUUGCUGGGAGUGGGGGGUGAGGGGAACAAGAGGUCACUCCUGCUUGGGAUUCUAUGCAUUAUAUUCUCAUGGAAGCAAGUGAUGUCUUCCACUACCAAGGAAGCAUGAGGAGAGGUGUGCAUAAGUCAAAGUAGAAUACAUUAUGGGUGUAUUUUUAUUUUUUUUUGACAUAUUUGGUCAUGAGAUACAUGUAUUUUGUAACUUCUGACUUCUAUGAUUUUGGUAAAGAUAUUUGGUUGGUCGUAUUUUAAAUCUCAUUUAAUUUAAAAUAAACGAGAUGGAGAAGUUUGAUGAUCCUUGAGAUUAAAAUGCUAAGUGACUGUAAAAAAAUCUUUUUGGUGAGACCUACAUUACCCCUUGAUGAACUGACGGUAAUUAACUCCUAAUGAAAAGUAGGAUUCGAUUGUGGAACGAAGAAGAUCAAGAUCACAUGUCGAAUGAAGAAGAUGAAGAGGUUUGAUGUUCUUGAGAUGAAAAUUAACUAAUUGUAAGAAUAAAGAUGAAAAAAAUUAGAUUUUUCUUUGAUAGAAAUAAAUUAUCCCCAAUUAAACAAAGGAUAAUGUAUAAAAAACCUAAUGUUACACUCUCUAAAUUGAAGAGCCAACUUAAUGGUCAUCUCAAAUUUGGUGAUACUAGAUUGGCAUGUGUUGAGUAUUGUUCCCCAUCAAUUGGUUCAUAUGGAUGUGUUCUGUUCAAAGAAAAUAACAUUUCAAAAAGACAACAAUGUGAGAAUCAUGUUCUCUAUACGCGCACAAUAUCAUUCAAAGACAUCAACCAAAUUAUACAUUACAUUGGUUAUAUUUGUUUCAUGCUUUUGAAUCUUCCUCGGUUCGACCUAGGACAAUCGAAGAAAUCAUUCCAUGCGUUAUUUAACCCGAUUGAAAAACCACAUCAUCUUGCAAGAGGAGUGCUACAAACUUAACUCAUGUAUGAUCUUUUUGUGUCUAAUUCAUGUCUUAAAUUUGGUAAGGAACAAAAAAAAUCCAAGAGCCUAUAUAAGAGGAGAAAUUCACUUGAUUUAAUAUUUUAUUAUGGCCCAAGCCCAUAAUAAAACACACGCUUAACCCUAAAUCAACUAUUUAUCAUUAUAGAAGCUGCGCCGUAUCUUUCUUCCAAGUUCCAUCUGCUUCAUUUUCCCAUUCUUCUUCUUCCAUCAUGACAUGGAAAACAUGAAUUAUGUUAGUGUUGAGUCGUUCAAUCUGAACGGUGUUUCCAUCAAUACCACUGUUGUAUAUGAUCAUGAUGUAUAUGGGGAUGAGCCGCAUGAGGUUGAUGACUAUAUCUCGCGUUUCUUGAGCCCAGCUUAUGACACGACAAAGGUUUUUUGGGUCUGGUGCCGAGUGGCAUGUGCCUCCUUAUUCACCAUCGUCUAAAUGCAGCUCUGUGCACCUCUGCGAUGGAGUUUCGUAUCUCAUUAUUAUGUUUAGUGGUGCUUAUGAAAGGGUUCCCCAAUCACCGGUUAGUUUUCUUAAUCUUCCAAAUUACACCUUCGUUGGUUUUGGUAUCAAAGAUAAUGUGGCUAAGUUGGAGUCAAAUUAUGGUUGUGGAAUCAUAAAUGCUGUUGAACUUGGACCCUUGGCUGCUACUGCCAUGAAGAAACCUCGUUUGGCUUAUAUCGGUGUUGAUGAGCUGCUUUCUGUGGUCACUGGGCUUUCUCUUCGAAACCAAAGGCCUGUACGCAUCUUCUAUGAUUGGGAAAACCGUAAACAUUUCACAGAACUUGUUAAAACCGCUACUAUUAAUGUUUACUCUUAUCAAAAGAUUGGGAGAAAAUUGCUUGCUUAUGAUUGGGAGUAGUAGUGGUUUUCUAGAGGAGCUUAUGAUUGUUUUUUUGUUUGUAAAGCUCAUGGUAUUUUUUCUCUUUGUUUGCUGGUUUACUUGCACAUCAAGGUAUUAUUAGGGUAUUCAUAAUUCACCAAUAAAUCAUUGCUCCACAACUAUGUUUUAGGUUAUUUAUUAAUCAAAUUUCUUUUAAUGGAAUUUCUAUAGCUGCUGAUAGAUCUUCUUUUAUUCUAGUAAUCGUUUCAUUACUGUUUCAAGAAGUUGAAAACCUUUUUACCUUUCUAGAUCUUUUCUUUUAUUCUAAUUGGUUCAUAAUUGUUUUGAAAAUUGUUCUGUAGCCCCGUUGAAUUUACCAAGCCCAAAUUCUGAUUCAUUAAUGAAAAUCUAAGUUAUCUUACUUGUAGUGAAGUCUAGACAUGGCUAUAAACAAAAAGUAGAGGAAACUACUUGCUUAAGGCUUUACCAUAAUAAAAAUAAAAAUAUAUGAAUGUAAUUUAAGGGUUUGUUUGAGGAUUUCUAAUUUAAGAGAGAUAAUAAUGGAAUUUUGAUACAAGCAAGGCGGGAUCGGAGAUAGGUAUUAGUGUCCCUAGUUUCCCCCAACUCCCGUCUUUUGAAAUCGGGGAAAACCCAAAUCCAAUCAAUUUGUGUUUUGCCCGUCAAAGACAGGGUGGAUUCGGGAGGGUACCUGCGAGUAGCCGUGUACAAGUUCCGAUGUCAUGUCUGAUGAGGUCCCACAUAUUACAUAUGGUCACGAUCUGAUGGCAUGUUCCAGUUUUCUGUACUAAUUACACUUUAGUAAACUUAUGUCAGAAUGUGCAAGUAAAAUUAAUUAAAAGACGAUUUAUUAUGUUAACUAUUUGUACUGGUUUUGUUCCCUUCGAUGUUUAGUAUAUCAAUUAAAAACCAUUAGUAAUUUCCCUCAUUUUUUUCCCAUAGUGAACAAUUAGAAACUUCUAUGUUUAAGAGAAAUGAGUAAAUGUCCAACUCAUCCCCUCAUUUUAUAGGGUGUAUCAAUUUCAGAAUCAUAUUGGUGUCUUAGAAACGUUGUCAUGACAUAUUGGUCCCUUAAAUUGGUGUCUGAAAUUACAUGGUAUCAAUGAGGUACCAUGAUUAACAAAUACAUGAUGAAAGGACUAACUUGACAAGCUUUAUGCAAAAUGAGGUACUAACUUAACAUUUUUUAAUUGAAGGGGGACCAAUGUGAGGGUUGGGUAUUUACUUUUAAAGAAACAGAUUUAAGUUUUCACAUCGAAAAUGUUGAAACUAUAAAACAAUUAGAAUAAUUGGACUUUUUGUAAUUAUUAUAGUAAGUUUGUGCAUUGAGGAUGUUUAUGUUUUGCCACUUCUUGCAAAUGAUCAGUUUUUGCUUCUUGAGCCUUGCUUAAAGUAUGACUCUAUCACACUCUAUCACUUUUUUUAUAAACAAAAUGUAAAAUCUAAUUUAAUUUUAUAUAUGGUUUAUCCAAUGUAAAAGUAUUUAUAUAUCAAUGAUUAAUUACACAUGAAUAGAAAGCAAGUGGGCAACAAACUACUACGUCGUUAGGCCUUUUUAGGUAGCAAAAUCAAUCCUCGUAACCACAACAUUCAUUGACUUAUGAGCUUAACAUGAUGCAACUAUACAGGAAAUGAGGAAACAAAUCUUGUUCAUGGCCACGGGCUGUCAAAAACAAAUCAUGUUGUUUUGACAAAAGACAAGUUUAGUUUUGACAAAACAAAUCUGUUGGUCUUAUGAAAUUCCAAAUUGUUUACAAUUACUAUCAUUGAAGUUAAGACCUUCUAAAUUGCUACUGAAUUAGUCUGAUAAUAGUUUAUUAUGUUUAUUGCAUUGCUUUACUUCCUUUCAGAAGACUACUCUGCCACCAACUGAGUGAGAAAAAAACUCAAAUUUGAUUUUUGUGGUGAUAAUUUAUUUUUAAAUGGUAAUGUUAAUAGUUUUUUUUUAAAAGACAAACUAAUCCAUUAAAAAUGGUAUCGGCGAGAAUCACUUAGACCUUCUCCAAAGUUUUAAACCAACAUCAUCAGACCAACCCAAAUAAGCUGAUAAAUAUUAAUAGUUAACUAUAUUUUUACUCCAUCAUCCAGGUUUAAACUCAAAAUCUCUAAAUUCUUUUUAAUUAGUUCAAACAAGUUGAGCCUCUGUUUGGUUUGGCUUUUGCAAAGCCAGAAUCAAUUCUGGAGCAUUUCAAAAGCAAUUCUGCAAUAUUUAACAUGUUUGGUUUGGCUUUUCAAAAUAGCUUUUAUCCUCCAAAAGCAAUUCUAGUUGAAGCUACAAUUCCUAGCUUCUUACUUUCCUAGAAUCAAUUCUACACCCUCAAUUCUAUUAAUUCCAUCCCUGCCCUCAUUAAUUUUUCUAACCCUUCUCCAACCGAAUUUUUUCUUUCUGCAGUCUUAUUAAAAUAAAUGUUGGUGAAGAGAAUAACAUUUAUUUUCUGCAGUCUUAACUCUCAAUUCUAUUAAUUCCAUUCCCCCUUCACAGUCCACUUUUCUCAACCAUAAUUCAACCACCCUUCCCAAAUUUAAUCCAAAAAUUUAUUACCAUCAGCUUAUAUAACAACAUCAUCUCCUACAAGGAAAAAUUGUGGUGAAGAGAACAACAAGAAGAAAAAAUUCUGCAAUGAAAUUAUUGAGCACAGGCAAAAUAAUUAGUAUUGUACUUUAAAUUAUUAUAUCAAUAUUUUAGUACUAUAAUACACAUUAUGUUAGUUUUGUAAUAAUAUUUUAAUACUCUAUUGCACUUUAAAUUCUAUUAUCUAUUUGUAAUUUUUAUUUUCAUGAUGUUAGUAUUGUAAUACCUUAUAUUUUAGGACUAUAUUGCACUUAAUUAUCUUAAUUUAGUAAUUUCUAUUUAUUUGUAUUUAACUAUGUCUAUUUUGGUAAUUAUACAUUCAAAAGUAAUUUUGAUCAAAACUAUCCGAACAACAAUCAUUCUGUUUAAUCAAUUCUGCAUUAUUGCAUCCAAACAUAAAUCAAUUCUGUCAGAAUCAAUUCUACACACCUCAGAACCAAACACACACUGAAUUACUCGACCCUUUUAUGGUAAUAUUUAGAUAACCAGGUUUUUGUUUUUGGUGCAGGGUUCUGCUCUAUUGAGGAUUCACCCUUUUAGUCAUGACGUGUGUAACGUAAAUCACUCCUUACUUUUCAAUUUGGCGUUUAGUGUGUGGAAUUUUCUUAGGAAUCAUGGCUUGUGAGAAUCAUGGUUCAAUGUAUCUUUGAUUUUCACCCUUUUGUGGAUAUUUUUGCUAGAAAAUCCAAUCAUAAAAUUCUUGUAAAAUGUUACCUUUUUAGGAUUUUUAAAAAUUCAUAUCAAACAUCAAACAUACUUAAAAUUUCUAAAUCAAGAUUUCUGUGAAACUUAAAAUAUACUACAAGACAUGAUAAAAAAAACUAUAUGGAAUUUUUUAGGCACUAUACAACUUUUUCACAUAUUUUUGUCUAUUAAUUUUUUAAAUGAACUAGUUACAAACCCGUGUUUCGUACGGGUUCAAUAACGUAUUCGAUAAAAAAAUUCUUCGAAAGAAGAGAUGUUAAAAUGAUGGAACAUUGUGAUUCAUCAUAAAAUAUGUAUGGGCUGAUUAAGAGAGCAUAUAAUCAGUUUAUGAGAUUAGGAAUUGACAUAAUAUUUAGGAUGAAAACAAUUGGAACCAAUAAAGGAACCAAUGAUCUGUGAAUUUACGUAUUAUCCAAAAUUAUAAAAAAAAAAAAAAAAAGUGUUGUUGUUAUAGAGUUACCAAAAAAAUGAUUGAUACCCAUAUUUACAUCAAAUGAAAUCAAGCAAAGAAGUAGAAUCGGUGACUGAAGAUAAUCUAGUCUAGGAUUAGAGUUAAGGUGAUCUGUUGAAAGUGCGGAUCAUGAACACCAAAUCUUUAUUUGAAAACGACUUGAACGUGCAUAUUUUUAGGUGGCUUCUCUAGAUCAAAAAUUAAAUUAUCACCUACCUCAAACAUAUGUUCUCGGAAAAAUUUGAACCAUUGGCCGCCUAAGUAUUUUUUGUAACUUGCUCUCUGUGCCGUUAUCAAGCGACACUUAUACCUUUUUUGAGCUUGUUUGUCGAUGAGUGUGAUCGUUUUCCGUGUUCCUUUUAGAAAUGUCAUUGAUAUCUCAUUUGAGAAGUGCUAGGUAUAAAACAAAUUGCAUUGUUAAUUAGAAGUUAUAUAUAUAUAUAUAUAUAUAUAUAUAUAUAUAUAUAUAUAUAUAUAUAUACAUUUUUAAAAUAUUUACCAAAGCAUUAUAAAGAUUUACUGUAGGAAAAGAGCAUGUUUUAUUUUGUUCAAGAUAUUAGGAAAACAAUAGUACAAUUAACAUGAUACUAAUUGGAACUAACAAUCAGAUUAACGUUACAUAAUAGUUAGGUUUAUAAAAGAGAUUGCAAGCUUCAUAGACUAACCAAAAAGGGAUUUUUGCCAAUAUUUACACCUGACAAAAUGAAAAGAACAAAUGACAUCCCAAAAUCAAGAUGGUUUGUCCAAAGCGAUACGUCAAAAUAGUAGAAGUUCAAAUAGUUCAACAACAAAGAUCUACUUUGGAAUAACUCGAAUUUGCAAGUUCUUCUGUGACUUUUCGAGAUCAGAGAUGAGCUUACCACCUUCUUCCAUCACUCGCUAUCUGCAGAAAUUGAACCACUUCCCACCCAAGUAAUUUUUAUAGCUUGCUCUAUCGGCGGUAAUGAGGUGACAGUUAUACAGUCUCUGUGUCUGGUCAUCAAUGAGAGUGAUUGUUUUGCGCUUUCCUUUCAGAAUUAUUCUUGACACCUCGUUUGGGAAAUGCUAAACAGGAAAAUAACUGCAAUAUUAGUCUAAUGCAUAUUUACAUGGAUAAGAUGUAUUUGAAUAUAUUUACAUAUAAUUUAUAAAAUAAAGGUAGCAUGACUGAUUUUAAGCUAAAGAAAAUGUAGCAUGACUUCUAAUUUAUCUUCCUAUUAUCUUCCUAUAAAGUCUAGAUAAACGCAUGCAUGUACAUUAUAUGUACCCCGUUGACCAAUUAACAUUGUUGAAACAAAUGAAAAUUAAGCAUCACUUCCGCACGUGCAUAUAUAGCUAGCACCAUUUGACAUUGAUGUCUUCGAACAUUUGGUGCAACUCUCAUAAUACAAUCCAAACUGGUUAGGGUUGAAUUUAGUUGUUUUCCAAAUAGUGAUGCAGUAUGUUUCCUAACACAAAUUAUGCACAUGAAAUAAAGAAUAAUGCAAUAUGUAUUUUUAAUUUGUGCGUAAAAAAACUCAAAGCAUGUUUGUGCAUAAAAAAAGCAGACAUUGACUAAGUUUAUAAAUUCAGCAAUUGGCCUAACCUGAGACAGUUUGAAAAAUCGUUGUACGAAGUACGUUGAGAAGAAGUCAAACUCUGACUUAAGUUCUAACUGAAGCUUUGACUCUGAGCUUAAGAAGUGUUAAGGUCACAACAACAAUUCAAGAAACAUGGUCAAAAAACAAUCAAAUCGGAUUGUGAAAUAAUAAGUUACUCUAACACUGUAUUGUGAAAUCAUAAUGCAAACUUACUAAGUCUUAAACUUCUCAACAACCGGAUGAUGUAGGUUGAUGAGAAGCCUCGAACCUGACCAAUUGUUACAUAUAUUUGGAUUGCCGUUGACUACAAAAUGGAAGCAAAGAACUCAAGGUAUCUAGAUGGUAAAUGAUAAAGCUACAUAGUAUUUUUCCCAUAGUGUUACAUCAACUAUAUUCCCACUACAUAAAGAAAGACAUCUUUCGGGUCAUUAUCAAACUUAUACAAAAUUCUAUCGUCUAAUGCUGACAAAAUAGAAAAUAAUACAUUUUAUAUUUAGCAAUGUUUAGUUUUUUUGAAUAAGAAAAAGAUAUGCAUAAUUUAUAUGCCUUUUUUUUGAAGAAAAGACAUCUACAAUUUUACUUUUAAUUAAAAUCAAAAUUUUAUAAAAAUUAUAUGCAUUAACAAAAAAACAGACAUACAUGAAGUAUUACUCUAAAUGCUAAUAUGUGUGACUGUAUAUUUGCGAGGUUGAAGAAAGAAAAUAAAAAUAUUUUGUAUCAUUAAAUGAUAGCGUGAAUAAAAAUAUAUGUGAGGUUGUUAUGAUUAAACGAUAUUUAAAUUAAAUAUAUAAGUGAUAAAAAGAUAAUCAAAUUUCUUUGAAAAAAAUGUAUUAAAAUUAAAUGGAACCUCCUUAAAAAAUUUAAAUGAAACGGCUAAAAAAAAAUUAAAUGGAAGAAAAAAACAUAUUGAAAUAUAAUAUUAUAAAAUAAAAUAAAAGGUUCCCAACGUGAUCAUAGAUGCUUGUGAAAUAAAUUGUCGAGAAGUAGUUUUUUGAAGUACUCCCUCCGUUUUUAAAUAUAAGCAAAAAUAAUUUUUUAAGUUCAUUCAUUUAAUGAUGUAUGUGGUCUAUAUUAUAAACCACAUACAUCAUUAAAUGAAUGAACCUAAAAAGUCAAUUUUGCUUAUAUUUAAAAACGGAGAGAGUAGCAUUCAACAAUGUUUGGCCAAAGCUCAUUCCAUUCAAUUUUAUGCAUUAAAAAAAGUACAUUUUUUAGUAAGUACUUAAUUGAUAUUGUACUUGGUUUAACUUCUCCUUAAAAAUGUAGAAAAGUUGAAAAAGAACCGGGUCAAACGGUAUCUUAAUCUCCCACAACGGCAGUGUAGAAGCAACUGAAUUUGGGAGGAAAAAUUAGAAUAUAGUUAAAAAUAAAAAAAUUGGAAAAUAGUCAAAAGUUAUAUGCAUUAGCGUAACAAAAACACAGACAAAUGGACAUAAAAUAUUACUCUAAACGUUAAUGUGUAUGUGUAAAUAUUUGCGAGGUUGAAGAAAGGAAAUAAAAGUAUUUGGUAUCAUUAAAUGACAUUGUGAAUAAAAAUAUUUAUGAGGUUAUGAUGAUUAAACAAUAUUGAAAUUAAAAUAAUUGAUAGUGUGUUUGACCUAACUUCUCCUUAAAAAUGUAGAGAAGUUGGAAAAAAGUCGGGUCAAAUGAUACCUUAAUCUCCCACAACGGCAAUGUAGAAGCAACUGAAUUUGGGUGAAAAAAUUGAAAAAUAGUUAAAAGUUAUUAAAAAUAUAAAAAUUAUAAAAGUUAUUAAAAAUAUUAAAAUUAUAAAAUAAUUAAAAAAAAUGGCGAGGGGCAAAAUGAGAAAUGCACCCUAAAAAUGAUGAGGUGGCACUAAGCACACCUCAUCAAUAGGAAAUUAUUAAAAUGCCCCUUCUAAAGAUAAAAUGGUAAAAUCAUAGGCAUUUAUCUUUAUAAUAUAGUAAGAAGAUGCACUUAAUUUCAAGUUUGAUACAUUGGUGUAUUAAAAAAAUAAGUUUGAUAUAUAUUGCUUAGUUAGUACUUGAUCAAGUGAGCAGGUUUGUAACAGGGGCAGCAUUUACUUGCCACUGACCACGUACAGAGGAAUAGAAGAAUAUUGACAAAUUUUAAAACACAAUUUUGGCAUUGGAACAAAAACAACUAGGUUACUGAUUGUUCUCUGCUUUAUGCUAAACAAGUGAAUGAUUUUUAUUCGAUACAAUGUAUCUGCCAUUUACCAUUUAAGAGAAAUAAAACCAAAGCGUAUAAUAAAAGAAUGAAAGAGACCAAGCCAAAGUGGUCCUUCUUAACGGUGGCGUGUCGUAUAUAAUAUAACCUCUACCAAUGUGUUAACUUAGCAUAUACCUAUCCGUGAACGACCAUAUAAUUUGAAUUAUUUCAAUUAUAUUCUUUCACAAAGAUAUACUCUCACACACAUGUUCAAAUAAAACCAAAAUUAUAAACAAGCACGGGUUGUCUUUAUUCCUUCAUAAAGAAAGAUACAUGUGUCCUUUAUCAGAUCUAUUACAUCAUAUAUAUGACCAUAUCACACAUAUCCUUAUAGCUUGUAUAGCUUUUUCUCCUUUUGUUUAUGUUCUUCUUUUAUCAAUGGAUUGCAAUUGCAUAGCGUGCAGGAUAUAAAGAAGCAUUUAAACUUCUAACUCAAAAUAGAUAGGAGUGGUUGAAUUGUUCUUCCCUAUUUAUAACCUUGCUUCCAUAUUACAAAACUUUCACCAAAAAUUCUUCUAAUUGAAACUAUAAUUUGUUUUACAAGAACAAAAUUGAAACUAUAAUUUGUUUUACAAGAACAAAACAUAGUAAGACUUCUACACCAGUGGUUCCCUUUUUAAAAACCUUAACCUAACAACUAUACAUCAGUGAAAUCAAUGCACAUUCCUUCAUCAAAAAGAAACAAAAAUACAAGACAAAUGAGAAGUCAAAAUCAUAUGGUUAAAAAUAGAUAUAGAAGAAAACUCUUCACUAUUUUUUUACCAUUUCAAUUUCCCUCACGGCACAACCCCACCAAUGACAUAACUUUGUUCCUUUUUUCUUUCAAUUCUAUACUAAGAUACUAAUAUUAAAGUAGAACAACAACCAGACCCUGCAUUGGAUCAUGAUCCAUCAUGGUACAGUACAAUAAUCAUGAUUAUGUGGGCUACAUGGAAAAAGAUAAAGUGGACUUUACAAGUAUGAUCAUCACCAAUAUCACCACCUAUCAGUCAUAUUAGGAAGAAAAAUUACAUAGUUGUUACCUAAGUCUUAUAGAAAAAGUCAGCAACAAAAUAUACUACUAAAAAAAGAAAUAAAUAACAUAGAAAGCAAUAAUGAAGUUAUUUAUCAAAUCAUAUAUAGUUAUCUACUUUUCUUUCAACAUAUGUGAAGGAACAACAUCUUGAAGUAACCCAUUAUCCCUAAGAAAUGCAGUUGUUCCUGGAUUACAAAGCUGUACUCUCUCUUGAGUAGUAAAAGGUGAAUUCUUGAAUGAUGAAGAAUUGUUAUAAGGGUGACUCAAAGAGGACAAUGUAUUAACAAGUAGUUGUUGAUGUUGAUAGGGUUGUUGAUGAUAUUGUGAUAAGUAGUUCCCUUGCAAAACUGAACCAAAGUUAGUGGUUGAAAAUCCACCCGAGACUACACCGGCGGGUUGUGGUAUUUGAACUCCGGCAAAGGCGGAACGGGACAUAGUUGGACUUGGAUGUGUAUGUUGGCCUUCAUAAGUUGUGACUACAAUGCUUGGAUCAGUAUAAGAACGUUCCACACGUUUCUUGACAUUACAUGAAGCAGUGGUGCAACGAUAGUAGCUCCUACACAAACAUAAACACAUAGCAUAUUCCAAAUGUUACUAGUUUACUAAAUGUUUUUGGGUCUAAAAUCUAAAUUAAUUAAACCAAAAAGAGUGUGAACUCAAAGAAUUUUUAUGAGUGGUACCUUGGAAAAGGGCUAUUUUUGACAGCUUUUUGACCGUACUUUCUCCAUCGGUAUCCAUCUUCCAGAUGAUCAACCUCGCUUUUCGUCAUGAAAGCAAAUCUUGGUUCUCUCUGUCUCUUUAGAUUUGUCUUCUUCGUUUUCAACCUAAUCACAUAUAUACAACCAGAUCCCAUAAUCCAUCAAAUCUUGAUUAGAACCAUCCUAAUUUAAUUAAUCAAUCUGAUCAAAACAAAAUCAAAAAGCAAGUCCGCACCAACAUAUUCAUUUGCUAAUUAAUCUAAUCUAAUUAGAUUAUAUAAAAGCACAUACGUACUUUAUACCAUACCACCUCAAAUUAUAAAUGUUUGAAGUGAGAUUCCAACAACCAUUCACUUUUUUUGAAGUUAUUUGUACUAACAAAAAAAACACUAGAGAGAAAUGAAAUGAAACUCAAGAAAACCAUAACCCCACCAAAAAAAAAAAAUGUUUAAAUAUUUGUCUUCUUCAACACAGCUGAAAUAAAAAUGUUCACGAGUAAACACCAAAAAAAAGAGAAAAUUAGAAGAAGAAAAAAACCCACUGUUUAUUUGUCUUUUGCUUUUCUUCUUCUUCAUCUUCUUCUGCUUGGUCAACAAGAGUUUUAUUAUCAUUGACUGCUUCACUAGAUGCUGAUGAAAUCGAACAAGAAUUAGGAGUUGCAGGUUGUUGCUGGUUCAAAACCUCAGAACACUCUUUUCCAGUGGUGUCAGAUGAAGCCUUAACAGUAGACAUGGUUGAUAGUUGUGGUACAUCAAGGAGAGGACUAUAGUCAUGACCACCAAGUAACUCCAUAAACCCUAAAGAAGAACUCCUUUCAACCUCACAGAAAUCAAACACGCUUGAAAAUUGAUAACCAUUAUUUAGCAAAGAUGAGGAGGAAUCAACAACAUCCUCACUCUUCACACUUAGACCCAUGUCUUUCUUCUCCAUAUGAUAUCUCAAAUGCACAAAUCCAAAUCCUUCAUUUGUAGACAACACGCUCUUGUGGUAAUAGUAAGUAGUAAAAGUUGAAGAGAGAGAAAAAAGAGAGUUUUGGGUUUGCAAGAAAAAAGAGUGAGAGAGGUGUGUGAAAGGAACAAAGGUAUAGAAAAUGAAAGGGGAUAGUUGACCGGCAAUUGUAGGUCACCAAAUUGUACUCCCUCCUCUCAAUUUAAUUGUCACAUUUGGAUUGUUGGCAGCUCUAGAAGAAAGAAAUUGUUAGUUUAGUUGAUUUUAAUGUGAAAUGAAAUUUGAUAAAUAAAAAUAUACUAUGAAUAGAAAAAUAUAAUAAUUGUUUCAUUAGUAUUUUAAAGAUACAUUUAUUUUGAGAAAGAGAAAAAAUACAAAAUAACAAAAAAGGAUUUGUUAACUCUCUUGUUAACAUGAAAAAUAGGUAAUCUGAAGUUCCACAAGUACCAAGUAACUACGUACCAUUCAUCUACUUGCGCCGUGAGAAUAGCUCAGUUGGUAGGACAAUGCAUUAUUAUAUGUAGGUGUCGGGGUUCAAAUCCCAGACACCUCACUUGUUCACCUUAUAAAGUCAAUUCUAACCACUAAGCUACCUGAUAAAAACAAAAUUGUUCCAUCCAAAGAUUAAACUCUUGUUAUUCUAAUCAAUUUUUCUCUUUCAUAAAGCUUCUCAAUCAUUUAAGUUCAAUUAGUUGGUUUAAAAGUGACAAUUAUUAUGAGAGGAAUGAAGUAUAUACUCUCUAUCCUAAAUUAUAAGUCAUGAUUUUUUUUCCCCCAAAUUAUAAGUCAUUGUAUAGUACUAAUGAGACAUUAAUGCUUUUUUUUGUCAAGUAGCCUAGUGGCUAGAACUCACACAAUUAAAUGUGGAGAAGUGAGUGUUUGGGGUUCGAAUAUCGGCUCCUGCAUAAAAUAUCCAUUGUCUCUACCAAUAAUGAAGCUAAAUUUAUGGGGACUUAAUGUUGUUUUUUCUAAUAUAUCAUUAACUAUUUAUUAAUUUUUUUUAUUAUCUUGAAUGGAGAAUAAUUUUGUAAUACAACUCCUAUUUUUUUUUCAUACAAAAUUUAUUGUACCUUUUUAAUUUGUGUGAUAUAAUUUGUCAAUAAAAUUUUGUGUGAUAUAAUAUGGGACUAAUGAAAUAAAAGGUUAUCAUGUACUCGAAUCGGCAUCUAAUAUCGCAUUUCCUGAUCUUUCAAAACAAAAACAAAAAACAUAGUAUUUCUUGUAUUUUAAAGUGCAUUUUUAUUGAAAUAAAAUUAUAUUUUUGCUUCUUAAAGAAAAAUGAAAUAAAAGAAAAGGUUGAGCCGGUGGCAUUCAUUGAAUGCAUAAGGAGGGAGAGAGUUGAGUCGAUGCAUUCAUACGUGAUGUUUGACUGCUUAACAGGUUUUGUGUGUGAACGGGGUUCCGCAUACACUGCCACGUUCUGGAUUCUAACGCCGUUUAAUCAAUUUUUCUUAUUCAAAUCAAUAUUUUAAUUUAUUUUAUAUUCUCAAAAUGGCUUAUUGAAAUAGUUUUCGGUCGUGUGCAUGUGAACCACAAAAUCUGAUCAAUCCUUGGUCCACUUUCUUUUGUUUUCUUUCAUUUUUUUGUUUUGUUUUUGUACUCGAAACUUUUGCAGCACGUAUCAAUUCGGUAUUUCACCAUGUUUUUUAAAUAGAGAAAUGCUGAUAAGAAGUUUUUAAAAAAAAUAAAAAAUUAGAAAAUGGUGCAUUUGUUAUCUUUAAAUUUUAGAAAGUGAUUUUUUUUUUACGUUGAUUUUAUCAUUUAUUUUCAUUUUUAGUUUCUUUUUUGACAAGUGACAUUAGGGCACUUGUCAAUAAGAUUUUUUUUGUUCUACGCGUGGCAAAAUGGGUUACGUUGGUCGGAUUGAUCCGUUUAAUGCAUACCGGUUAAAUUGAAAUUUUAAAUUCAGCCUUGUAAGUUAAUGUCUCUUUUAAUCCGUCGAAGAAAUGGGAUCACGGGGCAGUUCUCAAGUUGGUUUUAAAAAUAAAUUGUCGUUUUUAUUGAGAAAUUAUGUGAAUUCACAUAAUUUCUCUAAUGAGAUCUCACCACUCAAAAUGUUGUUUCUCAACUCAAGAAUCUCACUCAAAGAAGUUUCCAAUUUUCAUAAUAGUUUCCUCAUUUGGUUUUCAAGAUUACCCAAAGAAAUGAUGAAUGAAAAGCUUAUAUGGUACACAAAUGCCGAAGAAAACGUGUUGUGUUUGCCCUGAAUUGUAUCGCGAUUUGCAGUAAGUACACAAUAUGGUUGUUGCCGACUUGCUCAAUCGCACCGCCUUAUCCAAUCGUGUCGCAAUUUUUAUGAAUCAAAACAUCAUCCAGGCACCACCAAUCUUGUCGCAAUUCAGAACCUUCAUAGCAAAGUAAUUUUGGGAUGAUGGUUUGAGGUUCUCAUGUAUACGGUAGUGAUUUUCACCUUUGGAUAUACAACAUAUAUACGACACCUUGUAUUUAUCAUUUAAAAAAUUUAAAUAGAACACUGUUCUUUUAAAAAAAAAAUACAUUUUUAUUUUAUUAUGUGCCUCAUUUCACUUAUAGAGCCGAGUCUCUGAUUUCGUAGAAACGACCCUGCAUAAAUGUAUUAAAAAAUAAAUCAUUUUACGAUUAACUCACUUUUCACAAUCGAACCAAACAUACACAAUAUUAUUUCAUUAAUAUUUUCAAAACUACUUGGUGCAGAAGUUAUUGGUGUACGUCCUUUUUAUGUGUCACCUAUAUAUACGUACUAGGUCGAUUAUUUCCCAGAGCAUUUUUUGUAAUGAUACAAAGCUUCUAGAGUUUCUUAUUUACAAGAUAAGAUGAAAGACAAUGCUCUGCAACCGCAUUCACAGCCAAGAAGAAGCUUUUAAAAUGUUUUGGCACUUGUACAUCACAAGUCACAACCAAUAUUUGGCCUGGCAUCGACUUUAUUCGGACAUUUUUUUUUCGAAAAAAUGUAGCAGAAAAUCUCACAUACAAGUAGGUAUUAAAAAAUUCGUGAAUUAUGAGUUAGAAAUGUUCAUAUCGUUAACAUCUUAGUUGUACUUACAAAUUCUUCAUACAUGCGUUUCUACAUUUUUGAAGAAACUUAAAGGAAAAUAUAUAGUGAUACUGAAACAACCAAAAGAAAAUCCAAAGUUUUGAAAUAAAAUUGUAUGACGUACCAUAACUGUUCUUAUAAGAAAUCUACAUUUUAGAUUCACGAAAAGUUAAGUUGUCGGUAAAACAAAAGGCAAGUUAAUCUGCAUGUGUGUUUGUUCACAUUAUAAAUCACAAAAGGAGAAAAAGUGAUGGGAUUCAUUCAACAAAAGCAAAGGAUGUUCACAACACAAGCAUGCAAAAGAAUUUGGGAAUCCUUUUACGUUCGUGCGUUUCUAUUUGCAAAGAACUGAUCCAAUUUUAGAUUGCCGCAAAAGGAUUGAUGUACACUUUUUAUUGGUGAGUGAGUGUGUUGAAGUUUUUUUUUUUUAACCGUAUCCUUUACAUGCGCAAUUACGGAAACUAAUCAGUCAAGCCUGAGAUUCAAAUGGAUUACAAACACACGCUUAAGAGUUUUAAAGUUGCUGCAUCUUAAAGUUGAAUUUAAACUGAGUACAGUUAGAAGAAAUUUGUGUCAUCUUAUCUAAAUGUUUUUGUUACGUUGAAAUGAAGUCUGAUCCAAACAUUUAGGAUUUUAUUUAUUUUUUGACCAAGCAUUUACGGAAUAAAAGGUCCUCUACAAAUUUUUUAUUUUAAAAUUAAGAUGAAAAAUGAACAAUUUUGACCUGACACGUUUUUUUUUUUGGUAGUGUACUUGACACGUUUGCUUUUGUGGUCUAUUUUAAAAUUUUCAGUUUUACGGGAUUUAGGGAUGUUUUACAUAAAAUACUUAAUAGAUUAUUGCUAAUAUGUACAUAGGGAUAUAAAAGUAUCAAUUUGUUGCUGUGAUUGGGGGUUGCUUAACUUGCUUGUCAGAUACGUUUGGGGAGCUCAAUAAAUAGACAAAAUAAAAUAACUCAUCAAACAAAUAAAAUAAGAUAAAGUUAUUAAUAAUACAAAUAAUAUUUUAUCUUGUCGUCUACAUAAAAUAGUUUUCAACUAAUUACUGCAUCACUAAAUUUGUAAAUAUGUACACCUCAUAUUUUUCUAACUUAUUCAAUAUUUCAUUCUAUAUUACUUUGUAAAAAAUAUAUUAAUUUGGAUUUGUGUAUACGGUAACAAAGUAACCGCGUACGCAUGUAUUAUUGCCGGCCUAUAAAAUGAAAAUGAAUGGUUUAAUUGGCAGCAUUAGAUGUUUUCCAUUGCCUCAUGAAUCAUGAUUUCAUGUAUAUUUGAUCCUAGAUUUCUUACCCCACCUAACCGUUACUUUUGAUCACUAAUGACCCACUUGGUGUGUUGAGCUUUAUCCUUUUCACGAUCAACUUAAAUAAUCAUAUCUUCUCUCUCAAUCUGUGGGAAGACCUUCUAGAAGAUUGACAUAAUUUAAGGCAUCAUUUAGCUAAAUCCAAUUUGUGAUGGUGUUGUGAAGCUUCUCGUUGUAGAUUUUUUUUAAAAGUUCACUGUAGUAAUCAACAGUGGUAUAUCAUUAUUUUAAAUUAAGAAUCUAUUCAGCGUUUGAAUGAGUUUGCGUGCGUAAUAUAAGGUCAAUGUCUCCGGUCUUCAGCGCACAGAGAUGGAUUGGUACAAAAAUAUUGGUUGAGUUUCAUACUAAGACAAUUCUCAUAAUUAAUUCUUUUUGAAUAAAAAUACUCUAUAAAAGUUCUGUCCUUGCAAGCACACUUUAAUUUGUAUGAACAAUGCAUAUAUACUCCCUCGGUUUUAUAUAUAAUGUUGCUUGUUGGUUUUGCAUAUUAUAUAUUGCACAAAUUUAAUCUACAUUAUUUCUUACUUUAUAUGUUUCAAAAAUAAUUGAUUAUUUUCAUAUUGUAAUUUUAAUUUUUUUAAUAUAUUUUACAUGAAACCUAUUAUUUUACUGUGUUUGCGUAAUAUUAAUAUUAAUAAAAAUAUUAUAUUCUUAAAAAAGUAAUUAAAAAAUAUAUAUUUUACAUUUUGGUAUCCAAAAACCGAUCAAAAUUAAACCGUAUAUAAUUGAAUCGGAUCAGUUUAAAAUUUUUAAUAUAGUCAUCCAAAUCGAAUUGAACCACAUGUGAUUAUCCAAUCAAACCGCACCGCGAGCACCCCUAUUUACUUAGUACUAUGUAUUCUCUUUAAUCUCAAAUAUAAGCAACAUAGGUGUGUUUGUUGAUAUUAAAUAUAAACAAAAAACAUUAUUCUUUAAAAAUGCAUUACUUUUUUUUUUAUCAAUUAUAAAACAUUAAAUGAUAUAUAUAUUUCUCACUCAUAUUCCCCCCCUCUCUCUAUCAUAUUUCCCCUCGCUCCAUCAUUUCCCUCUCUCUUCUCUUUUCGCCCUGCCUUCUAUAUAUUUUGGAGUUUCGGAGAAUUGGAUGCGACAAUAUGUCAAUGUUCUACGGCCGUAAAAGAGGACGACACAACAUCUCCAUCUAAAAAUUUAAGACGUUAAGAUACAAAUCGACUCUUUUAUAUUUACCUUUUUACAAACCAAAUGAAAGCUAAGACAUAUUUAUACCAUAAAUUUUGCUUCUACAUAUAUUUAUCAAAGAAAACUAAUAAUAGGAUAUAUGUGGAGUCAGUGUACACUUUUUCGAUUUUUCAAUCAUCAUUAAACAACACCAACAUAUAUAUAUACAUAAAAUAAUAUUUUCCUGAAUAAAUUAUUGUUAUUUUCUCUUUCAAAAAAUAUUAUUUUUUUCAUCCCCGAAUUUUAUAUAUUCAUGUAACUAUUUAGUAUGUGGAAUCCAACCAACAUAGCCCCACCGUUAACUGUCUCCUUCCAACAAGGGUGGGGGGAAAGUUUUUGUGUGCACGCAAAAUUUCUGACAAAUUUCAUAAUUUUUAAAAAACGUUACAUGAAAUAAUUGAUUGAGUAAUUAUUUCGGUGGUACCCUUGUCAUACAUAUACCUUUCAAGCAUUCAGAUUUUGCUACAAGAAGCUGCAAACAUGGAAAAAAUAGUACAUAGCAUAAAUGGUGAAAGAGGAGGAGCAACGCCAACCCAUGACUUGGUGUUGGUGUAGUACUAUAUGAUUGAUGAUCGACUAGAAACUUUUUCUCUCUGUUUAUCCCAUCCUGUACUUUGUGAUAAUGCUGACAUUUGUCCACAACUUUGUUGAUUAUGAUUAGUAUAUUCGCCGAUUAAGAUAGAGAAAUUAAUAUAUGUGUACGUACUACUCCAUCAUCACCCACAUCAAUUAAUGAACUACUAUGACAUUUCAUUGAGAAAAUGCUCUAGGUGGUGUGAUUUUACAGAUCUAUAACUCACAAAUAUUGAUAAAUCAUUUUCAUUGACUACGUACAUGUUAUUUUUAUUUUUUUUACUAAUUUACUUGUUAUCAUUUCAUGCGAUUCUCAUCAAAACAAUUAAACUUAAGUGGUUGAUGAGUUUUAUCAAUAAAGAAUUAUUCAAGAGAAAUUUAACUUUGAUUUUUGGAUGGAGUAGAUUCUGGCUAUAUUUAACCUAUCUUCGAGCUGAUUCUCCUGACUAUCGGAGAAUUAACAUAAAAAAAUAAAUGUGAUUUCCUCAAAAUACAUAUAGAAAUUAAAACCGUCUUUUUUUUGUUUUCCUAAACAAAAAUCAUAUAGAAAUCCUUUUUUUUUCCUACAAGGAAGACAAGUAUUGGCCUAAUUUGUAGAAGAUUACUGUUUCGUUUUUCUAAGGCUUGGUUUAGAUGGAGGGGAAAAGAUAGUUUUGUUGGGUGGAAAAUAUCGAGAGAAAUUGAGAAAUCAUUCAUAUUUUUUGAAAGAAUGUUUUUUUUAGAGAAUGAUAAACUAAUGAUAAUGAUUCAUAUAUUUUUAAUAUUAAGAAUAUUAUAACAAUAUGAAUUAAAUUUAAAAAAUUCACAUAAACCCUCCAAAAAUCUCAUUCAAUACAACUUUUAGUUCCACAAAUGAGGAGAGUUUUGUACUUAUAUAUGAAGAAAAAUUAACCCCCCAAAGCUCUCCUCUCUCAAUGUCCUCUUUUCUUCCACUUGCUUAUUCCUGUUUUUCAAAACAUUCAUUCCAUUCCGUUUUAAACUCGCAAACAAAGCCUAAUGGUUUUAUAGUAUUUUUUCUCUCUCUAAAUAAAAGUAGGGUAAUGCUAUCUAGGUGCCCCCGGGGCACUGGUUAAGAAGCAAUAAAUUCAUAGAUUCUACUUAUCUACCUUAAUAAAUUGAGAAAUAAUAAGUAACUAAUUAAAAUUAAUAAAAGUUGUGAUCAAUAUUCUCUAAAGGAUGCAGUUUUGUUUUGAAGAGGAUUUAAUUACACAUUUAAUGAAUUUGUAUUUGAUAUCUUAUUUGAAUGUGUUUUAUCUUUGGAAUUGCUAAUUUAUUUUGGACUUUAAAAUAUCUUGUCUUUGUUUAAUUAUUUCAACAACUUUUAAUUAAAAAAAUGAAAGAAGACAAUAUGCUGAGUAAAAUUCAAAGGAUGAAAAAAAAUGGUGCAAAAAAAAAUUCACAGGAAAAAACAAUACUGUUGUGAGGAUGAGGAAAAUUUAUAAGAAGAAUUAAAAUAAUAUUAUGUUUCUAUUUUACAGGAUAUAAAUUGGUCAACUCUCAAAAUUAUAUAAUAGUUGUGCAACAUGAAGAAUGACAGACAUAGGAAUAUUGAUAGAGGUAAAAAUCAUGUGGUGAUUAAAUGAGCUAGUGCUAUUUAAUUGUUUGACCAACUAUUUUUUUAUUUUAUUUUUUUGGUAAAUAACCUAUUAGUAGUAUUUUUGUUAGGCGUUAUAUUAUACUCCAUUCGGUCCUUUUUAUAAGAAACAAAAUAAUCAAAUUUUUUAAUCCUUUUUAUAAGAAACUUUGACCAAUUUUCAAAUGUAUUAGAAGUUAAAUGUCAUGUGUGUCCUUAUUUAAGAGAAUAUUAAAAGUAAGUAAAUUGUUGUAAUCAAAAUAAUUAAUAUAGGGGCAUUCAUGCAACGGUACUCGUUUGUGAAAAUAAUGAUUUUUUUUUUUGUUUUUGCACCGGUUUUCGACCCAUCAAAGGUGGGCGAUUAAUCUGACUCGUGCGUAGAGGCAUGUGCAUUGACCAAACAUUGUUACCCCUGGGAAUCGAACCCGAACUCGAUGAUGAUUGAUAAUAGUGACACUAAUUUUAAUACUAUUUCCAGUUGCUAUUAUAAAUUAUUAUUUUUUUAGAUUUAUUCAAUAAUGUAUUUAAUUUAUAUUAUAGUUUAAAUGUAUUAGUAAUUCAAUAAACCUAAAAAAAACUAUUCUUUUUUGUUUAUAAUAAUGCUUAGAAGAAGAGGAAAUCCCUAUUUUAAAUAUCCGUUUUAGAGGAAUCACUUUUAGUGGUGUGACCCUACCAAUUCUUACAUGUUUUGAAAAUUCAAAUAUUAAGAAAUUAAUUAAUCUAAUCUCAAACAAAAUUCACAACCUUAUUAUUAGGAUAUGCAAUGAAAAUUACUCUUCUGUUCUCUAAAUAAGGCAUUUGAAUGUUACGUAGCGAUUAGUUCAGGAGAUAACUCAUAUCUAAGAGGUAAUUUAUGAAUAAAUAGUAUGUGAAUAGGAGCCCGGUCCCUAACAUUUAUUUUCCUUUAUAUAAUUAUAUCAUAUAUUUUUUAUAAAUGAUGGAUAACACAUGCAUUAAUUAUGACGAUUGACAUCUCAGCUAUCGCCGCCUCAGUCACCAUAAUAUUAUAAUCAGUGGCGGAGUCAGGAUUAUUGUAAAGCCCGGGCAAAAAAAAAAUCAACACAUUUAUAGGGGUUUACAUAAGAAAUUGCAAGCAAAUAAUAAAAAAAUCUAAAAAAAUUGCCCAAUUUAUAGGGGUUUAUAUAAGAAAUUCAUAGGAAUUUACAUAAGAAAUUGAAAAAAAUUUGGGCCGGAGCCCGGGCGAGUGCCCGGGGUCGCCGGGCCAUAGAACCGCCCAUGAUCAUAAUAGUAUAAAAUACACUUCCCUCAAUAGAAUGAUAUGUUACUUAUAAAAAAUCACACAAGAUCAAAUUUGAUGUCGCAAGUAUGAAACUUUCAUGAUGACAAUCAUAUUAUAUUAUGAAAUCUAAAUACAAAUUAAGAUUAGCUUUAAUUUAAAACACCAAAAAGCAUCCUAAAAAAAAAUAAUAAUAAAUAGUCUCUUGCAAAGGAGUAGAGAUUUUGUUUUUUACGUGUUGCUUCUCUGAUUUACAUUUUAAUUAUAAGUUUAGCAUUUUGGCCAAUGUUGGGGGUGGGAAAAUGAAAGCACUUGGCUAUGAAAAAGAAAUGUUGUUGAGUUAUAAAAUAAAGAGAGUUACUUUUCCCACCCUAUUUCCUUCUCGCACGCCCUGCAAAAUUUCCAAAAAUACCCCUUGUUCGGAUUAUAUAAUCCGGACCCGAUUGUUAGUGUUUCCGGAAAACGAAAUCCGGACCAGAUGUUAUGUGAUUUUUUGUGUCUUUCUUAGAUGUCAAGGGUCUCUGUUGACCGUUAUAUGAACCUCACACAAGCUGCAAUGCAAUUGCAGGAUUCAUAUGAACGGUCAACAAUGACGAUGACACCACCGACACCUCUAAAAAACUAAAAACAUUUGAAGAAAACGGAAGAAAAGAGGUGAAGUGAAGAAUGAAGGUAUUUGUUGAAGAUGAAAGCCUAUUUAUAGCCUAAAACAAGUCAUAGAUCAUUAAUACAUUCAAUGAAAACGUGUUAGUGGUAGUAACCGUCCAAACCCACAUUAAUGGCUCUCUUUCAAAAGAAUCCAAUGUUGAAGCUUUCCGGAUUUUACAUUCUGGAACGUCCUUAGCCCUACAAGAAGUACCAACUUUUCCCUCGUUCACUAUUAUCGCAUUAAUCCGGAAAAUAUACUCCGGAAAACAGAUGUGCAUUCCGGAUUUUAUAUUCCGGAAUGCAUCAGUCAUGGCCGGAAUGCACCACACGUUUUUGUCGGUGGUCAAGUCAAAAAAACGCGUUUUACCACGUUUUUUGACUGCAUUUAUGAUCUCCUAACCGUUUUUGACUCACCCCUCCCUAUAAAUAGCCUUCCAAACCCCACCAUUUCUCACACCAUCCCCUCCCACCCUCUCCUCCUAUUCUUCCUUCUACAACGAUGGUUUUCCAUCGUUGGCCUUUCAUAGAUAAGGGCCUCGUGGAAAACUUUCAGGGUUUGUAUGAACGGUCAAUGAGGAUGGAACUGCGCUGCAAUGAAGUGCGGCUCAUAUGAGGGUCAUGCGGGUUAGUGUGGUUCUUAGCUUGGCCUGUCUGGGCGUAAGUUUGAGCACCCCUACCUCCUUCAGGGGCAUUGUUCUCUUCUUCCCGCCCUCCUCUUCCCUCCUCCUCCGGUUGACCUCCAAUAGGGAAACUACUGAUAUGUCCUAUCACAUAGCAGUGGUUAGACUCUUAGGAGAUUAGAAUUAGGCUCUUAGGAGAUUAGAAAUAGAUUUAGGAUCUUAUGUAAUAAGCUUAAAAAGCUUGAAAAUUAUUGUAAUGUAUUUUUCAUAUAUUAAUAAAAUGAGUUGUUUUAUGUUUGUGUCUUUUUAUUUCUGUUUUUUAUUUUAUUUGCAUUUUAUUUUACGAUUUGUAAAGCUUAAAAUUGUAAAAGUUAUGGAAAAACACUAUUUCAGAUACAUCUACAAAAUUCUAACAAUGCAAUCCGGAAAGCAAAAUCCGGACCAGGGAUAAAAUUGGAAAAACAAUAGGGCGCGCGAGGAAAGAUAUAGGGUGGAAAAAGUAAAUCUCUAAAAUAAAAAGGAUGAAAGGCUGAUGGGCUGAAGUCUUACAAAUAGUUGAGCCCUCUUUGCGAUUUGUACUAUAUAUACUUUCUAGAAAACAAAGGUUUCUAUAUACACCUCCACAUAUAAAACAAAAUUUUGGACUCCCUACGAACAUGGGCUCUAGGCCGCCGCAUCCCAACCUAUGCCUUGGGACAUCCCUGGUGAAUAGCCUCAUGAACAAUAACACUUCAAAUUGACAAACACAAACAGUUUUUUUUUUUUUUUUUUUUAACAUUAAAGAUAGAACAUAAUUCAACAAUUAUAGUAUGUAGUCAAAUCCCUAUGGACAAUGCAUAAAAUAUGCAAGGUCUGGGGUUCGAACUCUGACUACCACAAAAAAUGCAAAUUCUAUGGUACACCUAAAAAUUUGAGUGUACCAGUACACUAAUUGGCUAAAUUAAUAAUUAAAUAAGUUGUUUUUUUUUAAGAAAAAUAAUUACUGUUUAUCAUUGACAAUUAUAAUAAUUAAAUCUUAUUUAUCAAAAGCUUCAACGAAAUAAAAUUUAUUUUUUUUUUAAUUUUUAUUACUCAUAAUAAAGAAUAUUGAUUAUUUUUUAUGAGAAAAUGUUUAAAAUUCAAUAUGAUUCUUAUAAACAAUGAAAUGAUGUUUUCUAAAAUAUAAAUAUUGACAAAUAACUUUUUAUUUCAUAAAAUGAUCGUUAAUUUAUAAAUUUAUUGAACGAGAGCACCUUUAUGAGGUGUACUGUAAAAGUUUAAAAAAAAAAAAUCCCUUCAACCUCAAAGAUUUGCUUAAAACAAUCGCACAUACUUAAAACAAUUAAACUAUAGUUUGUUAAACACUUCUGGCCUAGUAUGGUCAACCCUUUUGAGAACUCACGCCACUACCGGGCAGAUUACAGUUUUUACAAAGUUCUUUAAAAUAGUGUUUACUUGGUCUUUCUAAAACAAUUCUUCUAACAAUGGUCAUUCAAAUGUUUUUUAUUAGAUUUUUUUCUUUGUUUUUAAAUCAACUCAUGCGUACAUUUUAAAUUUUUAAAUGACUUUUCGCAAGCAUGUUUAUAACAUAUAAAGUAUCUCUUCCACGAAAAUUAAGAAUUUUUUUUAUUAUCACAAGAUGAAUUAAAUAUGAAUUUUUAAGAACCAAAAUCAUAAAAGUUCAUAUCUAAUUCACCUCUUGUUAAAAAAAAAAUUAUGGGAGAAAUUUUUAUAAUGUACUAAACAUAAUUCCAAAAAAAAGUUCAGAAUUUUGAAGGAUACCCAUGUCGUAAAAGCAAGGACACAAAAUGUUGGUCGAAAACAUUUGAAUGACCAUUAUUUGAAGAACUUUUUUAAAGGAACUAAAAAACAAAAUAUGUAUAUUUAUUGGGAUAAACAUUUUGAUUAACCCUUUAAAAUACAAAGGUUUACUCUCAAAGAGAGGAUAUAAAAAUAAUUUCAAAUACAAUUGGAAAUAACUUUCAAACGAAAGGAUUUAGGUAUUCACUUUCGUUCAAUGUUUCCUAGACUUCUCUCUUUUUUAUAUCUUGCAUUUAAGAUAUUUGAACUUGAAAUACAAUAGUGCCUAAAAUGGUGAUGAGAUUUCUCUAUAUUUUUUAGUCUUCUUGUGUGAUAGAGUGACUUCUUCGAUGGUGAAGUAUAAAAUGAACCUAUAAAAAUAUUGGUCUAUGAUGGACCAAUUUUUUGUACCAUUAGAUCAUAUGAAUCCACCAAAUUUUAUCAUGGUCUAUAAACACCAAAUCUCACCCAUCUUCUCCAUAACUCUCAUUUAAUCUCUCUACUUUUUUUUUUGUCACAUAUUUUUUUUUCAUUUAGCAAUACAAGUAGUCUUUUUCUUCCCUAAAAAAAAAAGUAGUCUUUUUUUUACGGCACUUUGUAUUAAUCGAGUUUUUAAGUAAUACAUGAAUUAAUUUAUUUUGUUUUGAAGGGAUAUGAAUUAAAUUUCUUAAAAAAAUAAGUAACAUGAAUUAAAUAAGUAUUCAAUUGGUUUUUUUUUUUACGAAAAAAAAGUCUAGUUGUUGUUGCUUAUGUUAUUAAAUAACUUCUUUUUGAAUUGUUGUUGUUGUUGUUCUUCUUCUUUCUUUAAUAUUUUUGUUUUAAUCUUAUGGGUUUCUUAUUUUUUGUUUUGUUUUUAAAAUAAAAUUGUAUACUUAAAUAUUAAUGAAAAAAAUCUGAUACACGUAAAAUAAAUCUUAAAACUGAAAUAUUAUAAAAAAAAACUGAUAAUGAUUUAUUUAAUUGAAAUGAAAUAUAAAAAUUGAAAUGAAUUAAAUUAAAAAUAUAAUUUAAUCAAAAGAAAUUAAUUAAGUAUUUUGACCAAAAAAUUUAAAAAUUAAUUUAUUAAUAUGUAAAAUAUAUAUUAAAUUGAUUAAUUUAAAUUAUUAAAUAUCUUAAAUAUUAAUUGAUUUAUAUUUUAUUAUGAAUUACGAAUGUUCUUUUAUGUUAUUUACAUUUCAUUAUGUAUUGAUGGAUUGUAUUUGGUGUGGAUGGACCAUGAUAAGAAUUGAUUGUUGAUUCAAUCUAAAGGUUAAAAAAAUUGGUCCAUCUUAGACCAAAACUUCAUGGGUCCAAGUUAAAUGGCACCUUCUUCGAUAUAUAAACUUCCUUUUUUACUAUAUAAAAUGGAGAUAGUUAAUAACCAUUGGUAGAAGCUUCCUUAAAAAAAAAAACCAUUGGUAGAAGCUGAUUGUUGAUGAACAUCGGGAAUCCUUAAUGUCUCGAAUAUAUUUUUGCUGCACUACUACAUACUCCAUUGAAGUUACUUAAAGAUAGGUGGUGUAUGGUUGAUUUAUGUCACUCCACACCUUAUCAUUUCACAUCCUUGUCCUUUUAAUUCUGUUCUUUAAGCCCAUUUGAUGUGUAGUCCUUAAAUGAAUCAAGAUUGGACUUAGGGAGUUGAGAUGAAGAUGCUCACAUUAGACACAAAGUUUUGAAUUAUGGUAAGUGAAAACAGAUGAUUUAAAUGCGUGAAACUCCACUAAAUUAUGUAUAUGCUUUAUAAUAUGUCUUUAUUUUUAAAGUAAACAUAUACAUCAGAACGUGUUUCUCCAUCAGAGCGCUUUCAGACAAUCUUCAGGAUGUUAGUUAAAUUACUUUACAAGAGUGUGCUAUUAGAGGAUCACUUUAAUUCUCAUAAUUUUUUAGGUAGAUUUUGACAUGCACACUUAACACACAUUUUUAAAAUAUGAAAUAUUCAAAUUAUAUACAAUUUUUACCAUUACCAAUUUUUUUUUUUAAUAUUUAUAUAUACGAUUACUAUUUUUAUCCCUAAGUAUAAAACCUCUUAAGUUUUUUGUCCUUUUUUAUAUAUAAGAUCUCCUUUAAAUUUUCAACUUUAUUAAUAUACCACAAAUUAAUUUACAAUUUAUCCGAUUGGUGGAUUUAACUACGAGUAUUCCACCAAAGUAUGGAUUUAACUCACACUAUCGAUAUGCAUAUUUUGUUGAUGAAUAAUCUAUAAACAGAUGUGUCGUGUUCGACACUAUCAAUAUUAAAAUUUUCUCUUAGAGCAUCUACAAUUGAGACCCUUAACUUUAAGGUCAUAAAUGGGUCCACAUGGACACAUUAUUUUUUAAUAAUUCUUUAAUAAUAGUACUUAAUAGGUACUUAACCACUCCAAUUGAGAUCCUCUAACAAAAGGUCUAAUAGGGUCCCACAAAUAUUAUUUAAUAGCCAUGAAAAUUAUUAUUUUAAUAAAAAGUGAUGUGGGUCCACUUAAAAUGAGGUUUUAAGUUAGACCUUAGAUGGUGAAGACCUCACCAUUGUAGAUGUUCUUAGGAGUCAAAUAUCCAAACCCUCUAAACAUUUUUUUAAUACAAAAAAACUGAGAUUUGAACCAAAAUCUUAUCAAAGUGUUGAACAACUAUUAUUAUUUCUUUAUGAUGAUGAUUAUGAUACAUGAAGUGGCAAGGUAGAUCACAAAUGGAAUUUGUCGGGUCUAUUAUAAACCUUAGUUGGCAACAAGACACAGAAGAGUAAAGAGAAUGUAAAAGGAAAAUGCAACAAGUACUGGUGAAAAAAGGUGAAAUUAAAAAAAAAAACAUCAUGUGUCAUGUCACAUGUGUGUUUUGUUGAUUGAUGUACUCUAAAUUUUCCAAGCUCAGAAAAGUCAAGCACACCACAAAUCGCGAUCUAUCAAAUUCAAAUCCACUUAGAUGAACAUAAACUCGUUUUUAUUUAUUUUUCAAUAAUCUUAAAAACAUCUACAAGAAACACAGUUUCCAACAAAUAAACACAUACAAUGUUUCGUUACAUCUUAGUUUUGUUAUUGUUAUUGUUAGUAUCAUCCUACGAUGUUUAUUCACAUGAGGAGUCGGGUCCAUGGAGCUGUGAAACCGGGUCAGAGAUUCACGUUGAGUCCGAAUUUCAACCCGGUGUUAUUACACUUGAUGGUCAUGCCGAUGAUUGGAAGGACAUUGAUGGGUCCCACUUUUCUCUUCUUCUUGCUCUCGACCCUGAUGCUGAAAAUGAAUUUAAUGGCGGAAAAAUGACCGUGAAGGUAGUAUUCACUUUUUUUUUUCCUUUUGUUAUUCACAUUUGAGUAUUUAUCUGUUUAUCUUCUUACCAUGGUGUUUGUUGUUUUGUUGCAGAGUGUGCAUGAUGGCCGUGAUAUUUUCUUUUUGUUGCAAGUUGAUGGUGAUUAUGCCUACUCUAAUGGGUAAGAUGUGUGUGUCAUGCAGAGAAAACUGAAUCUAGUUCUAAUCCAUGAGUUUGAUUUAUUGAGCUUAGUUAGUGAUAGUUUAGUUUAAGUUUGAUUUUUCGGUAAUCAUGUUAUCCGUGUGAAGUAUACACCGAUUUGAUGACUAAUCUUUGUCGGGAAACUCCUUACUGGCCACCUUUCGUGGGGUCUUCCCGCUUAACCACGUUUUUUCUAUCCACAAGUUUCGAACUUGUGACCUUGCUUUAGGGAUCCGAGUCCAGUAUUGGGUUCAAGAGUGAUUAGUCUCACAUCGAUUAUGAGUGAUAAAAAUGUUGGAUAUAUAAAGAGGUGACCGGUAUAUUUAGUGUCUUAAGAUUUUGGGAAGAGAUGUUGCGUCUUUCUUGUGGUCUUGGAGCAUUAACCCGUUGCUACCGACUCCCAAUAAUAUUCGUUGUUGAUAAGCGUCUCAAUGAUUGAUAUUGUUUGGUUAUUCAUAACAAAUCACGAGUGGUUAAAAUAUCAACUCUUGAUUUUCUCACUUUGCUAAUUAAUCAUUACUCAUUUUAGCAUAAUCAAUUUUGUUUCGUUCUACUCGGAUCAAUAUAAUAGUGGUUUGAACUUUAAGUUGUUUGAUUACUGAAUUAGCUUGAUUUAUUUAUGUUGACAACGUUAUAAGUAAUGAUAUUUUUGUUGAGGGUCCAACAUGAUGGGAUAUAAGAUUAGAUAUAUAGACAAAAAAACAAAAUAUAACUUUCUCAUAUUACUAUAUGAUACACUUUUAAUAAGUUGGUGCAUUUUUUGUUUUUGUGAUGAUGCAGUGAAAGCAAGAAAUGUCCCUCUGUUGCACUCAUGUUUCAAAUUGGGGAUGGUGCCUCUUAUCAUAAUGUAAGUUGGUGUACUCAACAACGUAUUCUCUAAGGGUCUAUUUGGGAGUUUGGAUGGUAGGGGACGAGAGGGUUUUGGGGGGAGGGGUGUAGAGAGAUAAAUCUUUCACCUUUUUAGAGAGUGUUUUUGUAGAUUAAUAUAUUUUUAAUUUUGUGAUUAAAAUAACAACAUAGAUUGGAUUUGAAGAAUUUACCUAAGUCCUCCAAAACCUUCAAAUAUCCUCCUUCAAUACAUUUUGAGUUCCCUCAAAUUAGGGGGAUUUUGUAUUAUGAAGAAUAAAACUCCCUAAAGCUCCCCCCUCCCAAAUCCCUUCAUACCUUACACUUUCUCCUUCCUUUUUCUCAAAUCCCCCCCUCCUCUCCCCCUCCUAAACUUCAUCGCUUCAUGUUUUUCAAAUCCUAAGGGGCAUUUGGAUAAACAACUUAGGGCCUGUUUGGAUGGACGUAUUUGAGUCUAUCUAAUGACAUAAACACUUGUGACUGUUUGAGAGAGCUUAUGGAAAUAACUUAUGAUAUGUCCAUCAGUUGUUUUUAGCUUAUUUUCAUAAGUUCUUCAAGAUAACUUAUGAAAACAGUUUAAAGCUUAUAUAUGAAAACAUUUUGACUUUAUUUAAUCUUUUGGUAUAGAAAUAGCUUAUAUGAUAAAAGAUUAUGAUAUAACUACUUAAUUAAGUUGUUUACCUAAAAAGAAACUUAACUAAAUACUUCCAAAAAGUGCUUAUGGUAAUCAUAUUUUUGUAUAAUCUGUUUUAGGAAUGUAAGAAAACUUCGUAAAAGCUUUAUAUAAAGUGUUUUUAUAUGUUAUUAUGAGGAGCUUAUGAGAAUAAUUUGAAACAAUUUAUUGACAUAUCACAAGUUCUUUUGAACACUUAUUAUGUAAGUGUUUUUGUAAUAUGAUUGACCUAAAUAAGUUAUUGUAAAGUCAUCACUAAUCCUGAUUUUUAUGUAAGAUCUCUAUGAAUCGUGAUUGAUAAAAAAUUCUGUUAAUUGUUGUAAGAUGGGUGGCUGUGAGGAACAUUCAACCUCGUGCACAAAUAAGACCUGCAAAGGUCAUGAAGUUGACAUUAUGCACUUUUCAAUUGGAAAUGCUAUUCCGGGACGGCUUUAUGGCGGGAAUCCCAUUGACAAUAGGGAUGGGAAUGGCGGUGACAGGUGAUUAAUAUAAAAGCUCCUUAACUUUAACCACAUCGGCCGACAAUUUAUGAUGACUAUAGUGGAGCUAUUUUUCAUGAGAUGUGUUCAUUCAGUUUCCUAUAAUCGUCCAUACAGGUUUGGCCAUUUGGUUGAUCUUUAUGCCUGGAAUCCACACUGCAGAUACUUGGAUGGAACUGGUCCUUCAGGUUCUGGUAUGCACAAAUGUAACAUCUUUAGUUGGAAUUGUAUGUUUAUAUGAUUAAAAUAAAAAAGGAGAAUGAAUGAGAUUAAAACAGCUAGUGGAAGUAUCUGCGGGUUCAAUCCAUGAAAAGUUGCUCAACUUUUCCAUCAAGUAGUUUGCUUCAUGGUUUGAAAGUUCAUGCUCCUUUUUAACCCUCUCUUUAAUGACAACAUUAAAGAGAGGGUUGGAGUAGCACCUAUCAUAGAAAAGAUGGUGGAAACUCGGCUUAGGUGGUUUGGGCAUGUAGAGAGAACACUAGUAGAUUCUCUAGCGAGGAGAGUAGAUUAGAUGGAGGGUAGUCAAAUCAUUAGAGGCAGAAGAAGACCUAGAAAAACUAUAAGAGAAAUUAUUAAGAAAGAUCUAGCGAUUAAUGGGUUGGAUAGAUAUAUGGUAUAUGAUAGAACAUUAUGGCGUCGUUUGAUCCAUGUAGCCGACCCCACUUAGUGGGAAAAUGCUUGGUUGCUGUUGUUGAUAUCUUUUACAUGCUUCAGCCAUAUAAGAAGCAAUGACAUAUUGUUUUAAACCUUGCAUGCGGAUGUCAAUUAUUUUAUUCCUUUAGCUUAGCCAUGUCAAAUCAAGGUUUGCGUUUGAUAUAAAUCUUUUCUAAGUUUACAUUAUAAUAAAGUUCAUUUACAAAAAAGUUGAAUAAAUUAUGUUUGCCCUACACACCCAAUUUAAAAUUUGUGCCACUUCACAAGAUGAGAGUGGAUCCCAAAAUGAUUAUGCAGUGAUUGGAUUUGAGCAUGAGCAUGAUGUAUUAAGUUACUUUAAGAUUGCUUCUUCCACAUUGGAGGAAAGGAAGAAUUAAUUAAGGCAUCGGUAUAGAAAGGGACAAAUAGAUGGAGGGAUUAUGCAUAUUCUAUGCUAAGAUUACACAGACAAUUUAUUAGUGCCUAACUUGGAUAAAUAAGAUAAGCCGAUAAUUAUGUUAGAAAAUGACAUACAGAAGAUCGACAAACACAUUUGUUGGGACCACAAACCAGGAUUCUCAACAUAAGAAGUAUUUCAUCAUCAUAAUUGCUUUUUUCAUCAAUUCCUUUAUUUGUCUCAAUGGGAUUUUUGCAAUCACUUCGUUCUGUUUGUGGUCAAAAUGUGGCGUUUCUGCACAAAAUUGGAAGCCUCGUUAUGCCCAACCAGAUUGUGUCCUUUUCUUUAUCUUUGCAAAACAUCAUUUCAUUGGGCAACUUUUAAGUUUGAUCCCAAUGUGAAUAAUGAAUUUACAUAUGUAGAUUUUGUGCAUAAAGUUGUUGGACAUGUUGUAGCGCUAUUAAUGUUUAUGAAUUGGGAAUUCUACAAAUAUCCCAUUGUUUCAUACUUUCAUAUGAUUUGAAGUGGGGUGAUGAUAAUGUCUCUUUUCAAAGAUUUAGAGACUUUCUAAAGAAGAUAUGUCUCACAUUGUGACCAUACAAUUGGAUAUAUAAGCUAUAACCUAUAACCCUACAAUGUGGGUUAAACAUCUAAUAUUUUCUCCAAUUCCCUUCAUUUGUUGAUAACUUCCUAGGCUGUUGUCUAAUUUUUAUUUUAGGGAUAUACAUUAAGCAUUGGACCUCUUUCUGUUUUCAGUUAAUGAUUCUAGUGCACAGAAUGACUGGAAAGGUGCUUGGUGGCAUAGCAGCUUUACAGUUCACUCAGGUAAUCCUUUUACUGUUCAAAAAGAAAAGUAAAAUGUCCUAUCAAUUAACUAUCGUCCGAAGCUGAUUUUAGACUGAAAUAUUGGUUGGUAGUGGAAUGAAUCCCGAAAUCUCUCCAUAUAAUUAGCUAAACAAUCAUGUAAUCAUUUAUUUAUCUCAAAUAUGAUUUCACAUCCGAUUCUUAACGAUAUUCAUACCAAAGAAAUAUCUUCCAACGUAAUGUAGUUGCUACUAAUAGCGUCAAAGAUAAUUUGAAAAGUAAAUAUACCAAUAUAUGUACAAUAUGUUUUCUGGUAUUCACCAACUUUUUAAAUACCACUUUGCUGGGGUGGAGGAUGUUUGUUUUUUUGGGGUGAGUUCAUAACAUUAUUUUUUUAAUUUUUUUAUGGAAAUAGAUGUUUUCAAACUUUCUUCUUAUAAAUAUAAUAAUUAAUACAUAAUGUUAUUUUAGAAAGAAAUAAAUGCAUAAUAUGUAUAUAUAUUAUUAAGUAAAAAACUGAAAAUAUAAACCAUGAAUUGAAUGUUAUGCAUAUAGUAUGACAUAGAGCAUGUCCAUAAUACAUCAUUUAUGUCCUCGGGAAAUAUAUCGGCGGCAAUUUUUCAUGUGUAAUUGUUGAAAUUUGAGGCCUAACUCAUCCUUACAAAACCGGUUCUUAAGGUGAGGAGUGCCUCCACUUUAUAAACUUUUAUCAAGAGUCUUAUCGAUCUGAUGUGGGACUUGGGGUUUUUCCCAAUACACCCCCCUCACGUCCAGCACUCUUUGGGCUUGGUGCGUGGAUAGGUAGGUGGCCCUUGAAUUCGACAAGCUCUGAUACCAUGUUGAAAUUUGAGGCCUAACGCAUCCUUACAAAACCGGUUCUUAAGGUGAGGAGUGCCUCCUCUUUAUAAACUUUUAUCAAGAGUCUUAUCUAUCUGAUGUGGGACUUGGGUUUUUCCCAAUAGUAAUUACCUGCUGCUUUCAAUAAUUUAUAAUAUAAUUAGUGCUGUUCCAACUAGGUAGGUUAAUGUAAUUCCCACUAAGGGCCAAAAGUUUAGUGAUCCAUAAAAGAAGGAUGACGACUGGUUUGUUUCUUAUGGAUUCAUUUAUCCACAAUAUUUUCCUUUUAUAAUUAAUUUAGAAAAACCCAUUUUUUCAUCCUUGAUGGAUAUUGAGUCUCUCAAUGCUUCAAAGUAUCAUAAAUUAAAACAGUCUUUGUUGGAUUGAAGGAGAAUCUAAUACUGGGCUAACUUUCACUCCACUCCAAUAGAAUGGGGAAAUGAGCUGAAGUAGAUAGUGUAAGGGAGCUCUAAUUUUGCAUUAUUUAGAGACUAUAACGAUGAUGUUUUACAUUAUUUAAAGACUAAAUUGAUGUGAAAAAUACUUGGUGAGCCAAAAUGAAUGAACUCUGUAUUAUUAAGGGAGUAAAUUGAUGACCAAAUCCUUGUUAUUACUAAAUUGACGAUACAUGUAUGUGGAGGACAAAAGUAAGGGUUUUUUCUAUUUUUUAUGUUAAAGCAUAUUAUGGAUUCUGUUGCAAGUUGCAACCCGAUAUAUGAUAUUAAAAUUGGCCUUAGUCGGAGCACCUUAAAUAUGAGCUUUCUGCAUUGUUCUACCCUAUCAUUUAGUUAUUCUGGAUCAUUUUGCUGUAAACUACUACUCACAUGUUUCUCUAAUAACAGGUUUUGUAAAGGAUGAGAACCCUUAUGCAGAAAAUGGAAAAAAGGGCACAUAUUUUUUUGAAUUCUCUAGGCCUUUGAGGACUAUGGAUCAUCUGCAACAGGUUAGAAGUUAGAAACCUUUAUGAUGCAUUUUGAAGAGUUUUAUUUGUUUAGAGAUUACGUUGAUCUUUCCUCUUAUGUUUGAAUCCCUAUUUUGAAUUAACUGAGUUCUUGGUCUGUCAAAUUCUUCUAUAUAACACGUGGACUACAUAUGAACUUCAUUAUUUAUUAAUCAUAAUGAAUUCUGGCAUAGAGUGCCCCAAGUCACAUAAUAAACUACAAUUUUGUAUUUCUGAUAUUAUGGAUCUAUGCUAUUUUGUCGAACAGUUUUGGGCUUUUGGCUUUGGAUAAGAUAUCUUCUACCGGUUUGUUUUGCAAUACCUUCUUUACAAAGGAAACUUGCCUUCAUAAGAAAUAUUUCUCCGCCAUGCCCAAUAGCUAAAACUAACAAACUUUAAAGUGCCGUCUUUUUUAGUUUUAGUUUAGGUUUAAAUAUGACUUUAGUCCUUGCACUUUCAUCAGAUUUUGGCAUUGGUCCCUACACUUUUUUUUGUUUGGAAUUGGUCCCUGCACUUUGUAAAAAUAUUGGUAUUGGUCCCUCUAUUAACUUUCUGUUAAAAAAAAAACACAAAACUAUUGGUAUCGGUCCCUGCACUUUGUAAAAAUAUUGGUAUUGGUCCCUGCACUUUGUAAAAAUAUUGAUAUUGGUGUCACGUGGCGUGAAAUGAUUGGGCCACGUGGCACUCCGUUGGUUUUGUGUUUUUUUUUUUAACAGAAAGUUAACGGACCAAUACCAAUAUUUUUACGAAGUGCAGGGACCAAUGCCAAACAAAAAAAAAGUGCAGGGACCAAUGUCAAAAUCUGAUGAAAGUGCAGGGACCAAUGACACAUUUAAAACUAGUUUUUAUUUUUGUGAUAGUUGAAGUGGAGGGAAUAAAUCAUAAAGUUCUUCUCAAAUAUAAUGUUUAUGUUUCAACCUAAUUCUUCAUAUGCAAAGAUUCAUUUUAUAGCUUUGUGAGAACUCAAAACCAACACAUGAUGCAAACACGCAUGAAUGUCAUUUAUGCGAUAACAAACAAUUAAAAUCAUGCAAAUUUAUACCUUACAGGAUGUGCAAUUCACCAUUGGCGGAACAAGCAAGAUGUCUGUCGGAUUCUGGUAUCCAGUAGACGGUAAGCCAUGGCGCGGUUCCGGACACUACUCUGUCAACUGUGAUUGGGUUCCAAUUGAUAUAUCUCAGAGCAGUUCAUUGAGUGGCAAGUCAGUGGAGACAGCAUCAAGUAGCUCAUGGAAUUUUGCAAGUGCAUUUUCGCUUAUACUUUCAGUAGCAGCACUUUGUGUGUCUGUGUUUGUGAGCUAUCGGGUUUUACACCCCAAGAGUGUAGCCUUUACUCCUAUGGAGAACCUUUAAAUAGUGUAUCAAACAGCUUGAGUUUGGGAUUGUACUAUUCAUUUACGAUUGUACUAUAUAGGUUUGUAGUUUGUACUGUUUAGUGCUUUCUCUUGCCCUAUUUUUUAAUUCUAUUUGAAGUAUUACUUUAGUUAUUUUAGUUAGUGUCAGAAAAGUGUUGGUUCAAUAGUCCAAGUAUAAUGGAGUUCCAUCUUGUGCUUAGUUGUUGCAACGUGCAAUUUCCUUUCACAGGGGGCUAUUUUUCUUUUCUAAAAAACUGGAGUAUACUAAUAUGACAUUGUCAACUCAUAAGUGUUUCAAUAAUUGAACAUUUCACAUUUUGCAAAUUAGAGAAGAAAAUGAUACAUUGGAUGAAAUGAAACUAAUUAUCUCAUUCUAUUUAUUCUUGCUUGAAGCAAUCAAUAAAUAGUUUUCAAUUUCUUCUUAUUCUAUUCGAUUCCUUUUCAACUAUACUUUUAUCGUUUUGUUUUAAUCUUUCAAAUUAAGGGAGGGGCGCCCUAGUAAUAUUCAGCUUUUUUUAUUGACACUAAAAUAACAUAAAAACAACUGAUAUAAAUAUAUAAAUUAAUUAGGGGUGGUUGCCUCUGUAAUUGGCUAAUUGAUAUAUUUGAUAUUUUUGUUAAGUCUCUGGUAAUCUGGAGUUCGACCGUGUGAUAAGGAUAGACCGAUCAAAAAUUGUUCCAUUCAAGAAUUGAAUUCGGUGAUUUAUCAUUUGGUGGAACUUGCUAACCACUUAUGUUCAAUCGUUUGGUUUGUUUUAUUUAUAUUUUAGCAAUGAAUAAUUUAUACUUCAUGCAUAAAUAAUGGUUCUUAAAAGUUAAAAGCAAAAGGAAAAAGUUUCCAUCAAACGAACAUGUGGAGAGAAUCAAUCAAAGAAAAUGUUAAGGGUUGAUGUUAUGAUAUUGUCUUUGUGAGUAAAUUGUGAAACCUUCUCCAAAGGUAACGUUAAUGUCAAUUCAAAUCACUUUCUCCCUUUCAAAAUGAUGAAUCAAACACGACGAUUGAUAAAAUCUGUCUCACUCAUAUUUUUUUGGUUUCUCAACAUAUCUGCUACCGACUAAUCUCUUUAAAAUCUAGAGUACAUUUACAGAUUGUCUCCUUUUUGGUUUAGUAACAAAAAAAUCGCUUGAUACAAAAGACUUGUGGAAAUUGUGACAGUUAGAGUGCGAGUUUUCAAUGCCAUUUGUGAAGUAUAGAGUUGAGCCAAACAUUAUAGGAAAAUAAGUAGGGCAUACUAAAUAAAUUUUGUUAAGUACUCCUAACCCUGUUGAGUUGUUAUAAUCUUCAUAAAUUAAAAGGAUUUGGGACUUGCUAACAAAUGACCAGAAGAUAUUGUUUAAGGAUUCCAUACGAAACAUGUAUUUGUUAAAUAGUUAAGUAUGUACAUUAUCUCCUUUCAAUCUAUUAAAUAUACAUGUAAUCGGAGUUGAGUAGCAAAACUUGUUUGAGUUAAGAGUUAAAGGAGUUGGAGAACUUGAGUUCAAACUCGUGAAGUAGAAAGUAACAACUAACAUUUGUAUAUCCAAAAAAAAAUUACACAUUCCAUGUAAACAAAAAAUACCAAUGUAAUUCACCAAAAAAUAACAAUAUAAACCAAGUUUACAUCGACAUCCAAUAAAAAUCCAUUAUUUUGCUUCAUCGUAAAUUUUUGACAAAUGUUUCUGAAAUUUGUAAUAUGAAAUGGAAAAAUAGAUGUUUCUAAUUGGAUGUAAGUUAGUUCACGGUAAAGAAAGAGAGAAAAGGAAUGUAAAUUGUAUUCAAAUGCAAUGAAAAGGAGAGAAAAACUCAAUGCAAGAUUACCAAAGCUAAGGCUCAUCAGAAUGGAGAAAACAAUUCUGUCUCUGCCUACAACUAAGGGUCCUAACAGAAUAAUGAUGACAUGAGUGUUCCAAUAUUCAACCUACACCAUUCUUAUUGGAAAAUCAUAACUAAUUGGCCAGAUGCCCACCUUAACACUAUCUCACCUUUUCUUUUCUUCCUCCUCUCAUAGACUAUCCAUAUUUUGCGCCUAUCCUGCCUUAAGCCCACAAGAACAUUCCCUCCUAUUGGACUGAGCUCAUGCAGCACUCUAACAAUGCAAGUGUAAAACUAGUUUCCAUCGACAGUUUGUCUUUUUUAAAAUUCAACUUAUAAUCAUCAUAGCAAACAAAACAACUAGACUAACCUUUCAAUUCUGAAAGAAUUUGUAAAACCAGUACUUAUCUUAAGGAAGAAAAAAAAAAAAAUCAAUCCUGAUUGUCAAACCAUCACUAGCUCGGAAUUAACAGUACCUACAUAUGAUACACUCGUGAUUGUUUUUUUAAUGAUGGGUGUGGUGUAUUCAUGGUGAACAUCAGCUCCCAAGUUACAAGUUCUCGUGCGCUUGGUUGACAUAAGAAUCUUCCUUCAAUACUGUCUGAAUAAUGAAUACCAGGAGAUGAUUCGGAUGCAGUAAUGCAAGUUUUAAUAUAGGAUUCAUCAAAACAACUAGACUAACCUUUCAAUUCUGAAAGAAUUUGAAAAACCAGUACUUAUCUCAAGGAAAAAAAAUCAAUCCUGAUUGUCAAAUCAUCACUAGCUCGGAAUUAACAGUACCUACAUAUGAUACACACGUGAUUGUUUUUUCAAUGAUGGGUGUGGUGUAUUCAUGGUGAACAUCAGCUCCCAAGUUACAAGUUCUCGUGCGCUUGGUUGACAUAAGAAUCUUCCUUCAAUACUGUAUGAAUACCAGGAGAUGAUUCGGAUGCAGUAAUGCAAGUUUUAAUAUAGGAUUCAUCAAAAUUGUGACUCCUAAGAAUCUUGCUUAACUCAUCAACACCAUCAAGAUCUGUUUCUUCUUCAUAAUACUUCAGAAAAGCACUCACAACUUGUGGUGAAGGUUGGUAUUUAUAAUCGCUGGCUUCUGAAAGUGCGGCCUCUAAGUGGCUCAUAGCACCAUCCAAUUGACCUUUCUCCAAUAAAGAUGCCAUGAACAUUUCCCGAAUCCUAAAGAAAGGUCCUCUGCAGCUCUUGAGAGCUUCCUCAAAGACCAACACAGCUUCCUUGUCCAUGUUUUGACUCAAGUAAGCCUGCACUGCAACACCAACCAACCUAGAAUCAUAACUAACAUGCCUAGAUUCCCACUCCUUAAACAAUUUUAUUAUGCCCUCCAUAUCAUUAAGCCUUCUAAGGUUAGAAAGCAUAAUAAGAUAGCUCCGAUUGGUCACCGGGGUGAUCUUCUUGAGGGUCCCCCACACUCUAUAAACCUCUUUAACAUUACCAGUCCCAGCAUAAAGGCUCAGCAAGAAAUGGUAAGUUUCGCGUUGGCGCGGCUUCAUUACUCCUUCCACCUUCUUAAGCAUCAACUCGGCUUUCUCAAAAAAUCCAGCUUUUAUAUAGAUAGCAGCAAGGUUGCUAUAAGUCUUCCAGUCAAUUUUGUCUUCAUCUUCUCUUUUCAUCUCCUCAUAAACACGUUCAACCUCACCAAGGUCAUUCAAAGCAGCACAACUAUUCAUCCACAAAAUGUAUGUAAAUUCAGUCAUGCGAAUUUUCCUCUCCUUCAUAACAUUAACCAACUGAGGAACUUUCGACGGUUGACUUAGCCUCAUAUACAUAGACAUCAAAUUGGUGAAAGACAAACUAGUCAAAUAACCAAAUUCAUCCAUCUUAUCAAAAUGAGACAAUGCCUUGUCUAGCAUUAGUUCCUUGCAGUAACAGUUUAGAAGAGAACCGUAUGUGUACUUGUUCUUAGCAGGAGGAGGAAAACUGUUGAAGUGAUUCUCGGCUUCAACCACUCCUUUCACUUUGGACACAAGAUCUAAAUACACUGCAUAGUUAUCCCAUGAAAAAUUAAUUUGCCUCAUCAUCAUCCAUUCCAUUAUCUGCAACCAUUCAAAACAUCAUUAUAAAAAUUUAAAACAUCACAAACAAAUUAAAAAUAUCUCUAAUUACAACCACAACCAAGCCUUAUCCCACUAAGUGGGUUCGGCUACAUGGAUCAAAUGACGCCAUAAUGUUCUAUCGUAUACUAUAUCCCUAUCCAACUCGUUAAUCUUUAGAUCUUACUUGAUACUUUCCCUUGUAGUUUUCCUAGGUCUUCCUCUGCCUAUAGUGAUUUGACUACACUCCAUCUAGUCUACCCUCCUUGCUGCAAAAUCUACAGGUCAUCUCUCUACAUGCUUAAACCACCUAAGCCGAAUUUUUACAAUCUUUUCUAUGAUAGAUGCUAACCCAACUCUCUCUAAUGUUGUCAUUUCUAAUUCUAUCAUUGUCUACUUAUACCACGCAACAUCCUCAUCUCUGCUACACUUAUUUUAUUCUCGUGUUAGUUAUUUACCACUCAAGUCUAUGUCCCAUACAACAUCGCCAAUCUUAAGACUGUACUAUAUAAUUGUCCCUUCAGCUUGAGCGGUACUUAAGUAAAACGACUAAGCAAGUUGAUUCACUUGUUAACAAAAAAAAAAAAAAAAAAACUUUCAUUACACAUAAAUUAGUUUUGCUUAUGUGGAUUGUGACGAUAAAUUAUGAAGCAAGGACACCCACAAUAAUUUGAGAAAAUGACAACUCAAUUUAAUCACAUAUGUUAGUGUCCUAUAGGUGUUAGACAUCAACAAGUGUUAGACACCGGACACACCUUCAAUAGUGUCGGUGCUAAAGAUAUAUGAUAAAACAUGAAUCAAAAUUUAGGGUGGGAAAAUUGCGAUACCUCGAAUGCGUGAUGGAAUCUACGAUACUUUCGAAGCUCCUGGACGCAUCUCUCGAGUUCAUCUUUUCCUAAGGCUUUGCCUUCGAUUAUAUACUGGUUCAACGUCUGCGACACGGUUCCUCCGGUCUUUUCUAGGUCCGCUAGUCUUCGGUAAAGGUUUGCCUUCUUAUUCGGAAGCUCAGCCGCCGUCGCAGCCGUGCAUAGUCGUCGGAGAAGCCUUCCUCCGCCGGAAAUCAAACGGCUGUAAUUCAUCUCAGAGUCUCUAUGAUCGAACCUCCGCCAGGGAUUUUGUCUACUUGUUGUUUCUUGAAGGGUUUUAUUAGGGUUUAUCAAAACGCGAAUUCUGGCGUUGUGUUGUCUUUCACUUGAAUUUACCGGUAACCGGUAAAAAAAAAAGUGGAUAGUUAAAGUGAGAGAAUUGCUCUUCAUUUGGUUUGGCUGAGAAACACAUGUAAAAGACGAAAAUACCUCUCGGCAGUUACCCACCGAAUUAUAAAACCGACUGCGGUUAACUACCGAGGAAAAAAGAAAACUCGGCACUUAAGUGCCGAAGAACUCAUCUCAUUUUUUUGUUGAAAAUAUUAUGGUUACUUGCUUACGAUAUAUGGAUGGAGAUGCAUUUGUGGCAUUAAACCGAUAAAUAGCCAUGUUAUAUUAAUAGCCCUUUUGGCAUAUAAAGAUGUGUAAAUGAGCAAUGUUAUUUGAACAACAUUUUUAUGUGACAACUUGUUGGACAACUAUAUUAUAUAAAGAAAUUUAGGUAGUGACACAAAAAUCAAAGCAAUAGAAAGAAAAAGUAGAAGAACAAUGUGUAUAUGAGAGAGAAAGUUGUCACAAGUUAUCAUAAGUUGUCAAAAAGUGGUUAUUCAAAUAUUAUUUCUCUAUGUAAAUACAAAAGUACAACCAUUUUUCCGCAACGUGUUGCUUGGUGCUUUCAUAACCAAUUUCUUAGAAAGUAAACUAACAAACAAUGAAUCUAAAUUGUUUAAGUUCAUUUUCUUUUUAUAAUAAUGUUUGUUAGCCACUCAAAUUAAGAUACGUUGUUCAUAUCUUGUAUAUACAAAACGUACACUGAUUAACUUUUAUGUUUGGUGGGAGAAAGUGAUGUACUAUGAUAUAUGUAUCUCCAUCCAUAUAUCGUAAGCAACAUUUUAAACAAAAAAAAUGAUAUGAGUUCUUCGGCAGUAAACUGCCGAAGGAUAUUUUAAUAUUUUACAUGUGUUUAUCAGUCAAAUAAGAUGUGUCAACAGCAAUACUCUUAGUGAAGUGUGGAGUAAAUAUCCAAGUUCAUCCUUAAAUAUGAAGUAACUAUCAACCUAAUCUUUGAAAUAAUAAAAAAAAUUAAAAUAAUAUUAUUGCAAGAUGUUAAUCAAGUUUAUUUCUCAUAGACGACAUAGAAACGUAAAUCAGAACCAUGACCUACUUAAAAUCGUGCUGAUUUUAAUCGAAUAAGGGUGUCAAUUUUGGUUUUUUUUCUAUAUUCAUAUUCGAGGAUAGGGUGGGGAUGUAGAUAUUUGCCUUGUAUCCAUCCUUGAACACGUCACAUUAGUAAAAAAAAAGUAUGAUUUAAUUUUUUUUUCUUAUACACAAUUUUCCGUAAUAUUUGAUUAUAUAUUAUACAUUUUAAUCUCUACUAAAUAGAAAAUAUAGUUUUAAUAUGAUUAAAUUUUUAUUUUUUUAUAUGGCAAGCGAGGAAAACUGACAUUCGUUGUGAUGGGAAUGUAGAUCUAAUUUUCAACCUCAACGAGAACGAGUGCGAAGAAUUUGAAACCUUCCUCAAAGGUAACCUUAAUGACAGGAAAAAGUUCCCAUUAAAAAAAAAGUUAAGGGUUGAUGUUAUGUUAUUGACUUUGUUGAGGAUGCUUUAAUUUGGUCUCAAAACCAAAUUGGUACAUAUUCUACAAAAAGCGGCAUCAAUUGGCUUCUCACCUUCAGAGACCCGGCAGCUGAUCUCAUUCCUCACCCCUCUUGGUCUUGGAUUUGGAAUUUGCAAGUUCUGAAAAAGUACAAGUUUUUAUCUGGCUUGCUUGUCAAAAUGUUGUACCAACUCUUUCCUUGCUCCACCACAGAAACAUAGCUCCCUCUCCCUCCUGCGCUCGAUGCGGAGAAGAAGAUGAAACCUUUCUGCACUGUGUCAGGGAUUGUCAUUUUUCUAGAAGCAUAUGGCAGAACAUUGGGUUUACAGGUAAUGAUUUCUUCACAGCUACAUCAUCUCACGAUUGGAUCAAGAUCGGUAUGUCUGGCUCCCUUCCGAAUAUCUUUUUCGUUGGCCUUUGGUGGGUUUGGAGACAUCGUAACUUAAUGUGCCUUAAUAAUGAAAACAUGUCUCUCAUUCGACUGUGCAACAAUAUCGUUUCAACAGCUGUAGAUAUCAAUUCGGCCUUUAAUAGUGAGGAAAAUGUGAAUCAUUCUGACCGUUUUGUGAAAUGGAACAACAAAAAUCACAUUGACUACAUUCUUAAUGUUGAUGGCAGCUGCUUAGGUACUCCUUCCCGCACUGGUUACGGUGGUAUUCUCCGUAAUAGUGCAGGCUUGUUCAUCUCAGGUUUUUCCGGUUUCAUCCCGAAUUCGACGGACAUUUUGUAGGCCAAGCUAACAGCGAUUCACCAAGGGCUGAAUAUGAUUAUUGAUUUGAAUAUGAAUGACGUCAUGUGCUACUCGGAUUCCCUUCUUGCAGUUAAUCUUAUUAUGAAUGACACUCGAGAUACCACACCUACGUCGUCCUCAUUCAGAAUAUAAAGGAUUUGCUAAUUGUUCGGAACAUCUCUCUCCAUCACACAUUAAGAUAGAGGAACCAAUGCGCGGAUUUCUUUGCUAAGUUGGGUGUUAAUUCAGAUGCUCAUCUUGUCGUCCACCAAUCGCCUCCAGCUGACCUCCUCCCUCUGCUUAGAACUGAUGCCAUAGACACUGUUUUUAUUAGGAGAUUGCUGCUUGUUUUGGUUUUUCUUUUGUUUCUUUUUUUUUUCUUCUGUUUUUCUUGCUCCUGUCAACCCUUUGUAACCAAAAAAAAAAAAAAAAACCUUAAGAAUAGUCUAUCGAGUUGCACGCAUAAUAUACUCGGUUAAAAAAAAAUGAUUUAACUUUAUAUUUUCAAAAUAGUUUUUAAUGAAAAUUUUGUAGAAACUAUUAUAAACUCAUUUAUUAUAAAUGAAAACAGUAAUUUUAACAUUUAAUAACUUUUUCUGACAAAUGACAUUUAAUAACUUAGAUAUUCAUUUUAAAUCUUUAAAACUUAAGGAUAUAAAAAAUGAAAUUAAUUUGUAUGUACCGAUGGUGUAACUUUUGUAACAUGUAUAAAAUCAUGUUUAAGACCUCUAAAAACAGAUAAUUUAAGAAUUAUCCUAAAAUCAUAUCAGGUAGAUAUUUAUAAAGAUAAUUUAAGACCCUCUAAAAAAAAGAUAAUUUAAGAACUAUCCUAAAAAGGUACCCUUGGUUUUAUUAAAUGUAGUUGGAACAAGAUACAUAUAAAUUAAAUCCAUUAAAAAUAAAGUAUUUUUUAAAAGAAGAUACUAUCUCUUGAAAAUGAUUUUUUUGUAAAAAAAAAAAAAAAAAAAUCUUGAAAAUGAUUUUUAUGAGAAGUUACUAAAAAUGUCUUCUCAUUUUAAUUUUGAUUUUUAAAUUUUUAUUAAAAAAUAAUCAUAACAAAUGAUGAAAUAUUUAAUAUGACUUUUUGUGAUAAGCUAUUUAAACAAACUUCUUAAUCAAAGUUUUCUUUGAAAAUUUCUCUUAAAAAAGUUAUAGCAAAAAGAUGGAACACUCUAAAAAUCAUUUAAAAAUUAUUAUAAACCAACUCAUAGUUUUUAUUAUGUUAAUCCUCUGGCUCCUAAGAAAAUGUGAAAAUGAAAAUUAACUCAUAGUUUAACAACAGUAAUAUAUCUCAUGGAUUAAUGUGUUAGAACGACUAAUUUUACAAUAAAUUAGAUACAAAUUAGCAGAAAAGUAUUUUUUUCAACAUAAUGCAAAACUCUCUUGAUUGGUAAAUGUCCAAGUUCAAAUUCUCUGUCAAAACAAUUAACAUACUUUUCAUUUUAUGGUUAAAAAACAAUUAACCGGUAAGCGGUGACCUUAGCGAAUACGGAGAGUUUAAAGUGAAGUGCGGUUAGUUAGUUUAGUUGUUACAGUUAGAAAGAAAUGAAGGCGGUAGGUAUUGUUGUUGGUGGUGUUCCACCGCUUUGUUCUAAUGGAAUUCGUAAACGUCAGUUCUGCGUUUCAGCCUCUUCAUCGUCGGGACCCAAAACGGUUUGCAUAUUUUGCUAUUGUUUUUCGUGUGCGAUUAUGAAAUUUUGUGUGUGUGUGUGUGUUGAUUGAAUUUGAAUUAGGUGGGAGUUGCAGCAGCUCCAAAGAGUGAAUACAAGCCAGGGGUUAUUGAUGAUUUGUUCCUCAAUUUGUUUCGCACCAAAUUGGUUCAGGUAACCAAACAAACACAAACAAGCCCCUUCUAGUUAACUUAUUUAUAGCUUUUAGAAAGAAAUGGCGUGUGAUUAUGAAUACUAUAACAGGAAGUGGGAUGGGAAUCGAAGAAACCUGGAUAUGACGGACUAAUUGAAGUUGCUAACCGUCUAAUGAUGAAAGGCACUACAAACUCCGAUACCAUAGAAGCUACGGUAAUUUUCUCUUUCAAAAUCUCGAUAACAUGUAAUAAUAAUAAUAUUUCACUUCAGAAGUGUUCCUUACAAACCAAAAUCAUGGUUUCAAAAGGUUUAUAUUCAAGUCCGUUAAUGCAAUGCACGUUUAGAUUGCAUUAUUUGAGCUUAUCGACUGACUUAAAUUUUGUGUGACUGUCUGUUUAUGAGAAGUUAUGAAAACAGAUUAUCAAAUUGUUCAUAAGGUGUUUUCAACUUAUUUUCAUAAGUUCUCUAGAGAGCUUAUGAAAACAACUUAUAUUUUAUACAAAGACAAUUUAGCGUUAUUUAUCUUUUGCUAUAGAAAUAGCUUAUGUACAAGCACUUACCAUAAUAAGCACUUGUGAGUAGUGUAUGUGUAUCCAAACAGGGCCUUAGAAAGAGAAAGUAAAUCUUUUGGUUCAAGUUAAUAAAAAAAUCAUUAGAUGAUAUAAAUGGAAACUUAUUUCGUGUAGACUUUUAUUUGAAAAAAUGAUGAGAUAAGAAUUUGAUGUUUUGGGGGAUGGAUGGCGAAGAACUCCACCAUUUUGGUUUUAAGAGUUUGGUAUAGACCAGGUAUGUUUGGGUUGGUGGCUAGAGUGGAAUGGAAUAAGCUAGUUAUCUUUGUGAAAAAAUGGACUUUACUUCAUUCAAUUCUAUUCCGUUUUAUUCCAAUCCACUCCAUUGAUUCAACUCUAUACCACAAUUCCAGACAUACCGUAAUACAAUGUUACUUAUUCUGGUCAUACAUGUACGUGUUUCAACUUUUCACAUCACUGCAAAGUAAGUCAUAACAUUUGUGAUAUAGUAAUUCACCUUAUAUGAUUGUUCUAAAUUUUGAAUGGUCAUUUGUCCAGAGCAAGUUUGUUAGCCCUUAUGUCUUGUUACAGGUACGAAUUUUGAGGUCUUUGUUUCCUCCAUUCCUUUUGGAGCUCUAUAAAAUGCUCAUAGCUCCUAUAGGCGGAGGCAAAGUUGCCGCUAUAAUGGUUGGUGAGUCUGAUAGGAUUAUGUCUCAUUUUACAAUUCUUCAAGAUGAUGUUUCCCUGAACGUAACAAGGUAGUGAGAAACUUUUUUGAGAUAUCCUAAAAUUUUUAUUUAAGUUUUGAAGCAAGGGUUACUGCACUUACUUGUCAAUGGCUCAUGGGACCCUGCAAAGUCAAUUCUGUAGAGCUACCAAAUGGAACCUCAUGGAAUAGUGGGGUGAUCACUUAUACCUUUCCUUGCGUGUUUAUGACUAAAUAAUAAUACCAUCUUGUAUUAUUGAAAGUGGUUUAUGUACUAUAAAAUGUUGUAGGUGCAUGUUGAAAGAUGCAAGUAUCUGGAGGAAAGCAAGUGUGUUGGUAUCUGCCUCAACACCUGUAAGUUUCCAACACAGGUUAGUGAUUCUUCAAACUACUAUCAUUUUUUCUUCAUGUCUUUUUGUGUCUUCACCUGCCAGUUCUCAUGGGAAGGGAUUCUAGUAAUCUAGAGUUUGACCAACGGUAACAAAAUUAUGGCCAGUGAUUGUUUCAGUCAGGAUUUGAACUCGGAUUCAACCAAACGAUUCGUCUUUAACUGAAAUGCAUUAAACAUUUGAGUCCGAUCCCUUGGUUUUUUCAUGUUAGUAUAAGAGUUAAAAAUUUGAAGUUGUUGCAUUUUAUGGAUGGUUCGAUCUGACUCUGUUUUAAAUUUAGACCUUCUUCAAGGAUCAUAUGGGAGUUCCAUUACUCAUGAAGCCCAACUUUGCUGAUUAUAGCUGUCAGGUAAUAUUACGUAAUCUCUUUUGGAGUCCAAAUUUAUAUGAUGAGGUCGCUAAUGUCACUAUUUUCUUGAACUUUUAAAUUUGCAGUUCAAAUUUGGAGUUCUUCCCCCACUUCCUGAAGAUGACACCGUCCUGAAGGAGCCUUGCUUGGAAGCAUGUCCAAAUGCUUCCCUACGAAGAAUGGCUUCCAGAAACAAAGGUGUUACUGCCUGCCCAAAGACAUGAACAUAUUUUUCUUGGGCAUAGAGCAUUGAGAACGUUGAUGUACACUUUCCAUGGCUUUUUGCACAUUCUAGCUCCAACUUAUCUUCGAAGAUGGAACUGAAGGCUCGGGUAAUGGGUCUUCCAUAACGAUAAUUCAUCUUUGACAUAGCUCGUAUUUGAAAUUAUUAAUUAAUACAACCCAUCGCUGUAAAUAUAUUGUUAAUUCAUUGGACUUCAUUGUAUAUUAUGAAUGUAUUCCCCGAAUGAAUUCAUUGAAAACAUUUUUAUCAAAACAAGAAUAUGAAUCUAUGUCAAAGUUGAUGAGGUUUAUCUUAGACACCGAAUGAGUAGCUUAGCGAUUUUUGAGUUAAGAUAUCGAAGGAGUUCUAUGUUGAAUGUCGCGUUGGAUCCCAGCUGCUAACAGUUUACCAUCCAUUAACAAUUUAAGCAUUACUUUUCCGACCUUAUGUCUUUCCUCGCGCGCCCUAUUUUUUUCCAAAAUUACCUUCGGAGCAUUCCGGAUUAUAUAAUCCGGAAUGGUGUUUUCUUUUGUUAAAGGGUGAAAAAAUGAGUAACAGAUUUUUCCGGAUUACACUUAAAAAAAGAGGGCGUGUUACAUGAUGUUUCAGAUUACAUAAUCCGGAAACCCCUUAAACACCCUUUUUCAAGGUAAAACAUUUCGGAUUAUAUAAUCCGAACUGUAUCAGCACAAAUUCUAAACAUGUGUCAUUUUAAGGACAAUAUUAAUUUUCCUAACUCUCAUCCUUCUGUUUUGGGUCAUUGUUACUUGUUCUUAGUUAAAAAUUGGGUUUUCGGGCUACUUGAUCGGAUUGCUCCGAAACUUUCCCAAAAAAUAAAAAAAAAUUCAAGCACCAUAACUCUCCUGGAAGGGACUUCUUAUGGGACUCCGCCCCUCAAAAUUCAAAAUUCCAUCGUUUAGACCCAUUUUUCAUUUUUAUUUUUCAUAUUCUCAGAAAAAUCCGAAAAAAUUUGCAUUAGUUUUAUUUGAUUUUUAGAAUUUUUUGGUGCUAUUUUUAUAUUUGUAUGAUUUUAUUUGACAGGUUUUUAGCAUUUUUUUACUUAGUCUUUUUGUUGUUUUUAAAAGCAAAACUCAAAACUGCUUAAAUAUGAGAGUUUGAUGACUGAUUAUACAUAAGAAUUGUCCGGAUUAUAAAACCCCAAAUAGUAAACAUGAAUCUGGAUUUUAAAAUCGAGAAUGCACAAGGACAAUUUUAAAAAUUUUACAGGGCGCGGCGCGGGAGAAGGUCAUAGAUGGGAAAAGUAAUAAUCUAACGAUUUAACCAUCAACCUUUGUCUAUCCAAAACAAAAACUUGGCAAUGUUGUUGUUAUUAUUUUCUGUCGGAUUCUACUUGUAAAAGCGGUAUUUGUUUCCUUUGCAUGCCCGUUAAUUCAGAUAAGCUGCUUUGAUCUGUGUUGAGUAAUCUCUCCCCUUCUGUCUCGACGCCUGUUUAUCACCGAAGGAGAAAUGCAUGUUAAUCCUGCAGCUGAAAAGAAAAUUCCAAAAGUUGGGAAAACAUUCUAUAGUUGUUUCCAUUGAGCAAGAAUAGAAGGACGAUGAAAUAACAUUGAAAAAUUAAAUUUCUCUUUCCUAAAAGAAUGACUUUUGAGAAUUGAAAAACUAGAGGUCUAAAAUAUAAUACUAUUAAAUUUGCUAAAUAUAUAAUUUGGUGGUGAUAUUCAUUCAUUCUCACACACAAAAAUACAAUACUUUUUUUUUUUUGUUAGAUAGACGAAAUGGCAAAGCCAUUAUAAAUUCACACACACAAGUGGAGGGGCGGGGGUUCGACCCCCCGUCAAGGCGUCUGGCCUAACAAUUUCGGUAUUUUACCAGUUGAGCUAGGACUUAUUGACAAAAAAAAAAGUAAUACUAUUCAUUUAAAAUUAAUAGUUGCUUUUCUUUUUAAUGACAAAGGAAAAAAGAAGAAAAAAUUUACAAACAAGGCUCGACUUCGGGCAUCAAGCCCCAACAUUGUCUCCUGUAACGCCCUUUUUUAAUAUUUAUUUAUUUUAUUGAGUUUAGAUGUCUUUUUAUAAUUUAGUCGAUUUAUUUUGAUGAGUGAUAUUUUGUUAUGUUAUAUGUUGGUAUUUAUUAGUAUAAUAUAUAUGUUAUUUGGUGUAGAAAUAUAAAUGUUAUCUGGUGUAGAAAUAUAUAUUUAUUUGGUGUAGAAAUAUAUUUGUUAUAGAGAUAUUUUUGUUAUUUGUUAUAGAAAUAUUUUAUAUUAUAUUAUAUAUAUAUAUAUAUAUAUAUAUAUAUAUAUAUAUUAGAAUAGAAAAUAAGUAGGUUAAUGAUUUAUAUAAAAGGGAGAGUUAGAAUUAGAAAAUAACAAUACGUGAAAACAGUUUUUGGGAGAAAAGGGAGAAACCAAGAUAAGAGAAGAGUCGAGAAGAGAAAGCGGUAGAAACUUGUGAUCAUCUAACCUAAGGUAAGGGUGAAACUAACCUUCUUUAAUCAUAAGUAUGUAAUCCUGAAAAAGGGUUUAAUCUUGUAGUUGUUAAUAGGUUUUGAUGUUGUAGAAUUAGGGUUUGAAACUAAAAGUGAUCGUAGAAAGAGUAGAUAAACUGAUGAAUUAGGUUGAUAAUUGGUGAAUUUCUAAAAUAAUGUUUUGGGUCAAGUUUUAUAUGGUUUGAGUGCCUUAUCAUGUAUAGAAAUGGUUGGACAAGUUUUGGAAUCAAAUUUGGGCAUUGGGAAGUCAAAAUUGGGAUUUUGGGGUGAAAAAUGGGUUUUUCCCGAGAGCUGCACAUUGACAGCAUCUUCUGUUUCAUGUUCUUGCGUCUUUUUCACACGUUUUUGUUUUGAAUUGGCCUUUAGUGUAAACAUGAAAGUUGUAGAUAAUUUUGUUAGCUUUCGAAUGGCUUUGGUUUGAUUUGAAAAUGAUUUUUGAUUUUUGAGGUAUGAUGAAAAUACUCCAAAGAGGUCUUAGUGAAAUUUUAUGAAAAUUCAGCAUAACCGUUUCUAAGUCAAUCCAAAACUUAGAGAAUAAUUACAAAACUCAAAACUAGAAGUACUAGGAGUUUAAUUAAGGGGGUUUAAGAGUAUUUAACCUAUGUUGUGAUGGAUCUAAUUGGUUUGACGUGGAUAUCUUUGUUGGAUAAGUUGAAAUACAUAUAUUAUAUGAAUGUUGUUGUUGAAUAAUUUGAAAUACAUAUAUUAUAUGAAUGUUGUUGUUGAAUAAUUUGAGGUACAUAUAUUAUGUGAAUAUUGUAUGAUAUAGAAAUAAUGUUGUUAUACCAUCCAAGUGGUUAUUAUUAAUGUUGCUAUGAUUCAAGUUGUUGUAUGUUGCUGUUUCUGCUGUUAUUGAUUAUUAAAUCAUUAAGUUGCAUAUGUUGGUCAAAGUUGUAAGUUGUUAUUCCAAGAUAUUGGAGUCAUAUGAGUUGUUGAAGUUGUCUAAGUUGUAAGUUGUUGAGUCCAUGCAUACUCAUUUGAAGUUGAGGGUUUGAUGUUCUGUGAGCUUUUGCUCUUACGUUGAGGACUUGAUGCUCUGUGAGCUUUUGCUCUUAUGUUGAGGGCUUGAUGCCUUGUGAGUGUAUUUAUGCUCUUUAUGUUGAGGGCUUGACGCCCUGGUUGGUACCACAUGCAUGAUUAAGAAGUUGAAGUUGCAUAUGUUGAGUUUAAGUUGUAGAAGUCGCAUUGUCGUUGUCGUUAAGUUGUCAUUUAUCAAUGAGUUGUUAAUAAAGAACUAUGUGAAGUAUUAAUAUUUAUUAAUCGUUGUUGUUUAUGUUGUUAUAUGAUGAUGUGAAGUAUAUGAUGUUAUAAGAUGAUGUUAUGAUGUGAAGUAUAUGAUGUUAUAAAAUGAUGUUUAUGAUGUGAUGAUUAUGUUGUUAUAUGAUGAUGUUUAUGAUUUGAUUAUUAUGUGCUAUAUGAUGUUGUAUAUAAUGUGAUGAAUAUGAAGUUAAUGAUGAUUUUUUUUGAACAAGAAGUUAAUGAUGAUUAGAAGUUGAUUGAGUUAUUAAUGAAGUCUUAUAUGAAGAGUUAAUGUUAUUAAUUGAUGAAGUUUAAGUUGUUAAAUGCAUUUGAUGAAUUAUAUGCUUAUUAUUAUUGAAUGUGAAAUCUCACCCCAUUCUGCUUGGAAAUGUUGCCCUCACGAUUGGGUAACUUGCAGGUAACCAAAAAUAGUUGCGGUCGUGAGUGGAUUCUCUCACGUGUGUCUUAGGUGCUCUGAUACUUAACGAGAUGAUAAUUUUGUUGUUGCUUUCUGUUCCUUACGUAUAAUUUUAUGAAGUUUUAUGAACAUGUUGUUGGAAUAAUUUUAUGAGAUUUUACCUUGAGGCCUUUGUGUCAAGGUUGUUUUAAACGUUGAAAUAAUUUCUGCUGCAAUAAAAUUUAAUUUGAUGAUUGAGAUAAUUAGUAAUUUUACUAUAUUCAGAUUUGAAAGAAGUGUAGCAUCCUGUUUGAGUUGUUUUACUCUGAUUUAUGCAAAAAAAUUCAAGUUGCGAAAACGGGGUGUUACCAACUCCGACUGGAAAGUCUGUCAAAAGGUCACACCUGGCCUUGAAGAGCGCUUGAGUUUGGCCAAGAAAUCCACGCAACAAUUGUCCUCUCUAAACAUAUGUUGAAAAGAAAUGUUAGGAAUAAGCUCCUUUAAAUAAAAUAAAAAGUUUUGCUAACGAAUGCACUAAGGACCUUGAUUAAAGAAUCUCUUAUUAGAAACUUUGUCUUGGAAAUCCAAGGCUUUACUUUUGUCUCAGCAAUAAUUAUACCACUUUUCAAUGUAAACCUGCCUAUUACAGAACUUUGAAUGGGCACUCGUUAACAUUCUCCAUUAAAAAUUAUCACUAGCAAGAACCGUAUAUGCGAGUGAUUUGGAUGUUGAAGAAGAUUGAAGACUUUUAAAGAAUAUGUCUUGCAAAUAACCUGCUAAAUAAAGUUGUUAUCAACAUUAAAUCAUGAUAAACCACAAAUGACUUAGUAAAAAGCGCAUCCCACAACUCCUCGUUAGAAAAGAAGCCAACCAUCCAAUCUCCCUUGUUGUCACGAAGAAAACCACCAAAACUAAUGUUACGGGAAGUAUCAUAACUUCCACUAAUAUUCAACUUAACACAUUUUUCACAACUUUCAUCAAUAUUCAACUUAACACAUUUAUCUUGAGAGGAGUCCAUUUUACGAUAUGACGAUUAAUUUGGUGCUAGAAGAAGUGAAAUAUCAAAAAAAGUUAGAUCGUUAUAUUAGUCUAUAAAAUGAAGGACAUUUUAGGUUUUCCACCAAGAAGUCUUAUUCAAAUGUGACCACAAUGGUCAAAAUUUUCAAACAUGAUGACACUUUCACACUCUAGCAAUGACACAAAACUAAACCACUAAAUCCUUUCCAAUCCUUUCCCAAAGCAAAACCCAGAAAAAGAAAGAAUAAACACACAAGACACACAGGGAUAGUUGUAAACAGUACCAAACUCUCCCACUGAUUCAACUUCCUCAUGCAAGCACACACUUCACUUCCCCAAUUCAAAAUCCCCCCUUUUCCUUUUUGAAUCCAAUCCAAAUUCCCUUAGAUCCAUCUCAUCCCAAAAAUCCCCCCUUUUUCUUCAAUGGGUAAUUAUACUUUUCAUUACAACAAUAACCAAUCUUAAUUUAAUGCCUCAUCAUACUAUAUGAUAUAUAUUUACGCUGAUUCAGUAUUUUUCACAAUUGAUGCAGGUGGGUUUGAAAUGGGUCAAUGCAUAUUGCUGAAAAGAGUGUUUGUGUUCUUAUUUAGUACAGUGUUUAUAGUUGAAUGUGGUGCAUAUGAUACAACACUAGAAGCUUCUCAUUUAUCUAUUUCCCCUAUGCAUGCAAUUCCUUCUGUUAUGGCUCAUCCACCAUUGUCCCCUUAUCUUUCCAGUAAGCCAUUACACUCUUUUGCAAUAAAAAGAAAAUUAUGGGUCUGUUUACUUUCUAUAAAUAUUUUCAAUUUUCAUUCUCAAAAAUACUAAUUUGUUUUAGGGUUAAAUACGGAUCUGCCGUGUCAGCUUCCGUUAAUGGGAGUUAAUUAGUUGGGAUUAAUUUUGAAGGCGGAAAAGUUUAUAGGGAUCAUCAUUCAAUGAAAUUUUUUAGAGGGACUAAAAAUGAAAAUUGAUGUAUUUAGAAGGAUCAAAAAGAUAUUUAACCGUUUAUUUUAAAUUGCUAACAAUAAGAUGAUGGACUCCGUUGUGAGUUGUGACAUAGAAAAGAUGGAAGCCUUUGUAGGAAGACUGCAUUUUUGGAAAUAAUGGAAACUUUUGAAAAUGGUUAGCAUUUUCUUUUACAAUUUUUUAUUUGGUAAAAGAAAAUGCUGGGAAAAAUACUGAAUCUUGUUUUUUGUAAUCUUUUUUUAAGUUUAAGUGAAAAUGAAAAAUCAAAGAAUGCUAGUAAAGGGAUUUUUUUUUUCCCGAUUUCUAAUGCUGCUUUCCAUUAAUUAGAAUAUGUUGUUGUAAAUUUGUUUUGCUAUAUGACUUAGUAUGAUUUUUUUAUUCGACCAGAUUGUUGUCAAAAAGACAUGGUGUUGAAACGAGGUAGUGAAGGCUGCCAUUGUGUUUUUCCUAUAAAGUUAGACCUGCUACUUUUGAAUGUCUCGGAAAACCCCGACUGGAAUCUUUUUCUUGAUGAAUUGGCCGCACAAUUGGAGAUGCGUGCUACAGAAAUUGAGCUGAUAAACUUUUAUGUGCACAGCUUAUCGACUUGGAAUAUAUCAAUGUAUAUCACUCCGCGAAAAGAGAUCAGUUUCUCUGCCAAGGAAGCAUCUAAAAUAAACUCCUCCCUUUUAUUUCAUAAGGUUCGACUAGACAGUAGAUUCGUGGGUGAUUACAGGGUUCUCAAUUUGACCUGGUUUAAACCUCCAACUCCUUCUAAAGGUAAAUUGGUCUGAAUUUCUGAAAUAUGUCACCACAGAUUGUGAUCUUUUGGUGUUCAUAAUAUUUGAAAAGUACUUGCAAUGAGAUCAUCAUUGUACAAAAAAUAUAUAGUCAAUUUUUUUCUCACUUGGUAUUGAAACCUUUGUUAUGUAUGUAAUCUUGCUGUUUUAAAAACUUAGACUGUAUUAUUUUCAUGUAUAUGGAUUACUUGUCCAUUUGUUUUGUUUCAUUGUUACUUCACUUCUAUGCGGUUAGGAAAGAAAGAAAAAUAUAUUUACUCACCAUGGCUUCUUGACUUAUUCUGAUUUUUCCUGCUAGCCCAAAUCUUGUAAUUCUGAUGCUCAUGAAAAUCUUAUGCUGCAUUGUUCUUUAUCAAACUUAAAUCUGGAUUUUUGACUGUACAUAGUUAAAUAUUUAUGUCAUAGCAAUGCUUAGAAGAUUUUAGCCAUCAUAGAUUUGCACCUUGUAUACGUUCACCGUUAAAAGAUGUUACUGCCUCUCAGUCUUCCUUGUUCCCGAAUUUUAUAUAACUCAUUUAGUUAGUCAUGUUUAAUUUUAUAGCAACAUUACUGAAUACUGUUAGGUUUUUUGCUCAUUCAAAGCUUUAGACCAUUUAAGCAACUGCAUCUAUUUUGCAUAGUACCGGAGACUUUUCUGUGACUACCGAUAGAAGUUGAAUAGCAAUCAUGUGCCUCCUUCUGGGGGUGGAUCCCUGGAUAGUGGGUCUAAGAAUAAAUACCUAUGCAUUUAUGUAUUAUAAUGUAUCUUUGCAUUCUACUGCAGCUCCUACUUUUGCUGCAUCAACUGUGAAAACUCCUGAGAGACGAGUACCUACAGCUACAUCAUCGAGUACUUCAGACAGGGGAAGGCAUUCAAAUUUGCUUGUUAUCCUUGGAAUUGUUACUGGGAUACUCAUCAUGUCCAUUAUCUGUGUACUUAUACUUUGUUUAUGCACGCUGAGGCCAAAAACAAAAAGACCUACAGAAACUGGCAAGUUUUCUAGUUGUGAUUGUUAUUGUAUUUAUUUUUCAUUUUUGCAUUUCUAUAACAGCAUUCUAUUGGUGAAAACUGCUAUAAGUUAUACACUUGGUCACCUUUCUUGAUUUGGAUAUCAUAAAGGCAGUGAGUGUAACAGUUAAAUCGAGGCAAAUUGGGUUCCUUUCAAAGAAAAACUACUUCAUGACACAAGCAGUUUAUGGAUAGAAAGUUUUCUGGACUGAAGCAAAUUCAUUGCUUUUAUUUAGCACAAGUAUUUUCAAAGAAGUUUGUAGACUAGAGAAAUUUUUAUUAGAUUUGAAUUUGAACCUGUAUGAAUUUUUUGUGAUUGAUCAAGAAACUUGAUUAAGUGUACAAUUUUAUCUAUUGAAUUGGGACUAGAAAAUUGAUGCACACUUACAAACAAUAUUAUUUCUAUUAUCGUCUGUAAAAUGUGUGGUAUAUACUUUGAUGCCUGCUACUGACACUUUGCUUUAUUUCCUGCAGAAAAGCCAAGGAUAGAACAUGUAGUUUCAUCUGUUGCAUCACAUCGCCACCCAACCAGUACACGAUUUAUUUCUUAUGAAGAUCUUAGAGAAGCAACAAAUAAUUUUGAACCAGCAAGUGUACUUGGAGAAGGAGGUUUUGGUAGAGUUUUUAAAGGUGUUUUGAAUGAUGGAACUGCUGUUGCGAUUAAGAGGCUUACUAAUGGAGGGCAGCAGGGUGACAAAGAGCUUUUGGUUGAGGUUGAGAUGCUUAGCCGGCUGCAUCACCGUAACCUUGUAAAACUAGUUGGAUACUAUAGCAAUCGUGACUCAUCACAAAACCUACUUUGCUAUGAGCUUGUCCCAAAUGGAAGUUUGGAGGCCUGGCUUCACGGUAUUGUAAUUUCUCGAAUAAUGGGUUCAGUUUUUUAAUCUUGAAUGACCUGUUACAUUGAUAGUUAUUUUCAGAAAUAAUUUCAUUAUGCUUAAUUGAAAUUUUCCCUGAUUUCCCUAGGUCCCUUGGGAAUAAAUUGCUCUCUGGAUUGGGACACCAGGAUGAAGAUUGCACUUGAUGCUGCAAGAGGACUUGCUUACCUGCAUGAAGAUUCACAGCCAUGUGUCAUACACAGAGAUUUCAAGGCAUCUAAUAUAUUGCUUGAGAACAACUUUCAUGCUAAAGUUGCUGAUUUUGGUCUAGCUAAACUAGCACCUGAAGGCAGAGUUAAUUAUCUGUCUACUCGAGUUAUGGGCACAUUUGGGUUAGUUUCAUUCUUUUCUUUCUUUCACUUUUAUUUCCGUUUGAUCUAUAGUGAAGAUUUAAGAUGAAAUGAAACUAUUAUGUAGGUAUGUAGCACCUGAGUAUGCUAUGACUGGACACCUACUCGUUAAAAGCGAUGUUUAUAGCUAUGGGGUUGUCUUGUUAGAAUUGUUGACCGGAAGGAAACCUGUGGAAAUGUCACAGCCAACUGGACAAGAGAAUCUUGUAACUUGGGUUAGAUUCAUAACUCAACAUUUCCUCAUUAUUCUCAUUCAGUUCAAACUCGAAAGCAUUUCCACCUGGUUUCUGUUGGAAAUGAUUGGAAUAUGAAACUAAAUUCGUCCUUUGUAGUUUACACUUGAUAGGUCAUAGAAAAUAAUUUACCAAACUAUACUUUCAGGCAAGGCCAAUUCUUAGAGUUAAGGAGCAGUUAGAAGAACUUGCUGAUCCAAGGCUUGGGGGAAGGUAUCCAAAGGAAGAUUUUUUCCGUGUUUGCACUAUUGCUGCAGCCUGUGUUGCACCUGAAGCAAAUCAACGACCUACAAUGGGGGAAGUGGUACAGUCACUUAAAAUGGUUCAGCGCAUCACAGAAAAUUAUGAUCCUGCAUUACCGUCAUCCAACACAAGGCCCAACCUGAGACAGUCCUCUGCCACUUAUGACUCUGAUGGGGCAUCUUCAAUGUUUUCUUCUGGUCCUUAUUCUGGUCUAAGUGCCUUUGACUAUGAUAACAUUUCUAGGACAGCUGUUUUCUCUGAAGAUCUUCAUGAAGGACGAUGAAUGUAGUUUGAAAUGCAAGCUAACCAUGAACCGGCAAACAAUCCAAAUGUUUUUACAUCUUAAUUUAGAGAUCUGUUAUUUAUCAUGGCUGAAGGUGGAUGGAACCAUACCCGAUGGGCAAUGAAGGUUUAUAUGUGUUGUUGCUGGUUCGCUAGGAAGGGGAUUCUUCUGUUGUCGUUUUCGCCAUCCUCCACGGUAAACCACAGUCCUGUUCUCCCUUAAGUGACAGUAGUUCCAAGUGGAUAAAAUUUUGUACAUAUGUGCAUUGUAGUAUGUUACUUUGUUUUUCAGAUCUAUAUACUAAUAAGAAAGUAAAUGUCCAUUGAAUUUACCAUUUUGCCCCUAUAAGGGGCAAUUUGGUAAUCUACUUAUUGGUUAAGUUUUUUUUUUUAAAAUGGCCUAUGAAUUUCCCUUUUUGCCCCUAACCAAUUUUUUUUAAUUAUUUUCUAAUUUUUAUAUUUUUAAUAACUUUUAAUUAUUUUCCAAUUUUUAUAUUUUUAACUUUUUCAAUUUUUUAUCCCAAAUUCAGUUGUUUCUACAUUGCCGUUGUGGGAGAUUAAGGUAUCGUUUGACCCGACAUUUUUCAAACUUCUCUACAGUUUUAAAGAGAAGUUAGGUCAAACACAAUAUCAAUUAAGUACUUACUAAAAAAAAUACUUUUUUUGAACGCAUAAAAUUGAAUGGAAUGAGCUUUGACCAGAAGGUGUUGAAUGUUACUUUAAAAAACUACUUCUCGACAAUUUAUUUCACAAACAUCUCUUUUCAACUUACGCCGAGAACCUUUUCUUUAUUUUUUAAUAUUAUAUAUUUUUUUUAACAAUGGCCUAUGAAUUUUCUAACCAAUUUUUUUUAAUUAUUUUAUAAUUUUUAUAUUUUUAAUAACUUUUAAUUAUUUUCCAAUUUUUAUAUUUUUAACUCUUUCAAUUUUUUCUCCCAAAUUCAGUUGUUUCUACAUUUCCGUUGUGGAAGAUUAAGGUAUCGUUUGACCCGACAUUUUUCAAACUUCUCUACAUUUUUAAGAAGUUAGGUCAAACACAAUAUCAAUUAAGUACUUACUAAAAAAAGUACUUUUAAAACAAAUAGGUUAAAUCUAGGGUUAAUAUUGCAUCACCGGUUAACAUUUAGAAAUAAGAGAUGACAUUUUGCAUAAAUUAAAUAUAGGGUUAAUAUAGUAAAGUCACACGAAAAAAUUAGGUUAAAUCUAGGGUUAAUAUUGCGUCACGGGUUAACUUUUAUAAAUAAGAGAUGACAUUUUGCAUAAAUUAAAUCUAGGGUUAAUAUAAUUUGUUUAGUAAAAUUAAGGAGAAAAAUUAGAAGCGAUUUGUUCAUUUUGAUUUCCCUAACAAUUAACGUUAACAUUUUGAUUAAAUUAAAUAGUGUUAAUACAAUAAAAUUAAGUAAAGAAGUUAGGUUAAUUCUAGGGCAAAAUUUUGCGUCUGGGUUAACUUUAAGAAAUAAAAUAAAAUAGGUUAAGUAUAACAAGACGGGUUAACAUUUAUAAGUAAGAGAUUAAGUUAAGUAUAGUUAGACGGGUUAACGGUUAUUCCUUUCCAAAAAAAACAUCAUAUAAUUGGGAACAUAUAUACUUUUAUUUUACUUUAGAUAAACAUUAAAUGCAAAAGUGUGGAGGGAAAAAUUAGGUUAAAAUUAGAGAUGACAUUUUGCAUAAAUUAAACCUAGGGUUAAUAUAGUAAAGUCGCACGAAAAAAUAGGUUAAAUCUAGGGUUAAUAUUGCAUCACGGAUUAACAUUUAGAAAUAAGAGAUGACAUUUUACAUAAAUUAAAUAUAGGGUUAAUAUAGUAAAGUCACACAAAAAAAUUAGGUUAAAUCUAGGGUUAAUAUUGCGUCACGGGUUAACAUUUAAAAUUAAGAUAUGACAUUUUGCAUAAAUUAAAUCUAGGGUUAAUAUAGUAAAGUCACACGAAAAAAUUAGUUUAAAUCUAGGGUUAAUAUUGCAUCACGGGUUAACGUUUAUAAAUAAGAGAUGACAUUUUGCAUAAAUUAAAUCUAGGAUUAAUAUAAUUUGUUUAGUAAAAUUAAGGAGAAAAAUUAGAAGCGAUUUGUUUAUUUUGAUUUCCCUAACAAUUAACGUUAACAUUUUGAUUAAAUUAAAUAGGGUUAAUACAGUAAAAUUAAGCAAAGAAGUUAGGUUAAAUCUUGGGCAAAAUUUUGCGUUCGAGUUAAUUUUAAGGAAUAAGAUAUUAUAAUAGUUGUUAUGUUAUUUUUCAUGUAGUUUUUAGGCUCUAUGUUGCAAAAUUUUGGUUUACGCAGCUUUGAUUUUCACAUUUAUAAAUGACAACAAUUUUCUGUAAUUUAUAAGAUUUUUUCCUUCGAAACUAAAUUUUAAAAAAAUACGUUAUUCAACCCGUGCGAAGCACGGGUUUGUAACUAGUUGACUUUAGAAAAAAUAAUCUUAAUUAAAAAGAAAAAUCCGUAUUGUUUCAAUAUCAUUUUUGGCUUCCUCAAUUUAUCCAUAUUAUCAUCAUAACCAGAUAUAUGCCCUUUAGGUGGUAUAUUAUUCAGGCUCAGUAGGAAAUAUGUGGUCUAUAUUAAGGCCUAAAAUUAUCAUACUUUAAAGAAUUGUAAAAUUUAUUAUUGAUUUAAAUUAUUAAAAAUAAUUUCUAUGAAUACAAUAAUGAUUUUUUUGAAGAAUAUGAAUACAAUAAUGACGUUGAUUGGUUUCAAAUUUUUAUCUGAAUAUAUAAUAUUUUAUUCUUUAUUUUUGUAUUAUUGAUCGCUUAUAUAUUAUAUAUUCCAAUUUUUUGUUCUAUAUAUGCUGAUAAAUUAUCAUUCCCCUUAUCUCCUAAUUUUGUAUUACUAAAUUACACAGUCUAUCAUGCAAUGAGAGGAAUGUUAGUUAGAAUUAUAAAACUUGAAUCGUAAAUUUAGAAAAAUUAAAUAAAGGUGAAUUAGUUUGUUGUAUUAAAUUUCAAUUUUAGAUCAUUUAGUUUACCAAGCCAACCUGUCUCUCUAUUUUAUAAUAUUUUUCAAACUUUGUGUUUUUACCUCUCCAAAUGAAAUAAAUGAAGGUAAUUAUAAAUGGAGUGGAUACUAACUAUGUGUAAGGUUCUAUGUAUUUGUACGGACGACAAUUAAUGUCAAGAGUACCGGCCUUUUUUUUUUUGUUUUGACAGAAAGAAUACCAACCUUUUAGGUUGCUAUUAUUAUGCAGAAUCUAAUGAGAGCCUAUAAUCAAAAACUGCAAAGGUGCCAAAAUUUGUGUGGAAAUUCUCUUUCCACCUACAACAAUAAAACCCAACCCUUACAACCUGAGUUUCACCGUCUCUCUUUGUCUCUGCUCUUUGAAUAUUUUUUGAAGAGAAGAGACAAUGGAUUCUAGGUUCAAUAAAAGCCUCCUUGUCAUCCUAUCCUUCUCUUCUCUUCUUCUAUCUUCCAAUGCCGUCCCAUCAACUCACAUUUCCACAAGUGUCCCAGCCCCAGCCCCUUCAAUCCACUAUGUUGAUUACAUUCUCCCGAAAAGAAAACCGAACGCUGGUAUUGGUCUGUUUGAGAAUUCUGUCCCGCUUAAAAAACAGAACUCUGCUUCCGUUUCUCCAGAUGAUUCCGAUUUUCAGUUUGAAGAUCCAAACUUGCUAGGAUCCAUUGCAGCAGACGUUGCCAAGAAUGCUGAUCCUGAGAUCGUAAAAUUAUGUGUCAACGGAGAAAAUCCAGCUCUUUGUGCUGCAACCAUUUCAUCACUCUUGAAAGGUCCUUUUGACCCCCUCAAGGCACUUGAGAUUGAGGUUGAUUUCACCCUCAAACAAGCCAAGAGUGUAGCUGCUAUCAUUACAGCGUUGCUUAAUGACCCUAACACCGACAAAAAAGCCAUGAAAGCUCUUCAGAUAUGCCAAAUACAAUACAAUUCAAUGCUGGAUGCAAUCAAUGAGACAGUUGAGUUACUUGGACAACACAAUGUCGUGGACUCUUUUUACAAGUUCAGUUCUGUGAUAUCAUACAAAACUACAUGUGAGGAUGCUUUUGUGAAAUCUCCUGGAGUUGAAAUACCAUUUUCUCAGGAUUCACGUACUCUAUUUGAUUUGGGUGGUAAUUGUUUGGGCAUCAUGAACACUUUAGUUAAUAACCACAAGUUUUAAAUUAAUUGGUUCAUGAAAUGGGAGAUCAUGACAUGGGAGGGAGAAGAAGGUGAUGACUGGUGAGGUUGUAUGAUUGUUAACACUAUGUUUUGUACCAUUUUCAUAUUGUUAUAUAUGCAAUGAUACUAUUAUCAUAAUAUAUAUUGAUGACUAAUAUACAUGCUUAUACUAUGAUUGCAAGUUCAUUAGAGACAAGCUUAACGUGUAAUUGGCACGUCUGUCCUAAGAAUAGAUCAAUAUAAUCAUUUUACCAAUUGCGUGCGUUUGAAGGAAUCUUGUUUCUCCUAACCACUUCAAUGCAAUUGCUAGGCUUAGGCUAUAUAUAAAUAUCCUAAUUCUUUACAAGCAAACAAUAAGGAGGCUUACUACCUUUCAAAAAAAAUAAUAAUAAGGAGGCUUGGUAGCAAAAAAAAUGAUAUUUUUUGGUGAUAAAAAAAAAUGAAAUAACAAUAUGGAUAUAUAUGAUCUUUCGUCAUAUAAAUAUAUAUUUUAGAGAGAGAUUCUUCAUGUUCUCUCUAAAUUCUAUUUUUCCUUCCCUCAUCUAAGAAGAUGGUUUUAUGUCAUUUUUUAAUUUAGAAUCAAUCAAUCAUAUGCAUUUUUUGGUCAUAAAAAUCCGUAUAGUUUAUCAUUUUCAGCUUCCUCAUUUUAUCCAUAUCUUGAUAUAUAUGCCCUUGGGACUGAAAUUGGCCUAAAAGUCAUUUUGGCUCCUCUUUAGGUGGUCUAUAAUUCAGGCUCAAUAGGAAAUAUGUACAUUUAGGCCCAAAAAUAUCAUACUUUAAAGAAUUAUAAAAUUUAUUUCUUAUUGAUUUAAAUUAUUAAAAAUAAUUUCUAUGAAUACAAUAAUGGUGAUGACUGGUUUCUAAUUUUUUCUUAUUGGUCGCUAUAUCUUCCAAUAUUCCGUUCUAUAUAUAUUGAUAAAUUAUUAGUCUCCUUAUCUCCUAAUUUUGUAUUCCUAAAUUACGCAGGCAAAUCAUGCAAUGAGAGUGGAAUGUUAGAAUUAUUUGAUUUUAAAACUUCAAUUAUAAUCCAAAAAAUUCAGGGAAAAAGUAAAUAAAAGUGAAUUAGUUUCAUUAUAUUAAAUUUCAAUUAUAGUUCAAUAGUUUACCAAGUCAACCUGUCUCUUUCUAUAUAUGCAUGUAACCUUGUGUAAGGUUCUAAGUAUGUGUACGGACGACAAUUACUGAUAAGAAUACCAACCUUUUAGGUUACUAUUAUUAUGCAAAAUAUAAUGAGAGCCUAUGAUUAAUAACUGAAAAAAGUGUCAAAAUUUGUGUGGAAAUUCUGUUUCCACCUACAAAAAUUAAACUCGACCCUUAUAAACAAGAGUCAUAUGUUACAACCUGAGUUUUACGGUCUCCAUUUGUCUCUCCUCUUUGAAUAUUUUUCGAAGAGAAGAGAUGAUGGAUUUCAAUAAAAGCCUCCUUAUCAUCCUAUCCUUCUCUUCUCUUCUUAUAUUUUCCAAUGCCGUCCCAUCAACUCGCAUUGAUGAUUCCAUUUCCACAACUGUCCCAACCCCAACCCCUUCAAGCGAAGUUAUUGAUUACAUUGUCCCAGAGCAAACAGACUUUGGUCUCAAUAUGCCAGAGAAUUCCGCUUCUCCAGAUGAUUUCGUUUUUCGAUUAGAGGAUCCAAACUUGCUAGGAACUGUUUCAGAAGACAUUGCCAAGAAUGCCGAUCCUGAGAUCGUAAAAUUAUGUGUCGACGGAGAAAGUCCAUCUCUUUGUGCUGCAACUAUUUCAUCACUCUUGAAAGGUCCUUUUGACCCCCUCAAGGCACUUGAGAUUGAGGUUGAUCUCACCCUCCAACAAGCCAAGAGUGUAGCUGCUAUCAUUACAGAGUUGCUUAAAGACCCUAGUACCGACAAAAAAGCAGUCAAGGCUCUCGAGAUAUGCCAAACACAAUACAAAUCAAUGCUGGAUGCAAUCAAUGAGACAGUUGAGUUACUUGGACAACACAAUGUCGUGGACUCUUUUUACAAGUUCAGUUCUGUGAUAUCAUACAAAACUACAUGUGAGGAUGCUUUUGUGAAAUCUCCUGGAGUUGAAAUGCCAUUUUCUCGGGAUUCAAGUACUCUAUUUGAUUUGGGUGGUAAUUGUUUGGGCAUCAUGAACACUUUAGUUAAUAACCACAAGAUUUAAAUAAAUUAGUUCAUGAAAUGGGAGAGCAUGGCAUGGGAGGGAGAAGGAGGUGGUGACUGGUGAGGCUAUAUCUCAUUAGUAACACUAUGUUAUGUACCCUUUUCAUAUUGUUAUGCAAUACGAUGAUAUUAUCAUAAUAUGUAUAUUGAUGACUAAUAUACAUCGGAAAUGAUAAAGUUCCCGAAAAAAUUAAUAUAGAUGCCUAUACUAUGAUUGCAAGUUCAAGGAUCUUAAUUAGGGUAGAGUAUGUAUGUUUUGCAAAAAUGGAUAACGCAUUCCCAUUAAAAUUUGGAAACAAUUUAGAUAAAUAACAUAAUUUAAAUAUGUGGUUAAUUAUGUUGAGUAAAAAGUUAAUGAAUAUUAUAUGAAUAACUAGUGUUUGAACUGGCAUUUUGUGUCCAUUUGUUUGUUUUUUUAUUAUUGCAUUAAUACAUGAACAAAUUAUAUUUAUCUUUUUCAAUACACAUAUAAUAUAAUAAAUAUAAUAUAGAUUUUUAUCUUUUUGAAUGACACAAAAAUCUAACAUUUUUAUAUGUAAAUUUGUUUAAAGGUAUAGUUGAAAGUGAAAAAGUGAACACAAAACUAUGUAUUUUUUCAAUAUAUAGUAUCAAUGACAAUGAUCAUUGAAAAAUUAUACAUAAGUGAAAAAGUUAAAUUUUGAACUCGAAUCAUGACAUCCGUCAAACAAUUUCGACAAUUAUGAUAGUUGAGCUAGUGCUUAUGGACCAACUCAUUAAAUAAUUACUCGAUACAAUUAACCACAAUAUUUAAUUUGAUUAUAAGGUAGUAGUCAUUUUGAUCCUUAAACGUGUAACGAGUAGUCACAAUAGUCCCUCAUUGUAUUGAAAUUACAAAAUAGUUCAUGAUUGUGCGCUUUAUUAGUCAAAAUAAUUCUUAAUGUCAAAAUAGUCUCUCAAUGCUGACAUUAACUUAUGAGGAUUGAUAUGACAGUAAGUAUAUUGAGAGAUUAAUAUGACAAUAUUAAUGAAACAUUUCAAUGCCAAAGACUAUUUUGAUUAACGAAAUGUACAAUAAGACUAUUUUGAAAUUUUGAUACACUUGAGUAAUUGUUAUGGCUAUUCGUUACACAUUCAGAUACCAAAUUCAUUAUUACCCUUUGAUUAUUAAUGAAUAUUAAUAUGAAAAUGCUAACAAGUUCCCUUAGACCAUCUCCGUAUAUUGAGAGUGUAUUAACUAUUUAAGACCCGGUGCCUAUUAGGUACCUCCAAUGGGGGGAAUCUUUUUCAGGGUCUUAUAAGACCCGGAAUCUUAUUUAAGACUCAUACUUUUAAGCGGGACUCGUACUCUUUUAAUAUUAAAAAAUUAAAAUAUAAUGAUAUAAAGUUAUUAAUAGUUUGAGUGAUCGAGUGCUUAUUAGGUACUACUAUUAAAAAAUUAUAAAUGAGUGAUAUGUACACGUGAGACCCAUUUAAGAACCCAAAAAUGAGUGUCUCCAUUGUGGGUGCUCUUAGGACAUUGUUUAAGCAUCUAAAAAUAAUACUUUUACAUUGAAAAUUGUGUAAUUAUGACUUUUAUAUAUGUUUGACUUGAAUUUUCAAGACAAACUUCCCUUUUUGUUGGUUCCUUAAACAAUGUCGUUAAAGGCACUCGUUAGCACGACCAAUAUUAAUAUAAUAGGUAAACAAAUUCUAACAAGUGCACUAAUAACACUUUUAAAAGUUUAAAUAAUAAGAUUUAUGAAAAAAAUAAUCUUAAUUAAAAUGUUUAAUUUUUUAAAGGCUUAAAUGUUCUUUUGGUCCCUUGACUAUUUAAUUGGAAUCGCUUUGGUCCCUUAACUAAAAAAAAGAUUGUUUAAAGAUUUUAUGUUUUUUUUAGUCUCGUUUUGGUCCCUUCUGUUAGGUUUCCGUUAGUUUUAAUAAAAAAACGUUAAGUGUGGACACGUGUCACCUUGUCAUUGGUUAACUCUGGACACGUGUCACUUUGUCAUUGGCUUUGAGAUUAUUAUUUAAAAAUAAAAAAUAAAAAAGUCAGAGCCAAUUAUAAGGUGACACGUGUCCAGGAGUUAACUUUUUUUUAAAACCCUAACGGAAACCUAACAGAAGAGACCAAAACGAGACUAAAAAAAAAACUUAAAAUCCUCAAACAAUCUUUUUUUUAGUUAAGAGACCAAGGUGAUACCAAUUAAAUAAGGUGAUACCAAUUAAAUAGUUAAGAGACCAAAAGAGCAUUUAAGCGCUUUUUUUAAAUAAAUAAAUUUCUUUAUUUGGGAUGAAUUUGAAAUAGAACAUUCUAGUCUUCUAAAGAAAAGCCCAACAGAUCUCUCUCUUUAAAACCCUAACCCUCACAUUCACAAUCGUAGAAUAGUUAGCCGCAACAUGGAUCCUAGAUAAUUCCCGGAUCGCUUUCUAGGGUUUUUCAAUCACAAUGCAAAGUUUGUUUUUUAUUUUCAUUGUUUAUGUUUUAUUUUAGUUUCUGGGUUGUUGUUUAAUCUCUAUGUUCCUUUUGUUCUAAACUUUUGAUUUUUGAUAUCUGAAACACAAAUUGGACUGUGAAGAUUUCUGUGAUAGGUCUCGUUCGUCGUAAUUGGUCUUUUUCGACCUUGCCGACCAUCCUGUUAUAUCACCACCCAUAUUCUGAGUCCUUUCUUCAUAAUCACAAUUACUUAUUUUUAUUUGAAAUUAUAAAUUUUUGUUGAUUUUUCAUUCUUAUUUUUUAACUUUUUAUAACUUUUGAUAUUGUUAUUGUUAUUGUUAUUUUUGUGUGCUACUUAUUUUUCUUAUGACGUAGUGCAUGAUUUUUAUGCCAAUUUUUGGAUCAUUUUCAUAUGGUCAUAUGAUUAUUGUCUAUGAUGAUAUCUUGAAGGCUUGUUUCUCAAAACAUUCGCAGUGGCCGCCUAAGAGCUUUCGCCUUCGCCAGGCUUGAGAGCUAGUGCUGUUUUAUCCUUCCUUGGAUGUCUGAGACAAUGUCUGUUUGAAUAUCUUGUGUUCAUAUUACACCGAUUUGUCUUGUUUCUCUUGAUUGGAGAAAUUGUUUAUUAGUAGUUAGCACAAUUUUUUGUUUUUUUUUUGGGCAAUGUUAAAAGAUCCAAUACUUGCUUAAGACUUGAAAUUGUGUCUGCAAAGUUGAUCUUGUGUCUCGUCUUGUUCAUGUAAAUUGAACAAUGACAAUUUUUGAUGUUUUGUUUAUUUGAUUAUAAAUGACCAAUGAUGAUAAAUCUAAGGCUUGUUUCUCAAAACAUUCGCAGUGGCCGCCUAAGAACUUUCGCCUUUCGCCGGGCUUGAGAGUUAAUGCUGCUAUUUCCUUCCUUGGAUGUCUGAGGUCAAAUUAUUCUCUUGUGAUUUUGUUGAUGUAUGUGUUUACUACUACAAUUGAAACAGAGAAUGUAUUUUGAAUGAGUCAGGAGUUAAUCUAAUUGUUGUUUUGAUUGAUAUAAAAAAUUUGAUGUCAUUGAUUUGAUUCCCUUUUGAUUGCAUAAACAAUCUGUGAUUCACAAUUAUGAUCAACUUUGAUGACAUGUGUUUUACCAAGUCUAUAACUCAAUGAUGAUAAAUCUAAGGCUUGUUUCUCAAAACAUUCGCAGUGGCUGCCUAAUAGCUUUCGCCUUCGCCAGGCUUGAGAGCUAAUGCAGUUACUUUCCUUCCUUGGAUGUCUGAGGUUAAUUUCUAUUUGCUUUUGGGUUGAUUUGCAAGUCUGGUGAUGUGUUCUAAUCAUCUAAUUAGCAUGUCAAUAGCAUGUAUUGCUAUGAAAGAGUGAUGGAUUGCAUUUUCUUUUUGGUAAUAGAUGCAUUACAUGUUUCAUUCUUAAUUUAUAUUUAUGUAAUGAGAUAAUUUUGUUUCGUGUCCACUUGUUUUCCACAUUUCCAAUCUUUCGGACUAUGAAACACAAUUCCUACAAUGAAAUCUUUUAUACUCUUCACACAUCUGCAAUUCAGUAUACAAGAAAAGUUUAAGUUAAAAUGAAAUAUUAUUGUUAAUCCCAACUUACUAACAGUUAUUGUCAACAUCUUUGAAAUCAUGCAUCCAAUUAAGAGUAUAACGAGAAUUUAGACAGUUUCAGGGAUGAGACAUCCAUCAAUAUUGGAAGUUGAAGAAUAUUUGAUUUCCUUGACUUGCAGCAAUUUGUUACAUUCUAAACUUUGACAUUACAACUAUGGUUUCUGUAUUGUCUAAGUACAGAAUGCCCUUGUAUGUACCCAUAAUUGGUUGAAUAGUUUUAAAGAUGUUGUACCUCUUGGCAAGUUAUAUUAGUAAGAGAAAUGUUAAAAGGGUACUCUGAUGCACUCGUUAACAAAAUCCGUUCAUUUUUACUUGCAAUUUAGUAAAGAUGUCAUUGUCUGUGCGAGAUUUAGCACUCAAUGGACUGAAUAUGGUGAUGUGUCACCAUUUUCUCAACAACUAAUUUGCAUGCAGGUCACUAAUUUGACGGUCAAACAGUUUUUUAUUCUAAUUUAAACAUAAUCAAGACGAACAAAAGAAAAUGAAAAUCCAAUACAUGCAUGUCCUUGGAACAGCCCCAAAUGAAUGUGGGCGAGAAGAAAAGAGAUGAUCACACUCUAAUCUUUACCACCAGCUUCGUAAGUAAUGAAAUUAAGGAGAAGAUUAUUUGGAUUAUGAAAUGUAGACAUGCAACUGUUUGUUGUUUUUUGUCUCCAUGAAGACAUUGAAUAUAGGCGGAACACAUAAAAAAAACUUAUAAAAACACCACACGGACGCCAUUUAACUCAUGGCUAUCACUAACAUCGAUAAAAAAAAAUUAACCGUUUAAAUCAAAUUCAACGCCUAAGUUAAAGCUAACUCUCCAACCUUUCUCAUGAAUGACCACAAAAACUAAAUCCAAUCACCUAACAACUUAUGCUCACCAAACCACUCCAAAAAACAAUCCAACCGAUCAAAAUCCUUCAAAACAGAGCCUCAUAUUCUCAUCGAGCCCAGUUAAACAUUUGGAAAUGACUUAUUUCAACACUCCUAUGGGUUCCACCACCACUUGACCCCCGAGGAAGAAGACAACAUAACAAGCCUAAAAACUUGAGAGUUAUAAUUGCAUUUGUUUGUCGUCUAUUACACUCCACCCAAUAGUUUCUAAAAUGAGAAGCAAAUAAGUUUCUUCAUGUUGAGAUGGUAUUUCUAAACUCUUGUAGCAACUACAUACGUAUUGUGGAAAACAUUUGUCGUCAUUUUGAAAUAUAGCACAAAGUCGACGUUAUCAAACUGAAAAUCACUUGGCCUUCCCAAAGCAUGAAAAAAACUUAUAAAAACCCCACACGGACGCCAUUUAACUCAUGGCUAUCACUAACAUCGAUAAAAAAAAUUAACCGUUUAAAUCAAAUUCAACGCCUAAGUUAAAGCUAACUCUCCAACCUUUCUCAUGAAUGACCACAAAAACUAAAUCCAAUCACCUAACAACUUAUGCUCACCAAACCACUCCAAAAAACAAUCCAACCGAUCAAAAUCCUUCAAAACAGAGCCUCAUAUUCUCAUCGAGCCCAGUUAAACAUUUGGAAAUGACUUAUUUCAACACUCCUAUGGGUUCCACCACCACUUGACCCCCGAGGAAGAAGACAACAUAACAAGCCUAAAAACUUGAGAGUUAUAAUUGCAUUUGUUUGUCGUCUAUUACACUCCACCCAAUAGUUUCUAAAAUGAGAAGCAAAUAAGUUUCUUCAUGUUGAGAUGAUAUUUCUAAGCUCUUGUAGCAACUACAUACGUAUUGUGGAAAACAUUUGUCGUCAUUUUGAAAUAUAGCACAAAGUCGACGUUAUCAAACUGAAAAUCACUUGGCCUUCCCAAAGCAUGAAAUAGCGUUUCACCGACAUCCACAUGAUACAAAGGAAUAAAGGAUAGAUUUUAUACCAAUGCAAAAGCCCCAUCUUUUUCAUGCAAACACACAUCCAUGCAUGUUCUAUUCAUUGACGUGAGAAAGAGGAAUCAAUGUUACAUUUGAGACGCCUACGUUGAGGGCACUGCUAUCAAGAAGAAGAUGGGAAAGAGGUUGAAGCACCGUCAUGAGUGUUUGCGUAUGUUAAUGUAGAUGACUGUCCCACGAAAGCUAUCGUGGUUGUUUGACACCUUAACAAGUUAAUGUAGAUGAGUGUAGGGUAUUUGACACCUUUUGUAACGCCCUAGUUAUUUAUUUAAUUAAUUUGAAUUAUGUGGAGUAUAUAUUUUUAUAUAUGAUGUUUAGUGAUUUAUGCGGAGUAUAUAUAUAUAUAUAUUUAUAUAUAUAUAUAUAUAUAUACAUGUGAUUUUGAGUGUUUAUGUGGUGUAUUAUUUUAUUAUAUAGUUUAUUUAAUAAUAAUUAGAAUAAGUAUGAAAUAAUAAUUAUUUUGGAGUUUGGGGAGUUAUUUAAUAUUUAUUAAAGUUAAUGGGGAGUUAAGUGAAAAUAUAGGGAGUUAAGUAAUGGGAAGUUAGGAAAAGAAAGAAUCAGAAACUGUUUUACGUGAAACCAAGCCAAGGGAGAGGAAACCAGGAACAAGAGAGAAGAACCAAGGGAAUCCAUUUUUGCUGUGCAUUUUCAUUCUGAACUAAGGUAAGGGUGAGAUUUACUUCAAUAGUGUAGAAUUUAAAGUCUGAUUUUGAGUUUAACAGGUUUUGGUAAAAAUUGGGGAUUUUGGGUUUUAUGUUGAAAUUGUGGAUUUUGGAGUUGGGAGUGUAAAUUUGAUGUUAGAAAUAGGUUCUAAGUACAUACAGAAAGUUAAUUUGCAUCUGUAAACUGAUUUGGGGAGUGAUUGGAAGGAAAAUGGGAUUUUUGGGUAAAACCAGUUUUCUGCCCGUACUGAAGUUCAUCGCUCGCCUCGCGAGUAGCUGUUCUCGCCAUGGCGAGUGAGCAACUUCAUAGCUCGCCUCGCGAGCAGUCCAACUCGCCAUGGCGAGUAGCCCAGAUCAAAACUUGAUUUUUGAAAAGUUGUUAUAAGAUGUUUUGGGGUUGGUUUAAGGUACCUAGAUGAUAAUAAAGAGGAAUGGUGAAAGUUUUAGGUUAAAAAGAUGAAUAGGGAGCUUAGAAUUGGAGUUUGAGUGAGAAAAUGUCACUUUUCCCGAGAGUACCUGAUUUUCACUCGCCUUGAGUUCGCUUUGAACUCGCCACGGCGAGCUACUGUUUUUGUGAACUCGCCAUGGCGAGCAGAUGUGCUCGCGAGGCGAGCUAGUGCAGUUUGAGUGCAGUUUUGCUUGCUUGAUUAAUAAGGUUUGAGUGUUGUUGUUUAAGCAUAAUUAUAUUUAAUUGUGCAUCAUUCUGAAUGGUUGAAUCUCUGUUGGAUGUUGAUUGAUGAUGAGUAAUGCAUUGUAUGUUUUAAUUAUUAAUCAUACAUGUCGUUUAAGUGGAGUCACAUGAAGUUGCAUUGCAUGGUCAGUUGUAUGUAGAUAUACACAAGUAGGUCCAUUGCAUAUGCAUAAAACAGCGGUGAGGGCUUCGGUCCUGGAGUACUAGUUGCUCAACAGCGGUGAGGGCUUCGGUCCUGAUGAAUGCUUUAACCAUUCAAAAGCGGUGAGGGCUUCGGUCCUGAUUGGUACCACAUGCAUAAUGCAUUUCAUUAAGAAGUUUAAGAUGGUGUCUUAGCAGUGGUCAUGUCAUUUGCAUGAGUCUUGGUUGUUGUUUCAGGUUUAUCUGAUGUUGAUGUUGAUGUUGAAUAUACAUUUACUUAUAUAUAUUCAUUGCGAUCUUGAUGUGUUGUUGAUGUUAUUGGUAAUAUGUACAUUGUAUACAUACUUGCUAAAUGGAUUAUUAUGGUGAUGUUGUUGUGACUUGUGAAUUAAAUAUUGAUAUUUGCAAGAUUAUUAUAUUUGAAGUUUUAGGGUGUUAGAUUCAUUUGAUGAUUUUAAUAUCUAUAUUUAUUGUUGUGAAUCUCACCCCUUCUGCUUGAAAACGUUGCCCUUCCUAUGGGUAACUUGCAGGUGAUCCUGAGUAGUAGGUGGUGGCUCAAAGUCGUGUCUAGGGCUCUGAUACGUGGGAUGGGAAUUAUCAUUUUUGUUAUUGUUGCUUUUCCUUUCCAUGUAUCAAAUUUUGGAACUUGUAGUGUGGAGCCUUUUUGUUGUCUUUGAACUAUGAUGUUGAAUUAUGUUAAGGCCUUUAAUGCCAUAGAUUAUUGUUGGAUGUUCAUGAGGAUAUGGAUUUUGAAAACUAUUCCGCUGCUAUGUUUUCAUAUAUAUAAGUUGAUUUGAUUAAAUAGUUUUAUUUUCUAUUUAAGAAUUUUUACAAAUGACGUGUAGCAUGCCCGUUUGUGGAAUUACUCUGAUGUAUAUAAGCUAUUUUAUUUGUUUUGGGUAACGGGGUGUUACAAAUUGGUAUCAGAGCAGGUUGGUCCGUCCGGCCAAGUAGUAGAGUCGUGUUGAGCCACCUAGGAUAGAGUGUCAACUUUAAUGUUGCUUUUUGUUGUUGUUCUGAGUUGUUGUUUGUCGUGUAGAAUCUCGAGAUGACUGGAAGUAGUGAUGCUGCUCUUGUUGCUGCGCUUGAGGCUGUAGCUCAAGCUGUUCAACAGCAACCUAAGGUUGAGACUGGUGGUGAUGGAACCAUGAUGUUAGAGACUUUCCUGAGGAAUCAUCCACCAACUUUCAAGGGUAGGUAUGAUCCUGACGGUGCUCAGAAAUGACUGAAGGAAGUUGAAAGGAUUUUCAGGGUCAUGCAGUGUUCUGAGACACAGAAGGUGCGGUUUGGGACGCAUAUGUUAGCGGAAGAGGCUGACGACUGGUGGGUGAGUUUGUUGCCUGUGCUGGAACAGGGUGAUACUGUGGUGACUUGGGCUAUGUUCAGGAAGGAGUUUCUGAGUAGGUACUUUCCGGAGGAUGUCAGAGGUAAGAAAGAAAUUGAGUUUCUGGAGCUGAAACAGGGUGAUAUGUCCGUUACGGAGUAUGCUGCUAGGUUUGUGGAACUUGCCAAGUUCUACCCUCACUAUAGUGUGGAGACAGCUGAGUUCUCUAAGUGUAUCAAAUUUGAGAAUGGGUUGAGAGCUGACAUCAAAAGAGCUAUUGGGUAUCAGCAGAUCAGAGUCUUCUCUGAGUUGGUAAACAGAUGUAGAAUUUAUGAAGAAGACACCAAAGCUCAUUACAAGAUAAUGAGUGGGAGGAGGGGUAAGGGACAACAGAAUCGUCCUAAACCUUACAGUGCUCCUGCUGACAAAGGAAAGCAGAGGAUGGGUGAUGAUAGGAGGCCCAAGAGGAGAGAUGCUCCUGUUGAGAUUGUUUGCUACAAGUGUGGUGAGAAAGGCCACAAGAGUAAUGUUUGUGGAAGAGAUGAUAGGAAGUGCUUCAGGUGUGGUCAGAAGGGUCACAGUUUAGCUGAAUGCAAGCGUGGGGACAUUGUCUGUUACAACUGCAAUGGGGAAGGUCAUAUCAGUUCACAGUGUCCUGAGCCGAAGAAGACUAGAAUUGGUGGAAAGGUUUUUGCCUUGACUGGUACGCAGACUCCUAAUGAGGACCGACUUAUCAGAGGUACUUGUUUCUUUAAUAGUACUCCUUUAAUUGCUAUUAUUGAUACUGGUGCUACUCAUUGUUUUAUUGCUAUUGAAUGUGCAUAUAAGUUGGGUUUGGAUGUAUCUGAUAUGAAAGGGAAAAUGGUUGUUGAAACUCCAGCUAAGGGUUCAGUAACCACUUCUCUUGUUUGUCUGCGGUGUCCUAUAUCUAUGUUUGGUAGAGAUUUUGUGAUUGAUUUAGUUUGUCUGCCGUUGACGGGUAUGGAUGUGAUUUUUGGUAUGAAUUGGUUAGAGUAUAAUCGAGUUCAUAUCAACUGCUAUAAUAAGACGGUGCAUUUCUCUUCUGCUGAAGAAGAAGGUGAGGUUGAGCUUCUGUCUACGAAACAGAUGAAACAGUUUGAACGUGAUGGUAUCCUGAUGUAUUCUCUAAUGGCACAAUUGUCGUUAGAAAAUCAAGCUGUGAUUGAUGGUUUACCUGUAGUGAAUGAAUUUCCAUAAGUAUUUCCUGAUGAGAUUCCUGAUGUGCCACCAGAGAGGGAGGUUGAAUUUUCAAUUGAUCUUGUUCCAGGAACUAAGCCGGUGUCGAUGGCACCGUACCGUAUGUCAGCUUCUGAGUUAGUUGAGUUGAAGAAGCAGUUGGAGGAUCUGUUAGAUAAGAAGUUUGUAAGACCCAGUGUUUCACCUUGGGGAGCACCGGUGUUGUUGGUAAAGAAGAAGGAUGGUAGUAUGAGACUGUGUAUAGAUUACCGUCAGUUGAACAAAGUUACGAUCAAGAACAGAUAUCCGCUUCCUAGAAUUGACGACUUGAUGGAUCAGUUGGUUGGUGCUAAGAUUUUCAGUAAGAUUGAUUUGAGGUCUGGUUAUCAUCAGAUAAAGGUGAAGGAUGAAGAUAUGCAGAAGACGGCCUUUAGGACACGUUAUGGACAUUACGAAUACAAGGUGAUGCCUUUCGGUGUUACUAAUGCGCCUGGUGUUUUUAUGGAGUACAUGAACCAAAUUUUCCAUGCUUUCCUGGAUAAGUUUGUUGUGGUAUUUAUUGAUGAUAUUUUAAUCUAUUCCAAGAAUGAGGAGGAGCAUGCAGAGCAUCUGAGAAUUGUAUUGCAAGUGUUGAAGGAAAAGAGGUUGUAUGCUAAGCUGUCGAAAUGUGAGUUCUGGUUAAGUGAAGUGAGCUUUCUGGGUCAUAUUAUUUCUGGUAGUGGUAUUGCAGUGGAUUCUUCAAAGGUUGAUGCGGUAUCACAAUGGGAGACUCCGAAGUCGGUAACUGAGAUCAGAAGUUUUCUGGGUUUGGCUGGUUAUUACCGCAGGUUCAUAGAAGGGUUUUCGAAGUUGGCUCUUCCGUUGACACAGUUGACCUGUAAGGGUAAGUCUUUUGUGUGGGAUGCUCAGUGUGAGAGUAGUUUCAAUGAGUUGAAGCGAAGAUUGACGACUGCUCCUGUUUUGAUUUUGCCUAAACCAGAAGAACCGUUUGUUGUAUACUGUGAUGCAUCUAAGCUGGGCUUAGGUGGUGUUUUAAUGCCAUAGAUUAUUGUUGGAUGUUCAUGAGGAUAUGGAUUUUGAAAACUAUUCCGCUGCUAUGUUUUCAUAUAUAUAAGUUGAUUUGAUUAAAUAGUUUUAUUUUCUAUUUAAGAAUUUUUACAAAUGACGUGUAGCAUGCCCGUUUGUGGAAUUACUCUGAUGUAUAUAAGCUAUUUUAUUUGUUUUGGGUAACGGGGUGUUACACCUUUAUCCUGUAAACGAAUUUGCGUAGGCCAACAACCUCAACACAUUCGUUAGACUAAACGAGCUCGCGUGAACUAUGCCUUAUAGUAGUCGUAAGGUAGCUCCCAUUUGGAAUGUGUAUUGAGCUCAUAACAAAUGAUAAACUAUAGAAGUAGGCUCAAUGUGAAACUUCCAACCUUACUUAUCCAACAUAACCAAAUUAAAAGCAGUGAGAUCUUUGAUCCAUAUAUCCCAUGAUUCUUAUAACCGACGGUUUUUCCCAUGACAACCAGUGAAUGUCACGAUGAUUGGACCGACCAUGACCCCACUAGAAAGAAUUCAUCAUUUUUUUCAAUAGUGUUAAUAAGUGUACUAGUGAGAAGAAAAAUACUCAUGGGAUACGAUGAAAUAGCUUGCAUAACCGAUUUGAUCAUGAACUCUUGACCUACUUUAGAAAGGCAUUUUCUAUUCCAAGAGUUGAUUUUUUGCCAAACACGAUCUUUUGUAAAAGCAAAAGUUGAUGUCUUGUCUCAACCAAUCAUGGAUGGUAAACCUAGAUAUUUGCCUGUACCAAGCUCCGCAUGAACACCCAAAAUUUUGAUGAUAGAAUUAUUUUAAGUGUUAUUGACAUUCCUGCUAAAAUAGAUUUAUGACUUAGGAAGACUAAUAGUUUGACCCGAGGCUGCUUCAUGUGAUGUUAUAAUGUUUUUCAUGACUUGUGUUUGGCUCUCCUCCACUUAUAAAAUGAAGCAAUCAUCUGCAAACAUGAGAAAAGUCACUGAAGGGGCACCCUUAAAAAUUGUCAUACCUCGAAUUUCUCUACGCUUUUUAGCGCACCGAAUUAGUGAGGUGACCCUCUUUGCAGAUAAUGAAGAUAUAAGGGGAGACAAGAACCCAUUGUUGCAAUCCAUGAACAUGGAUCACUAGACAUGGCGCUUCGUUGUUAACGAGAAUCGAGUAAUCAACAGACUCCACACUCAUAGUCAUCCACUUAAUUCACCUCGCUCUAAAAUACAUUUUACUCAUCACCUCUAAUAUAUACUCCCAAUCCAUCAUGUCAUAAGCUUUACUAAUGUCGAUCUUUAGGGCCAUACAAUUGUCGCUACCUUUAAUCUCUGUCUUCAUGUAAUGAAUAACCUCAAUAGCCACCAUGGCGUUUUCAAGAAUGGAGUGAUCAGGGACAAAAGUUGAUUGAUUAUCAGAUAUGCACUUUGAGAAACAUCUUUCAAUCUGUUAGCAAAUACCUUAGAAAUCAACAUAUACAUGACAUUACAAAGUUCAAUAGGGUGUUAGUUUCUCAUUGUUGUCUGAAUGUUAGCUUUGUGAAUGAGAGCUAUAUUCGUUGUGUUUAGAGUUGCCGGAAAUUGUCUCGUAUCAAGCCAAACACAAUAUUCAUUGAAAACAUCAUCACUACACAAAUUCCAAAAAUGUUGAUAGAAAUAUGAGUUAUACCCAUCAAGACUUGGGUAUUUAUUAGGAUGCAUUAAAAACAUUGCUUGAUGAAACUCUCAUUCUUAAUAAACAUCAUCUUAUAAGAGUAAUCGAAUCAUUUGCCUUCGCCAAGAUCACAUUUGAUGACAAUCAUCAAUGUUAACUCUUAAUUUAUUACAAUGCUCUUUACUCCAUACAUUAAUGUCUUGUAAAUAGGACCAAAUUCUUUUUUUUUUUUUUUUUUCGGUAGAUGACCAAAUUCAGUAUUUAUUAACCAAAUUAUGAACAUAAUUAACCAAUUUUUUUAAAGAUAAUUAACCACGUAUUAUUAAUUAAGUAAUUGAAUUUUAUUUGUGUGUGAGAAAAUAAAACAAGUAUUUCAAUUUUGUUCAUUUUGAAGGAUCAUAUCGAAGAGAAAUGAUAUCUGUACAACCACUUUCUCACAACUUUCUCUCUCAUACUUACAUUAUCAUCUUAUUCUCCCUCUUUCUUUUAUUUCUCUCUAUUAUUUUUGACCAAUGAAAAGAGAGAGAAAAUAAGUUAUCACAAAAAUUAUCUCAUACUAGACUUUCCACCCGUGCUGCCGCACGGGUCAUAUACAUUGUAGAUAUAGUAGACAAAAACAAAUCUCAAUGCAUAUCAAAGAGAAUGAAAUAUGUGGUCCCAAAUAUAUGCAGAUGUUGGAAUUCGAACCUCAGACACCACGCUUAUUCACCAAAAAAAUAUUAAUUUUUAUCAAUCGUGUGUUACUUCAUUCUUUUGUUAAAAUUAUAUGUCAAUAUUAUAUUAUUGGUAUGUAACUUCAUAUUUUUCUUCUUUUUUUUGAAAAAAUGUUACUUCAUUCUUUUGUAAAAAUUAUAUGUUAAUGUUAUAUUAUGUACCUAAAAAUAGUUCAUUCUUAACCUCAACAUGUAAAAUGUUUUAUUUAAAUAAUUUUCCUUUUAUCGAAUAUUUGGCCUUUACCGUAAAUGAUACCCUUUAACUGUUUGUUGAAAUGUUUCUUCCACCUGUUUAUAUAGAUUGCAAAAUUCAGGUGCAUUUUGUGGUAAAUAUUUAACAAAGAGAGUUCAGUUCUAAUUUGGAUGAAAAGUGUAAUAUUAACAAAAAAAAUGUUGUUAUAAUCUUUCAAAACCCUUUUAUUCCAAUAGGGCGAUUUGUUUUGUUGAAGAAAUAGGGCGAUUUGUUUUGAAGAAAUAGGGGAAAUAAAGCGAUGCCGAUUUGCUUUGUUCAUGAAAAUAGGAGAUUAGGUGUGAGCAUUAGCGUUGUUCAUGAAAAUAGAAGAUUAGGUGUGAGCAUUAGGGUUAAAACGGUAAAAUUAUGCAACAGGGUUUAGGUUAAAAUUAGGGCUCAUGAAAAUAUGAGAUUAGGUGUGAGCAUUAGGGUUGUUCAUGAAAAUAUAAGAUUAGGUGUGAGCAUUAGGGUUAAAACGGUAAAAUUAUGCAACAGGGUUUAGGUUAAAAUUAGGGCUCAUGAAAAUAUGAGAUUAGGUGUGAGCAUUAGCGGUUGUUCAUGAAAAUAUAAGAUUAGGUGUGAGCAUUAGGGUUAAAACGGUAAAAUUAUGCAAUAGGAUUUAGGUUAAAAUUAGGGCUUACGGGUUACCUUUAAUAUAUAAGAAGAUUAGGUGAGAGCAAUAGGAUUGUUCAUGAAAAUAGGAGAUUAGGUGUGAACAUUAGGGUUAAAACAGUAAAAUUAUGCAAUAGGGUUUAGGUUAAAAUUAGGGCUUACUUGUUAACUUUAAUAUAUAAGAAGAUUAGGUGAGAGCAUUAGGAUUGUUCAUGAAAAUAGGAGAUUAGGUGUGAACAUUAGGGUUAAAACAGUAAAAUUAUGCAAUAGGGUUUAGGUUUAAAUUAGGGCUUACAUGUUAACUUUAAUAUAUAAGAAGAUUGUUCAUGAAAAUAGGAGAUUAGGUGUGAACAUUAGGGUUAAAACAAUAAAAUUAUGCAAUAGGAUUUAGGUUAAAAUUAGGGCUUACUUGUUAACUUUAAUAUAUAAGAAGAUUAGGAGAGAGCAUUAAGAUUGUUCAUGAAAAUAGGAGAUUAGGUGUGAACAUUAGGGUUAAAACAGUAAAAUUAUGCAAUAGGGUUUAGGUUAAAAUUAGGGCUUACUUGUUAACUUUAAUAUAUAAGAAGAUAAGAAGAUUAGGAGAGAGCAUUAGGAAUGUUCAUGAAAAUAGGAGAUUAGGUGUGAACAUUAGGGUUAAAACAGUAAAAUUAUGCAAUAGGGUUUAGGUUAAAAUUAGGGCUUACUUGUUAACUUUAAUAUAUAAGAAGAUAAGAAGAUAGGAGAUUAGGUGUAAACAUUAGGGUUAAAACAGUAAAAUUAUGCAAUAGGGUUUAGGUUAAAAUUAGGGCUUACUUGUUAACUUUAAUAUAUAAGAAGAUGAUUGUUCAAAUAACACUACUCCAUCGAAAAAGACUUCAAGAUAUUCCUAAAAUGAAAUUUGUUGUUUUGUAAUAGUUUCCUUUGAACAAGUUUCGCAUUAACACUCCACUCACUUUCCUACAAUAUCGAAGAUUAGAGAUUAUUACAGAUAACUUCUUCUUCUUCUUCUUCCAACAAACAACAAUGUCUCAUUCUUCUCUUCUCACCCCCUCUUCCUCUCUUACACUCAACUCUCCUCUUCUUUCCCCCACCACUGGUUCUUCUUCUCACAGUCUUUCUCUUCCCUCCCACCCUUUUCUCUCCGGGUAUGUAUCUUUUUCUUUCUUUAUCUUUUCUUCAAUUUCAAUUUUUUAUAACAACCCUUGAACUUAUUCCGAACCCUUUCUUUUAACUCAAUUUUAAUUCCUCGUAAAGUUCUUAUUUUUGUUUCAUUUCUAUAAUUUCGAGAUUUUUUUCUUCUUCCAAUUUGUGGGUAUUGAGUUUUUGUUGUUUGUUUACUUGAUUCUUUGUGUUAGGUUAUUAGGUUCAUAGAAAAUUGCCCCUUUUCAUAUUUUUGCUAGUGGGGUUAGGGUGAAAUUGAAAUUUUUUGGAAUUCAUUUUUGUGUUGUACGUGUCAACUGAAAAAUGAUGCAAAUAUUAUGAUAAAUUGGAACUGGCUUAUUCUUGAGACAAAUGAAUAAUCUGGGUUGGUGUAAAAGUCUUUCAAUUUUUACUAGUUUAAGCUCAAAUUAACCAAGUGAUUAAUUAGCUCUAGUUAGGACAAAUCUUUUAUGAGAAUCCGAGUUCAAAUCGUGGUUAAAACAAUUAUUGGUCAGACUUUACUUACUUUCUGGUUAAUUACCGUGGCUUCCUCCCUCGGGGCCUGAAGGACCCCCUUCCAAUAGAAUAUUCUAUGUUAUUCUUUAUAUUUUACUUCUACCAACAGAAUAAAACCAUGCUGUGAUUUGCAGGAAAUUGAGGAAACCUGUAGAAUUUAGAAAGAUUACCCGAAAAUCUGCCGUGAAAGCGGUCUAUGGUGAUCAAUUUUGGGGACAUGAGAGGAGUUCACGUCAGGGUAUUUGGUCCAUAAGGUAGAUUUUGCUUGUUAAUUUGUUUAAUCUGUUAACUUUAGUCUUAUUUAUUGACUUGAAUUAUGUGUUCUUCUAGGGAGGAUUUGGGAGUUCCAUCUUCGCCUUAUUUUCCUACCUAUGCACAAGGACAAGGGCCACCCCCAAUGGUGCAGGAGCGUUUCCAGAGUGUUAUAAGUCAGCUUUUCCAAUAUGUAAGGAUUUUUUACGCUUGGCGUUGCUUAAUGUUGAGUGUUUAGUCCUUCGAGUAUUAAUAAUCUGUUUUGGUAUUUAGAGAAUAAUCCGUUGUGGUGGAGCAGUUGACGAUGAUAUGGCAAAUAUCAUAGUUUCUCAGCUCCUUUAUCUUGAUGCUGUUGACCCAAACAAGGUUUGUCCUUCGUUUUUUAGUUGAUCAAAGCUCGUGGUUACAUAUGCCUUCAUCUAUAUAAAGUGAUCCUUUGCAUUUCUAGAGAUGUCAUCAAACACAUACAUUUUGAUAUGGCUAUGAUUUUGAGUUUAUCUUUAUCUACUAUGUUGAACAGGAUAUUGUCAUGUAUGUAAAUUCUCCCGGAGGGUCGGUUACAGCUGGUAAUAAUUUCUUAUGCAACUAUCUUGUACUUGUUUGUAUGUUUAUUUUUAUUACAUGUACUCUAAACAUAGGCUAAGAAAAUAUCAUUUCAUUCAAAAAGUAAUACACUUUCUUUGUUUUUGUUCUUAGGUAUGGCAAUAUUUGAUACAAUGAAGCAUAUCAGACCUGAUGUGUCCACUGUCUGUGUUGGAUUGGCGGCUAGGUAAUAUUUCAUUCUUCCUCCGGUUAAUAAUACAUAAUUGCUGAUAAGUUACCACUCACUAUCAGUAAAAGGGUAAAAGUAUAUCCUAACUUUCAUGUACACACGCAAAACUUAUUCACUUUUUUUUUUUACUGAGUGCUAGGAGAAUUUAAGAUGAAUUAAGACCCUCACUUGCGCACUGUCUAUUAAGCCUAUCUUAUUUUAGAUAAAUAUUUCUUUUCUAUUUGUGUGUAUUUAUUUAGCGUGAUUGGUCGCCCUCAUACACACCCCUUUUCUCAUUUUCUGUGUUUCCUGUCACUAGUAGACUAUGAAAGCCCAACAUAGAUAGGGAUACAGGACAUUGACACAGACACAUCGAUAUGAACAAAAUUUAAAAUAUAGGACACCGGGAUUUGUUGAGACUUGAGAUCAUGAGAGGAGUUAGUCUCAACCAAUCAUGUGUGGUUAUAUGAUUAUAUAUCUUUUGGCAUGAUUAUGCAUGCACAUGCUGAAUACAUACACGUGUGAGGGCAAGGGGGAAAGAAAAAUAUUCCAAAUGAAGUGAUAUUGUUAGAGACAUAACAUUUUUUUAUAAGUGUUCUUAUUUUUAAGUGUUAAACCAUAAUUGUCAGCUAAGGGUCCGUACUUUACGCCACUAAUUGGUCCGUUUCAUAUGCAUAUUAGAUCAAACUUGACUGUAAUAGUAUAAAACCGGAUAUUUUAAUACUAUGUGGUGUUUGAUAUGACACCGUACAAGUAUAUUAUACAAGACAAUACUAUCUUACAUUUUAUAAUGACUUACACUUUUAUAACAGGAUAAAAGCAAGCAUAUUUUUACCAACAUACCCUAUAUUGAGCAUACAUUAUAUUUACAUAGAUAUACAUGUUUUAUUGUUUUUACAGAAAAAAGUCAAUAAACACUAGAUAUGAGAUCGGGUCUUCAUAUGGAAAAUAGAAGAUUUUAAUAAAAACCUAGAUUGAAUAGUAAUUGAUGAAUUUAAACAGGGUUGCGCAAGAGCAUUGAAUUGUCACCAUAGUUUAUGUACGGAAUGAGUUUCUUUUAAAUAGCCAUGUAUUAUGUAUGCAUUAUUGUAUAAUUAAGCAUUAAACUUUGAUAUGAUUUUUGUUUUAAUUUUUUUAUUUUUAUCUGCAUUACUGAUAAACUUUUAAGGAAUGUUAUUUUAUUUAGGCUAUUUGGGCUAAAUUGUUGUCUCAUAUUUUCUUUAAUUAUAUAAAAUUUUUGAUAUUUUCUUUAAAUAAGAACUUUUGAACUUAAAACCUAAGAGCUUCUUAGGCUAUAUCUUUGCAAAAUAUGCUGAACACAAGAUAUGUAAGGUCCACCAUUUGCAUUAGUCACUCAGACUAGUGCACUAUAUUUUGGCUAUUUGGUGUUUUGGACUAAAUGGCUGUCUCAUAUUGUCUUUAAUUAUUUACAAAAAUUAUAUAUUUACCCUUAACCAAGAAAGAACUUUUGAACAAAAAGCUUAAGAGCUUCUUAGGCUACGCCUUUGUAAAAUAUGCUGAACACAAGAUAUGAGAGGUCCACCAUUUGCAGCUAGAAACUCAAGAGUGCACUCUAUUUCCAAUAUAUGUCAUACCUGUUUAUGUUAUGGAUUUGUGGUCUACCGUUAGCCUAGUUCUUCUCAGUGGUUAAGCCUUAAGACAGUCUAUUUUAACUGAUACCAUUAAUAUAUAACCUUAAUUACUCUGUUAAUUUCCUUUUAAUUUAGUGCCUGAAAAUUCCAGUUCUCCUAUUUUUUGCUUGAUUUUAGUCCUAUUAUUUUAAAACAAAUGUGGUUCAUUAAACCGAGUUUCGUCCAACUGGUUAAUUCAGCUUCUUAGUCUACGCUGAUCUAACAGUAUACGGAAGUUGUGCUAACAUGGCAUCUGAUGCAUGGAGCUGUGUACCCUCUUGGUCAAGUAUUCUCAUCGACGCCAACUGAGUUUAGUUGCAUAACUGAAACAUCUCUGAGCUUUGGGUUAUGUACCUUCUCGAUUGAGAGCUGAGUUCGACAUUUCUCCGGAGCAGGGAGAUGGUACUAUUUACCUUUACCUUUCUGACCAAGUAUGGAGUUAGAAAUCAAGUUCAUUCCCUCUUUAAAGCAUGGUGGUUGGAAGGAUGAGUAGCCUCUCGACCAAUCACAGCUUCUUGUCUGAGUAUACGAAACCCCCCCAAUGCAAGUCUGGAUAAUUUCCAUCAUGUCCAACUUAACUCUAACACAUCCAUCAGAUAUCGGACCUUAAAUGAACAGAUUGACUAAGCUUGUUCAAUUUUAAGAAUAAGCGGACUGAGACCGAGAACCAAAAACUAGAGAGACCAAAAUAGCACAUCAGCUAUAUUUGAGGGAUCAAAGUUGCAAUUAAACACAAGUUUGAUACAUAUUUGUAUCUUGACAUAUCACCGGAAAUGUCCAAUAUUAUUAGUAAUUUCACACUGAAAACUAAUUGAUAGGUGAUUGUAUGCUUGUAACUUUUUAUCUUUUAAUUUGUUGAAGAAAUUUUUAAUUCCUGUACUUAUAUAUUGAUCUGUUCAUGAGCAGUAUGGGAGCUUUUCUGCUUAGCGCGGGGACCAAAGGUAAUGAUUCCUUUAACUUGCAAUGACUGUAUCCAUUUUUCUUCUUUUCUUGGUCCACAUUUGCAAAAGGGGAAAAUGACUAUGUCUAACUUUAUAUUCCCGCCUCUGUCAUUUUUGAAGGAAAACGAUUCAGCUUGCCAAACUCAAGGAUAAUGAUUCAUCAACCACUUGGUGGUUUCCAAGGAGGGCAAACUGACAUAGAUAUUCAGGUAUAUAUAGUCCCUGUUUUCUUCCCCCCUCAUUUGAUGGCACAAACCUCUUGUUUCUUCUGAUAAAAUCAUACUCCCUCCGUCCCUAAUUAUAAGACCCUUUUGAAAAAAUCAUUUGUCCCUUUUUAUACCCCUUUGGUGUUUUCAAGUACAUUAAUUAUUUCUUUACCAACAUACCCUUAUUUAUUUUGCAUUUUUCUUCAAUCAACGAUAAAUAUUAUAUUGAAAACAUAAAUUUACUCUCUCUCUUAAGGAUAAAAUUGUAAAAACAAUAGUAAUUAUAUAAAAAUUUAAUACUACAACCAACUUUCUUAAUCUCCGCAAUUUUAGCAAAAGGCUCCUAUAUUUAGGGACGGAGGGAGUAUAUCUUUUUCAUAGAAAAUUAAAGGCUAUCACAGGUAGCACUUGAAGUCUAAUGAGUUAUCCUUAAACCAUGAUAACAUUAAAUUCCCUACAAGUGUUCCAUACUCUUACAUUCCUAUUUUUCCUUUCCUAUACCGUUCUAUUGUAUUCCAUUCCAUGUCAUACUUUUUGGCUUUAGUUGGUUUUUGGAUUGGAUUUGAUUAGUUGAUUUUGAACACCUAUACAAUAAGGGAUAUCAUCCAUGUGCCAAGGAAGACAUGACAUGAUUGGUUAACUUUUACAGUUAAUUUUUUUGCACAAGUAUUAUAAAUUCAUAAUUAUGAUUCAUAAUCCUCUCAGGCUAAUGAAAUGCUGCAUCACAAGGCAAACCUGAAUGGGUAUCUGUCCUAUCAAACUGGGCAAAGUUUAGAGAAAAUUAACCAGGAUACAGACCGUGAUUUUUUCAUGAGUGCAAAAGAAGCCAAAGAAUAUGGACUCAUCGAUGGUGUCAUCAUGAAUCCUCUCAAAGCUCUUCAGCCUUUAGCAACUGCAGAGGAGGGUAAAGAUCGGGCUAUUCUUUGAACUCGACACUGUUGUACUCCUAAUUUCGUAGGUACGAAAAACAAGGAUGUUGUUUUUGGUUGGUUGCUUAGUAUAGCUGAAUUUUUCACAGAUGUUGAUAUCUGUAUAACGGUGUACCAACAAAUGAGGCCAAAAUGAUACCUAGUGAUGUUGUAUUGCCUUAGAGUUUAUACUGUUAUAAUUCAAAAAAGCUUCCUUAACGCGGAUCCUGGAUUUGCGUUUUUCCUUCUAGCAUUGUAUUCAAUAUUGUGAUAACUGAUGAUAUGGCCUCAUAUGUUGCAUCCCUUAGACAUGUGAUUCACUUCAUACUCGACGGAUGCCAUACCAAAUUGUUAUAGACCAAAAAUAUAAAGGAAUGACUGGGUGGUUCAGCAGAAAUAAAAGAAAUGUCAUUUCUUAGUUUUGAUAGUUAGGGUUGAAGAUUCUUUCAUACAUUUAUUUUGUAAUUUAUAAUAAUUUUUUUUAUGGUAUCUAUAUAAAUAAAGCGAUAGACAUUAAAUCUCAAAAAAAUUAUAUAAUGUUUUACAUAAAAGUAUAUAUUCAAUUCAUAAAUUUUAUAGAAUUUAAUUUUAACCUAUAGUAAAAUAAUUUUACACAUUUAAAUCUUACCACGUAGAUAUAUGUGUAUGUAUUUGAGAAAAUAAUAUAAUCACAUAUCUAUAUGGUGAUGUCUGAUUAGAUAUCUAUGUACAAUUUACAUCGGUUAGUACAUCAGAAAUUUUUUAGGUAACAAGUAUAUUUUGGAUCUUGUCAAAAAAAAAAAAGUAUAUUUUGGAUAUCAAAUUUUUUUAGUUUGAACACAAUUUGAUCAAUUUCAAUUUACAAGAACUUUCUACAUUUGCUUUUUUCUCACUACCAAAGUCAUUCCAAGUCUAAAUUAAUCAUUGGUAGUUAAGAUUUAAGUAUCACCUACUUUAGACAGUCACUCAUCAUCGUCAACCAUCAACUGUUACAUUUGCAUCCAUGAAAGAAAUUUGGUAAGAGGAAGAUCAUUUGGAUGUUUGAUUAUAAAUCCACUUCUGAGUUAGUUUAUUUGGCACUAUGGGGACGUUAACAUUGACAAGCAUAGCAUAACAUUUUUCUUUUGAUUUUUCAUAGGUUCCUUUCACUUGAUGUAACCUUAUUUCAUGCAUAUCAGACACUAAAUAUAGGUACAUCUUUCAUUCGAAGUACGGAUCUUGUUUGUCACAUUAUAUGACCUAUUUCGUCAGACUCUAUCUAUUAAUAAUUUUUUUUUUGUUUUUGUUAAAUAACCUAUUGAUAAUACAUUCAUCUCUUAAAGGUUUCGGAUGCCCAUAAUUAUGAACUCCAGAAUUUGCAUCCUGCAAUGUUUCUGUCAACCCUGAAUUAUGUUCACGAGACUAAUGAAACCUUUUUAUUUACCUAAGUUUAAUUAUCUUGCGCUGUUCUGAAGCCUCCAAUUUAUUUUUGUACCGAAUGGCCUAAAAUAUAUGUGUAGAUCCCCUACUUCCAACUAAACAUCUAAAUGAAAAUCUUCCUAAUCCAAUUAGAUUUAGCUACUUCAACCGCAACUAUAUCCAUAUAUAUAUAUAUAUAUAUAUAUAUAUAUAUAUAUUUAUAAUAGCAACUAUAUCUAAUUUAAGCCAAAGGAAAAGGCUAGAGUUUGAUAAUUCGUAAUUAUGUUAGGUAGCUUACGGCGUAAAGUACAAUUCAUAUGACGACGUCCAUUUUUUCAUACACAUAAUAAAAACCAAGAUAACGAUCCCACGCAUACCAGCAACAAAGACAGACAAUAUUAAAAAUUUGUUUCAUAGCAGUAUAUUAAAAAGGAUACAUUUAGUCAUGGAAAAUGUACAUUUCCAGCUCCGGUUGUAUAUAAAAAGUAAGAUUAUAAGGGUUUGAAAAAUACUCAAUACAAAUCACUCUAUUAGUAAAAGUACUUUUUUUGUGGUGUCAAGGAUUUGAACCCCACACCCUGUAUAUUUUAUGCAUUGUCCUUAUCAACUGAGAUGAGUAUUAAUAAAAGUACUCUAUUAUAACUGAAUAGUUAUACCAGUUAAAAUCAAUGACUAUUUAGCAACAAAAAUCAUACGUAAUAUGCCAAAAUGAUUGUUAUAUAGCAAUACAAACUAAGAUCCGUUCAACUCAACUUUUGGGUAAGAGAAAGAAACAACUUAAUAAUUUGGAUGAAUAAGUAAUCUUUCAAUUGUUAAAUUAAUAUUUACUUCUUCGUCCAAGUUUAAACCCAUAAUCUAAAACUCUUCUUCGUGAUAAUUAAUUGUUAAUAAGACUGGAAUUUUUUUUUGUUUAUAAGACUUGGAUUAAUUGAUGGCUAUCUAAAUCACAAACGCUAACAAGAUUUUUACAUAUCAUUCAUCAAAGAGACCUGCAUACUAGUAACAUAAAGAACUCAUGCUUUUUAUAUAUCAUGCGUUAUCUAAUUUGUGGUUAAAUAACACAAUUCAUUUUCUAAUGCAGACAAAUAAAUUCAAUGAUGUUUCGUCAACGAAGAGCGAGUGAACAGCCAAAGAGGUUUCCUCAAAAUUUCGAACUGUUUCCACUCUCAUCAAUUAAAUUUGGCACCCAAUUAAACAUCCGCAUUAUUCAAAAUUCAAACCAUGCCAAUAUAUUCUUUUUUUUCGUACCAAACCAAUGUGACAAUGGACGUUGAGAUUGAGCUAAAUUAAAUACUAUUAUUAUAGAGAUAUAAAGAAUCAACACCAUGUCCUAUAAAAUGUCAACUAAGUAACCAAUGGACGUGGUAACCACUUAUUAAAUUUCAUUUCAUAAAAAAUAGUUGUCAAGUCACAUACAUAAAGAAACACCUUUACUUAAUCUUGAACUUCCCUUAGCUUGUAAAUAAAGAACAACGUGUUUCUUCAAUUCAACACUAAUUGUUUUCAUUCUACACAAAAUGGAUUGGCAGAAAAAAUCCAAAGAGUUCUUCUUCAACUAUAUUGCUAUCUACACCCCUACAAGGAUUUUCCACCUCCUCACCAUCACAAUCCUCACCCUUCUCCUCCCUCUAUCUUUUCUUCUCUUAGCUAGUCUCUCUGGUGCAAAAUUCUACCUUCAAAUUCAUUCACAACAACCCUUACCUUAUCUUUUCUCUUUUGCUAUACACACCUCCCCAUGUAUUCUCUACGUUCUUGUCUCCAUUGUAAGUGUAGCUACUUUGAUCAAUGGUUUGAUGGGAAAAAUCAACCUUAUGAAUGAUUCAUCCAAUUCUAUUCUUCUCCAAACUCGUCUUUACAUGUCAUGGAAAUGGAUUCUUCUUUUCACUUUUCAAAUAUGUGUUGGUUUAGGAAUUGAAGCAAGCAUUGCAGCUGGAGUUUUCGACUCCGACAACGAUGUUUUUGAUGAUGGUUCUAGUAGUUUUGGUGUUGAAAGAAGCUUCAUAAGUAGAAUGAUAUUUCUUUUGGGACUACAUGAAACAACACAAAUUUGGUCAAGAGUUGUUGUGAGACCAGUGGUUGAUGACACUAUAUUUGGUGUUGGAAAAACAGAAAGAUUAUGGAUUGAGAAAGUGGUUGUGGCAGGUAGUUUAGGAACAUUGUGGUGGUGGAAGUUGAGAGAGGAAGUUGAGAAUUUAGGUGUUAUGGCUGAAACAAAGAAAGAUGAAAUGAUGGAGGUGGGAAUAGAAGAAUUUGUUGGUUGGUGGUUGUAUUAUUUAACUGUUACAAUUGGUAUGGUGAGGAUUGUGAAAGGUCUUAUGUGGAUUUUCAUGAUUUCUCUAUGUAGAAGAAGGGUAACACAGAUUAAUGAGGUGGAAUUGGAACUGAGUCAGAAUGAUGACAAGGUGUAAAUUUGACAAGUUUUGGUUUUGGUUCUUUACUUGUUUCUUACUCUAUCUUUUUUUUGUCAUUUUAUUCUAUGGUUAGGGAUAUUGCAAUAUUGUAUACUUUUGGCAGAAUUGUGAUAAACCCGUGGCCAAUAUUGUAAUGAUGAUGUAUUAUUGCUCAACUUGUUGAUAAUCACUUCUUUAAUAAGGCUUAUUGAUCUUCUUUUUUAUUUCAAGGAAAGACAAAAUGGGCUUGUUGAUAUUUUUGCUUUUUUUAUGAUGUUACUAAUAUCAAUAUAGAGGUUGCAUUGCAUGGUUUGUUUUUCUAAUUGCAACACAAUUACAACUGAAAUAAUAUCUUUGUCAUUUUACCACAAUUUAAAAUUUUGAGUAUAAUUGACUAGUUUGAUUAGAAUCUAAACUUACAGAAUGAUAUUUAUUUAGUGUUUAUUGUUUAACUAAUCUCGAUUCCAUGAUUUUUUUUUGAAGUGUAUUGUUGUGAAUUUGAUGAGAAAACACACCAAUAAUAAACUUGAUGUGUGGAGUAAGUGAUAAUCAGGCAACCAAAAAUCAAAGUGUAUGGAACAUUUAUAAACACAAGCCAAAAGUAGAAAACAAUGAGAGAAAAGAAGAGAGAACACAAAAGAAUUUGUUGACUCAGUUCGGUCCAAAUUGACCUAGUCUGGGGAGAGAGCAGCCCUCCGUUUUACUAUGAUGAGUAACGUUACAAAAGAGAUAUCAAUGGGUUACAAGAAUAAGUCUCCAGCCUAAUUCUACCCAAAGUCUCAAUCUCUUCCCGUAACCAAGAGACUCAAUCCUAAUAGUGUUUUCCAAGGUGAAUCAACCCUCAAACCCUAGUGUUUGUUCCAAAGAGACAAACUCUAUACAAACCCUAGUUUUGUUGUUGCCUUUCUGAACUCUUGUUUCAGCCCCCUCUAUCUCAAAGUUUACUCUGAUACAAGGUCUAUAUUUAUAGUAAAAGUAUCGCUUAAAAUUUGGAAUAAAUCUGCACCCAAAAAUACACUUCUGUUGUUCGCUGCCAACGCCCCAUCGUGCCACAAAAAAUCCAGUAACUUGUCUCAAAACUGAAACCUCCAAUCGUGCCACGUUGCCCAGCCAUCGUACCACGAUUUCUGCGGAACCUGAUUUUAAGUUAACUCUCAUAUGAAUUGAAAUUGGUAUUUUGGAGUUUUUAACACUCACAAAUUGUGCACCAGGCACAUGCACCUGCCGUACACUUUGUGGCAUCUUUAACUAAAAGAAAGUGAGUACAAAGAAAAUAAUCUGCGAGUUCAAUCAUAAAUGGAAAAGAAAGUGAGUGCAAAGGAUUGCGUGUUUAAUUAAUUUAAUCAAUAAUAAAAACAUGUGAGUAUAAUUAAUCUAAGACUUAAUAACAUGGUGUAACACAAGUGAUAAAUACUUGAGUCAUCUAAUUAUUUUCACAAAGGAUUCGACCCAUAUGUAUGGAUUUGACAGAAUGAGUGUGCCUCUCUAAUUUCAUAUACUUUAGAGCUUUAACAAAAUCAUGAUGUCGUAGUAAGUUCUCAAUAUAUCCGUCAACUCAAACAUGCAUUUUCCCUAAUAUGAUCAAACAACCCAUUUUGGGGAAUUUUAAAGGAAUGUAUACAUAUACAUUGUAAUUGAGUGUUUAAAAUUUCUUUUACAUAUAUUUAUCUCAAAGAAACUUCCAAGCUGAGAUUGAAUGAAUUGGAGUCCCUUUCCAUCCAAUUAUUAAACACUUCCCAUUUUUGUCUAUAGUACAAAACUUCCCACAGUCAAACUUUUUAGUAACCAAAUUAGCUUGAUAAAUUGAAGACUCACUGAAUCCAGUUUCCACCAUUCUAUACCUUGCAAAGAACCUUCUCCAAACAUCAAUCUUCACAUUCCUAACCUUCCUUUCUUCAUCUUCCAAACCAACAAUGUUUCUUAUCCCUUCAGAUAAUAUUGCUUCCAUCAUUACUCUACACUCAUAAUCCUCUUUUAUACAAGUAUCAACACAGUCAAAAAAUGCUGAGUAAAAGAACAAUGCUUCAACAAACCUAUUCGCAAACAAAGGUGAAUUAUGGUUUGCUUCAAGUUCAAGUACUAUCAUAAUAAACGGUUUCAUUUUUCUUAUCACCUUCAUCAAAUUCUCCAAGCCAUCAGAAUUUGAUACCAUAGUCCUAAGUGAACAUGGAGAGUAAAUAGCAACAGCUUCAUCAUAUUCAAUGUCAAAUUGAUCUAACUUAAUCUCCAUAGCAUCCUCAACAAAAACUAUGUUAUAUAAAAAGGGUAUGUUCAAGGAUUCAGCAAAACUCAUUAAACUUUUGCCAAUUUCUUCUAACUUAGCCUUGUUAGAAAAUCCAAUAGCUGUGAUCUUCAGAAUUUCAACCGGCUUUUCCUUGCGGUCUACUAAUGCUUGCAUGAAACAUGUACUCAUCACUCCACAUCCAAUAUUAAGAUGAAUCAAAUGGAUUUUUGUUUGUGAUGCAACAUGUUCCACUAUAGCUUGUACACCAGCAAAUUGCAUUACUUGAUUGAAAGGAAUUUUUUGAUGACAUUUAACUACUAUGUUAGUAUCUAAUUCCAUUUUAUCAAUCAAUUCCGUCUCCUUGUUUCUCUCAUUUGAUCUAUGCAGUUUCAUCUUUCCUCGUCCGGUUUCUCUGUUGAUUCUCUCUUGAAGGGCUUGAGAGAAAUGGAAAAGAAGUCUCUGAACUGUGCUUCCAAUAUUUCCACUUUCAUUCAUGAGAUGAAAAUGUGAAAGUAACAUGUUUGCACGUUCAAAUUGUUGACAACCUACUCUCUCAGCUGCUGCUAGAACAAACUGAGCUAGUUCAACUUGUUUAUUUUCUUCCUCCGACAACAAGCUUCCAAGAACAGUUCCAUAAGGAAUGUAAAGAUUAUUAUCAUGCCACUGUGAUGAGUUCUGGAUAUACUUCGUUCCUGCAAGUGUUAUUAUAUCUUCUGUUGACAACUUUUGAGGACUUGCACAAGUUUCAACAUUGCUUUUGUUUUUUUGCUUAUUGAACUUGCUUCCAUAAUUUUUCAAUAGCUCAAGUGAUGCUAAUGAAGAUGGUGGUGGCUUUUGCACCUGCUUAAGAGUUGGAAUUGAUAUUAUAGCUUGAUUUUCUUGCUCCAUUGUUGUUAUUGCAAAGAAACUGUGUUCUACGUGGAAGAUUAUAUAGUAAAAUUCUCUUGUAUAACCGUCUUGGAAUAUAUUGAUAUUGAAAGGUGUGAGAGAAAAAGAAUGGUUCAGCAUGUUUACGGUAUGGAAUCUUAACAUUGGAGGAAUCAUGGGAUGAUAUAUGUUUCGAUGUUUUUCUUAAAAUGUAGCCGUAAUUCCAUAAUUUGUUUGUCGUUGUUGAAACAAAUGGGAGAGUCGAAACAAACAAUGGUGUAGUAUAUGGAAUAUUUUACCAUAUAUAGGUGUUCUUAAGAAGUUCUGUCCAACGUGGCUAAUUAUGGCGUUGAAUGAAAAUGUUUGAUGGAAUGUUACGGAUAAGACAUUGGAAUUCCAAUUGUUCUAGAUGACUAUGCGGUGUGUGUGUGUUUUUUUUUUUUUUUUUUUUUUUUUUUUGUUACAAAUAGUAUGUUUCAUAUUUUUGACAAAAAAAAUCGUAUAUUUCAUUUGUUAGUUUCAUAUUUGAAUUUGUUAAGGAAUUAUAUAGGUGGUGGAUUCGCUAAUAGGAUGAAGUUGGUGUAUUUUUCGCAUCACAAUCGACUCACAUUAGAAUUAGUUAAUGUAAAAUUCACUAACAACUUAUGCAAAAUCGAAUGAUAGCCGAAUAAGCUGCCGAUUGAUAGAAGAGAUGACUAUCAAAUUUAAAUAGGAAUUGGAUAAUGUUUAAUUAGUCUAAAAGACUCCAACAUUGACUUGACUAAGUCAAAAGGUCAUAUUACAAUUUUCCUAUAUAUGUGGCAUGAUAAAGUAAUGGUUAUGCAAAGAGAAAAGAUAAACUGACCCCAAGGUUGAUUUUAAUGACAUAGCAUGGUUAAUUAGACAUUCAUUUCUUAAAGAUAGGAAUAAUGUGUAGAACAUAGGUAAAUGACGAUCGAGCAAUCAACCAUACACAAUUAUGCCCUCAACUCAGCCAUAUCAGCCAGAUAUUAGCUAGUUAAGUCCAGAACAUGUAUGAAGAUUUAUUCUCUUAAUAAUAAGGCGAUGAAGGAUGUGGAUGCUGAUAUGGAAGUUUAUAAUUUAGUCGACAAGGCAGCUUUGGGUUGUAACUUAGCCUACAAGAUACUCCCUCCGGUCUCAAAUGUAGGGAAAAAAAUAAAAAAAAAUUGUGGUCUCAAAUGUAAGAAAAAGUAUAGUAAAAGCAACCUAAUAAAUGCUACUAUUCCAAUUUUACCCCAUCUCCAUGAGUUCAAGAGUCACUUUCAUUAAUUAUUACUAAAACAUGACAAGGCAAAAUUGAAAAGUUGUACUUUUUUAACAUGACUUCAAUGUAAUCAAUUCAUUUUCUUAAUUGGUGUACUUUUUUUUUUCUUUUUCCCUACAUUUGAGACCGGAGGGAGUAGUAACUUACACCCCCUAUAAUAUUUGCGAACAACCGAAAAAUACUUUGAUUUUAAAUGACAUCGGAUAACUUGUAAGGACAAUUUUUUUAAUGGCAAUAGAUGAUAUAAUUAAGGACUCCGUUGCUACUGAGUGAUAUUGAUUCAAGAACUAAUUUUCUAGUAAGUGGUAAAUUUAGCGAGUAGUUUAACAUAAUAUUAGAUGCCAGUUAAUAUAAGGAUCAAGUUGUUUGACAAAAUUCUAUGUUAGAGGAUCAAUUUUGCAUAUUCGCAAAUUUUAGAGGUGUGAAUGCUCGACUCUUACAAGUUGUGGGGAUGAAUGGAUAAUUUACUAAACCAUAAAUUUGACUUAAAAAUGCUUGCGAUUAAAGUUGUGGACCUUUUUAGGAGACUAAUAAAGUACUCAAAAGGUGCUGGAGUGUUGGGGAGACUAAUAAUUCAAGGCAAAAAAACCUUUGAUACCACACUUUUAUUAAUCUAAAUUUUAAGAAAUUAGAAAUCUAUAUCACCUCUUUGACAAUUGCUUUUUUAACAUUCAAUAGUUCCUAAACACAAGUAAAAUCCUAAAAUAUCUUAACGGUAGUUAAUUGCCGUUGACUUAUAACUAUAAAACCGGCAGCAGUUACCUGCCAUUGAAUUUUUUAGUUAUUUACUUAUGUUUCUAAGAGACAUUGAAUGUCGGAACAAAAAUUAUCCACCAAUUUAAGGAACCUGUAUGAAAUUUUACACUCACACUUUAAUCCUUUCGGAAAAGAAAAACAAAAAAAAAACACCGACACUUUAACAAAUAUGGUGGAAAUUGUAUUGGGCAAGUUAUCAACGUACCAAGCUAAGUUGGUUGCUAAAAAGUUUUGGUUGUGAGAAGUUUGUACUAUUGAGAAAUAAAGUUUCCACUCAUUUGCGAGUGGGUAAUUGAGCCUCUAUCAUUUUUGGUCCUCAAAAUAUGGAUGAUUGAUCCAGUUACGUCUCAUACUAAUUAUUGGUGUCAUUUAAUUUGGGAAAGGAAAGUUCUUUUUCACCAUGGGAAAGUUGAUCAUAUCCAUUAAAUUAAAUAAGGAACAUAUUCCUAUCAUACUCUCUCAACCACUAGAUUAUUUUUUUAUACUAUCUUUCACACUCUCUCUUUCAUGUUCCCACACACCCAUACCACCACCACUAAAUCACAAAUUCAACAACCACUUUGACCACCAUUGCACCACCACACACCACCACUGCACCACCACACACCACCAUGGUUGCUGCCGGAAAGAACUCUCCUUUCCCAAAUUAAAUGGCACCAUCAUUUUAAUCAAAACUCAAGGGUACCUGCAAAUUUUCCUAUAAAGAAUCUAAAUUAACCUAACGAUGCAAUAUUAUAUUUUUUUAGAGGGAUGCAAUAUUAUUUUGUUCAUAGUUUAUUUUAGAGGGAUGCAUAAUUAUCUUGUUGUUCGAAUUCCAACCGCCAUCGCAUAAACUAUACCUGUUUGUGAUCGUGUUUUUUUUAUCCAAUUAAUCCGUUUCUCUCCGGGUAAAAUGAUUGUAUUAUAUAAUUUUGAAUUAUAUUAUUUUUCUUCUGUUUUUUUUUUUUAUAAAAAAACAAAUGGGUUCAUGGAAGCAUAAAAAAGAAAAGAAAAGAAAAAAUGUUAAAAAAGUAAGGUUUAAAUGCAUUUUUGGUCUUUCUAUUUAAAAAGAAAAUGAUGUUUUGGUCUUCCUAUUUUAAAAAUCGUACGCUAACAAGUUUUCCGGCAGCAACCAUGGUGGUGUGUGGUGGUGCAGUGGUGGUCAAAGUGGUUGUUGAAUUUGUGAUUUAGUGGUGGUGGUAUGGGUGUGUGGGGACAUGAAAGAGAGAGUGUGAAAGAUAAUAUAAAAAAAAUAAUAUAGUGGUUGAGAGAGUAUGAUAGAAAUAUGUUUCUUAUUUAAUUUAAUGGAUAUGAUCAACUUUCCCAUGGUAGAAAAGAACUCUUCUUUCCCAAAUUAAAUGGCAUCUAGUUACUAACUUCUUUAGGUGGGGUUUAGCAUGAGAAAGGGGAAUUGUUUCCCACCAUGGGAAAGUCAAUUUGAACCAUUAGAUCUACAAUCUUAUCAUACACUCUCAACACUAUAUUUUUGUCACUAUCUUCCACUACCAUCUCUCUCCUUCAUCCCCACCAACCCACCACCAGCAACACCAUGAGAACUAUAGUUUUUACCAAUCAGAUUCAAAAUUUUAACAAUCAAUAUUCCAUGAACUUACUUUUUGCAAUUCAAAGUAAUCAAUCCUUGCAGGACACUAUAUAGGAACAAAUUGUUUGAUUUGAGGAAAAUAUAUUCUCAACCUCUGGCUGACGGAACAGUUGGGUCUUGAAUAAUAGAAGGAACAUAUAAAAAUUUACACAAGUUAGCAUACAAAUUCACACACUAUUGUGAUUAAUUUCUUUUGGAAGAAAAAAAUAUGUAUUCGUGCAGUCAGGUUAGGUUAGUUGCCUCAGCACUCAACACAAAUACAAAUGCAGAGGUUAGAUUUGUGGUCUAAUAAUGGAAGGGAAGCUUAGAUUGCUCCAAAUCUGAUAUCCACUUCAUAUAUAAUAAUAAACAAUCAAAACCAUGAGAAAUGUUUUAGAUUUGGAUUAAUACAUUGCAUCAAAGAAAAUAAAAUAAGGAUGAAGGAGAGACAAGGGAAAUUAAAUAAAUUAACAAUAAAGAGUUGGGACGGUGGUUUUGAUGAGUUGCUGGUUAUGGGUUUGUGGAGGAUGAAUGAAAGAGAUGGUAGUGGAAGAUAGUGACAAAAAUAUAGUGUUGAGAGUGUAUGACAAGAUUGUAGAUCUAAUGGUUAAAAAUGACUUUCCUAUGGUGGAAAACAACUUCCUUUUCCCAUGCUAAAUGCCACCACUUCUUUAACAUAUUGCCCCGUCAAAAUAUGGUUCCAUUUUCAUAGAUGUCUAUCAUUCCAUAGAAAAAGAGUGGAAAUAAUAUCAUCAAACACGCUUACAAACGAGAUCAAAAUUUAGAAAACAUUUAAAAAAAAAUAGCAUAGUUUGCAGUUAAUUUAUUUAAAGUUUAAUAAAUAAAAAAGCAGGGCAACUAUGAUUGGCAGUUGGCACGAGACAAGUCCCUUCAGUAGUAGUAGUACUACAGCAUUUGGAAAAAUGAGGGAAGCAAAGGAAUGAGGGAUAGCCAAGAAAGAAGGAAUAAUACUGUAAAGAGAUGACCCCACUCAAAAAAGGUACAUAAUCCAAAGUGGAAGAUGCGUCCACCCAAUUUCAUUUCUAAAACCGUGCGUCCACAGUUACUCUCUCUCAAUCGUUGAUCAACUCGCUCAACUCAGCAUACAAGAUCACAACAACGAGCAUCCAUGGUUUCCGAUUCUCCUCACAAUCUCCAUCGAGUCUCUUUCAUUUCUCUCUAUUUAUUCAAUUCAACUUUCACUAUUCCCUAUCAUAAACACCAAGUUUCAUUUUAACCACAAUUUCACCUAACCGCAAUUUUAUUUGUGAUUGUCGUGUGAGCAAGGAAAAUUCGGUGUCUAUGUGAUUGUUUAUUUUAUUUUAUUAUUAUUAUUUUUAUGGCGGUAACUGUAAUAUUGACAGGAAUUAGUUGAAGAGCCGCCAAAUGAUGAUGUGGGAACCUUGUCCAACAAGAUAAAUCAGUUGAAAAAGCAAAUCCAGGCCGAGAGAAUUCAAUCCAUUAAGGUAAGUUUGUGAUUUCGUUCUUGGAAUGGGUUCAGCUUUCUGUAGUUUGUUUGUUUGUUUGUUUGCUGGCAGGAUGUUUUUGUUUUAUCAUGGCUAAUUGUGGAAACUGGCGUUAGCAUACUGACAUUUAGUGUAUGUUUGGAUUGAUAGUGUGUUUGGCCAAAUCAAAGUGUGACAUCGUGAUUAUGACCAAAGUUACACUUUAGAGCUUCAACAAAAUCAAGAUGUCACAAUUUUUUUGUCAAACUCGUCCUGAUUCCAAACAUUUAAUUAUUAUUCCUUGCAAACUUCAUUUUGUAGAAACACCAGUUCAGCCAUAUAUGUGGAUAACUGGAAUUUAAUAGCUAGAGUUAGGGUGUGUUUGUUUUGGUUUUUUUUUAUUUUUUAUUUUUUAUAAAAGUCGCUUUUGUUAUUUUAAUAGUGUUUGUUACUUUGUUUAUAAUUUUAAAAAAUUCAUUUUUAACUCUAAGAUGAAAAGCUGUUAGGGUUAACUUUCCCUAAAAUCUAUUUUUUUUUCAAACAUGAACAAGCUAAAAAUAAUCUUUUUUUUUUUUUUUUUUAAAAAAAAAGUGAAUUUUAUGGGUAGUAAACAAACAGAAAUAACUUCAGUUUUUUUUUUUUUAAAUCUCUAGAUUUUUUAUAACAGUCUUUUCUUUUUUAAAGCUGAAGGGUGCCACACAAAAUCUAGAGCAUGCUAUAAGGGUGCCACACAAAAUCUUUCGAUUUCUGUUUGCUUCUACAUUGAGCUGAACUGCUAGUUGUUCUGAUCUGUUUUGGUUAUAUGGGUGUCACUUUCGGCAAUGUUUUUUAUUUAGCCGUGUUUAUCGGUUGAACUUUAUGUUAUGACUGUUAAAGUAAACUUAAGUGUCAAUUGAAAAUUCAAGGUUGAGAUAGCUUCUUUUUACACACCAUGCUGGAUGACUUGUGAUUAAUUGUAAUUAUUUUCUGUAGGAAAAACUUCAGAGGAACCAGAAGAAGCUGCAAUGUCAUACUUCAGGAAUAAUGUCAGCAGUAUCAACCAGGGACUCUUCACAAACGGAGGAAAAUACGACACGUUCAAUUCUUUCCUCAAGAAUGGACCGUCCUUUAUGUAAAUUCUAUGGUUUUACCCAGGGUCCAGGAGACAGAAACCAGGGCAAUCAAGACAUGUCAUCUGCUACAAGCAUCAAGAUUCCACGUAUGGAAAGAUUACCACCAUAUACAUCUUGGAUAUUUUUGGACAGGUGUUUUGACUUACAAAUAUUUAAUUUCCUAUGUUGAGUUACUCACUGCUUUAUCCAUUUUAUAAGAGAAAAUGGGAUUUAAACCUUAUUGAUCAAUGAGUAUGCAAGUUCAAUAAUAUAUUUUCUUCUAUUUUAAAAUCUUUCACACGCAUCAGGAAUCAGAGAAUGGCUGACGAUCAAUCAGUCGUUGGAAGAAGACGGAUCUAUUAUGAUCAACGUGGAAGUGAGGCAUUGAUAUGUAGUGACAGUGAGGAAGAAUUAACAGAACCUGACGGAGAAAAACAUGAAUUUUGUGAUGCUGAAGACCGUAUUUUAUGGUAAGUUAGUAUGAAGAUGUAGAAAUGCUACAUUUGCGAAGAAAGAUUCAACGAAACAAGACCAAUCGAUCUGGGUUUCAAUUAUUGUGGUUAGCUAUAUGAAUCAUUGAUUAACAUGUUUAGUUAAUGAGUCAUAUAGAUGCUCUGUUGGCGCAAACACGGAUUUUCUUGCCACGCCUUUGAGAAAUAAGACUUGUAUCACGAGUCAUGACCACACAACUUUUAAUACCAGAUUUUAACUUAUAAACCAUGAAUCCCAACUUCAUUCAAACGUUCAGCAUUUCUUCUUUCUAGAAUUAAUGUCUUGACUAUUGAAUUUCUAGUAUGGCAUUUGAGGAACAUGGGUUAAAUGAGGAGGUUUUGAAUGUUGUUAGCAAGUAUGUUGGGGGCACCAGUUUAGAAAUCCAGGUAAUCCAAAAUAACUUGUGGGAAUGAAUAUAAAAAACAAUAUAUUGCACCAUGGAAAUUUCUUUAUCAGAAACCAUUUUCAUUUCUUCGAGAAAUUGCUUUCAUAAAAAACACAGGAGAGGUACAAAAGCAUCAGAGGAAGUAAUAUUGGUAGGUUGGACCAGCAUCCUAAAAGCUCAGGAGAACAUGAAUUUCCUAUGAGCAUGUAUCUAGAGAAAAACCUGAGUGAUGCAUUAGAUUCUCUUGAUAACCUUUUCUGUCGUCGGUGCCUGGUAUGUACAAAAUCAUCAUUUUUUUAACAUUGUCAUCAUUGUCUUAGUGAAUGCGUACCUUUCUGCUUUCCUGCGGCAGAUUUUUGACUGUCGACUGCAUGGCUGUUCUCAACCUUUGAUAUAUCCCGUAAGGAACAAUGCCCUAAGUUAUUUUCAAAAUUAAUCUAUGUUACUUCAUCAAUAAAUUUAAUUUGAUGUUUAUUUCAGAGUGAAAAAAAGACAGUUUGGUCUGAGCCUGUAGGUGAUAGAAAACCAUGUGGUGAUCAGUGCUACCUUCAGGUAUUCUUCUUUGUUUGAGAUUGCAAGUAUUUUUUAUAUUUGAGGUGGGCGAGAAUUUUUGGGAGAUGAAAAUGGGUUUAUUCAAAUUAUAUAUAUAUUUUUUACUCUGCUGCUAUUUUGUUUAACGUUUUCAUUGACGUUGGAACCAAUAUACAAUAUAAAUGGUGGCUUUUCUAUCUUCUGUUUAUUAAAGAUGGAAUUAAUUCUACGCAAAAAAAAAUUGUAUGAAGCAUGUAGCUUUAACAAAACUUGCUUCCACUUUUCUGUGUGUAUACUAUAUCUUUUGCACCCAGUUACAAGUUCACUUUUUCAGUGCUUCCUUCUUAUAUAUUUGAUACGAAAGUGUGUAGAGUAAAGACUGACUGCUAUUUCAUUUUCAAGCAGUUCAAGGUUGUUAAAAGUUUUUCAAAAGAUUCAACUCCCGGGUCUUUUAGGGAUAAGAAAACUACAAUUGUAGAGGAGACAGAUGGGAUAUUGUCACCAUCCAGUGCAGAAGAACCUGGCAGUCAGAGUACUACACUUCCGACAAGAACUGAUUGUCAUGGAUAUAUCAAUUUAAAUGACCCUGACUCGGAAAACUUGAGUAAACGGAAAGUCACAAAUCAGUCUGACACGGCACAAUGUGACUCAAGAUCGCUUCCUGAUUCUCAGGAUUCUUGUAAAAAGCUGAAAAGAAUCUCAGAUGUAGUUACUGUAAUUACUGAUAAUAGCCAGAGCUUACAUUUGGAUGGACCAAAAGCUGUCACAAAUGUGACAGAACUUAAAAAUUCGUUGAAUUCAAUGGAAGAACAAGUUGAUGGAAUUCUUGGUUUCUCAGAUUGGAAACCUCUAGAGAAAGAGUUAUACUUGAAGGGAGUGGAAAUGUUUGGCAGAAACAGGUAUGUAUCUUUCUGUGUUCACCUCACAGGAUUAUGUUGAGAAAUGCUAGGGUGGCAUCAAAUUUAGUUUGAACUGUGUGGCGACACUUUCUUGUUUACAGUAUAUGUUUUAUGUUUCCCAUUUUGUAAAUAAUAAGGCAGAUUGUUUUUUUUAAUUAAAGUUUUUAUUACUUCUUAUUUUGCUUUGUAUUGGAACUAAUCCUUUAUUUCUCCAUAAAUCCUACAAUUCCGUCCUCUUUUUUAGCUUCAAUUUCAAUUAGUCUUCUUGAAUGCAUGAAUAAUUAUGGGAAAAAAAGGAAAAUAUGUAAACUUUGAAAACUCUUUGUAGUAAACUAUCUGGAAUGUGACCAAUGGUUCAUAAGCGAAUGAAACAAAAGCAUAUUUCAUUUUCUUGUCAUAAAUAUUGUACUCCACGUAGAGGUCUUAAUUUGCUUAAGUGUGUGCUUAUGUCAUGUGCAACUUAUGCUCUGCAGUUGCCUCAUAGCUAGGAACUUACUUUCUGGUUCGAAGACUUGCAUGGAAAUAUCUAGUUAUAUGCACGAUGGAGGCAUGUCAAUGCCCCACAGGUCUAUUAUUUCAGCUGGUUCAAUCAUGGACGACAAAGGAAAAUUUGACACAGAGUGCACGGUAAGAUUACAAGCUUCCAUGUUCCCAUCUUUUACCCUGCAUUCUCAUGUCUUGUUGUCUUGAGUUUUUUUCUGUUAUUUUCUUUUGGGGGUUUGGGGUGAGACUUUCUGAAGACAGAAAAUAAAAUUUUCCAUAUUUUAUUAUGUACGAAAAGGCCUCACUCGGUGAUAUAACACAUAGGGAAAUUGUAUGUCAAUUGUCUGGUUAGGUAUCAAACUUUAAAAAAGAUAAAUUGUUAUUAUGCUUGGGAUGGGAUGGGAACAAUUUUAUUUAAUGGAAAACUGGAAAGAGAUACAGAGAAACGAGCAUAAUGCUCCAAGCUAUGGAGGAUCUCUCUCUUACUUCUUAGGUUAGAGAAAAGCAGAAAAAACUUGUUAAUCCCAUGUAAAUCACUCCAUCCCUUAUACAUCAGAUUCAUCUUUUAUCUUCUCAAACUAACUAACUCUAUUACAUCCCACACUUUAGUUUCUGUACUUUCCAAUCAACCGUAGGUGUAUUAGGCCUUCAAGAAUGCACUCACAAGGCCUUGGGUUAGGGCUUCGGCUAAUGCAGAGGCAUUUUGGUUCUCAAUCCCGUAAUGUUAUCUCUGAUUUUAGAUUUUCCGUCAUUUUAUAUUUAGUUGCAUAAUAAAAAGGGUGUUGUCUGGGUUUUACAUGCAUAGUGACUGAGUUGUAUAUUUGAGCCAAUGUAUAUUUUUUUCUUUUUUCUUACCUCUGGUUUUUUGUAGCAUUGGGAAGAUUCCCUAAUCCUCCUGUUUUGUACAAUGAGUUCUUCAGUUUUGUUUUAACUAUAGAACAUUAUUAUAUCUUUUGCACCCUUUUUCCUCUCAACUUCUAGCAACUUAUACUAGUACGGAGUACCCUACUCUUUACUUGCCACAAAAGUCGUUUUGAAUGUGAAUGUUUGUGCUAGGACCAAGACAUGCCAUCUAGACCGAGGUUGCUGAGAAAAAGAGGCAAAACAAGGAAGUUCAAAUAUUCUUGGAAGUCUGCUGGUCACCCAACAAUAUGGAAAAGAAUUGCUGAUGGCAAAAACCAAUCUUGCAUGCAGUAUACUCCAUGUGGGUGUCAAUCAAUGUGUGGAAAGGAUUGUUCUUGUCUUAAUGGUGGAACAUGCUGUGAAAAAUAUUGUGGGUACGUAGCUUUUCAUUUAAUCGUGUAUCUUAGCAAUGCAAUGAAGGCGAAAAUUGCAUAUUUCAUAAUUCUCAAUGGCCGUGUGUUGGUCGUUUGAAUAAUAUUGUUAGAAAAUUAUGGGCUAUGGAUGAACUUUGACAAGGUUGGUCUGGAUAAGAUGGCCAAGUAUGGUUUUACCUGUUUAGAUAAAAUUUUGAACUAACUGUAAACGAACAUUUAUUUCAAACUGUUAAAAUAAAGCUAUUGACUCAAUGCUUCUUUUCGUGUUCGCAAAGUUUCUAUAGAAUGCUUUUCCAACUUGAUUUGUGAACUAUUAUCCUGACUUAGGUUUCUACAAAACAGGUUUUACCUGUUUAGAUAAGAUUUUGAACUCAUUAAACUAUAAACGAUCAUUUAUUUCAAACUGUCAAAAUAAAGCUAUUGAUUCAAUACUUUUGUUCAUGUUUGCAAAGUUUCUAUACAAUGCUUUUCCAACGUGAUUUUUGAACUAUUAUCCUAAAUUAAGUAAUGUAAGUGUUAACGAAUUAUAAUUUAAAUAUAACAAUUUCUCCUACCUUCAGUUGUUCAAAGAGCUGCAAGAACCGGUUCAGAGGUUGCCAUUGUGCCAAGAGUCAAUGUAGAAGUCGACAAUGCCCAUGUUUUGCUGCUGGACGUGAAUGUGAUCCAGAUGUCUGUCGAAAUUGUUGGGUUAGGUAAUGUACCAAAUAUUUUUACUUUAAACCUGAUGUUAUGCCUCUUCGGUUUUUGAAUUACAUGUCAUGAUUCUAUUACAUCACCUGAUUUAGGGAUUCAUUAUUCAUUAGUAAUAUUUUUACCCCAAUAAUUGGAGAGCAUCUACUGCUUGUUUAGAUAUAUCAUGUCAAUCCUUUGUGGUUUUUCUUAUCUUGCUAACCCCAUUGAAGAUUACUGCACACAUUGCCUGUUAGCCUAUCUUUUUUAUUAAGAUUAUUUUUCAUAUUUUUUUGUUAUUACGAUAAUUUAUUUCCAUAUUUUAUUGAAAUUUGUCUUGUAUUGACUAUUAGUACAAAUAAUGAUCAACAUUUAAUAUUUUUUGUAUCAUCAAAUCAUAAAUAUCAUUAUAUCAAAUUAUAUUCAUAAUUAUAUCCACUUGGGUUGGCUUGGGACCUUGGAGUGUGCUCCUCUCAAGGUCUCUGGUUUGAUUCUCCCCAAUGUCAAUUUCGGUGGGCUAGUUUGGCUUCUUCAAAAAAAAAAAAAAUUAUAUUCGUAAUUCAGAGUCUUUAACAUUUACCUUCCGCUCUUUAUGUAAAACCCUAUAACUUCAAUAUGUUAUCAAUCUAUCAGAGCGGUACCCUCUUCCCUGACCUGUCUUGUAACUAUUUUUAUAUAGAAUUCCCCAAAGUAUGAAACUCCAUUCAGAGUUGGAACUUAAAUCAUAUUAUUAACCAUACUCAAAUUCCAACCAUUUUUCUCUUUCCUACAUUAUGUCUGUCAUCUUUUUAGCGUGUCUUGAAGCGCUCUUCCUCCUCCAUAUCAUCAUUUUGACAUGUUUUGAAGCUCUCCUCUGCCAUUUUAUCCCUGACCUGUCUUAAUUUCGGUUUUGCAUUGGUUUUGUCUCAGUUGUAACCUGACACCAGUUCUGUUUUAGAUAUGGUUUGACACUGGUUUUAUUUUGGUUGCAGUCUGACUUCAAUUUUGUCUCUAUUGCAGUUUAGCAAGACUUUUUCCCCCAAUUGCAGUAUGGCCCUAGCUUUUGUCCCGACUGCAAUUUGUCUCGAUUCAUGUUCCAUACGUGAUCCGGCUCUACCUACUUUGAAUAUCAAAUUACACUACUAGUUUUAUUUUCCCUUUCAAAUGGCAUAUUUAUAACAAGCUUAGUAAGCUUUUAUAUUGAGUGUUAGAAUAUAUAAAAAUAUUUUAUAUUAUCUUUGAUAAUAUCUUUCAUUUUUCGAAAGUAUCUUGAUGUAUUCUUAGGAUUGGUUUAUUUCCCUAAUCAAUUAGGAUAUGUGGUCUUGUAUAAGCAUAGAUAAAGGUUAGUGUUUACUCUUUUUGUAUCAAAUAAUAACUUUCGAAAUAUCAAAUUAUAUUCAUAAUUUAAAGUCUAUUUUUUCUCUUCCCUCGUUAAUCAUGAAAUGAUGAUCUCCACUUCACCUUUAUCUUGUAGUUUGACACCACUUUUGUCUAACUUUUACGAUUUUCUUGGACUUUGAAUUCCACUAUCCACGUUAAAUCAUCGCAAAUGCCUUUAAAGAUCACACUUUUUGUACAGCUGUGGGGAUGGUACACUGGGGGAGCCACAUCGGCGUGGAGAAGGUCAAUGCGGAAAUAUGAGACUUCUUUUAAGGCAACAACAGAGGGUUAGUAGUUCUGAGUUGAUUUAUAAUUAUCUGCACGCCAUCGUCAUAAAUCAAAGUGAUGAGUACCUAAUGCAUGUGAUUUGUCUCGCAUUGUUUUUAUUUUUUUGUCAGAUUAUCUUAGGGAAAUCUGAUGUUUCUGGAUGGGGAGCCUUCUUAAAGGUUAUGAUUAAUGGAUUUCUUUGUUUUCUAAUUACGUUAGCUUCUUCUGCUAACUAACUGAUGAUUACAUUUCAGAAUCCUGUUAACAAAAAUGAUUACCUAGGAGAGUACACAGGUGAACUGAUCUCGCACAGAGAAGCCGAUAAGCGUGGGAAAAUAUAUGAUCGCGCGAAUUCAUCUUUCCUUUUCGAUUUGAAUGAGCAGGUAUGUGUCUCACAUGAUCUGCAUUCUCUUAACUUGAGCUGCUCUUGGUUCGUCAUUGACUUGAGUUCCUUGUAUUUUAUGAGUCUGAUCAUACACUGUUUUGCUGUAUUUCUGUUGGGUUUCGUCAAUCUAUAGUCCCUUCCCUCACAUUUCUUUCUUGGCAAGCUAUAACAUUUGGAUUUCAAACUGAUUAUUUUAGAAUUUAAAUCUGCUUUCUGUUUCUUCACCAGUAUGUUCUUGAUGCUUAUCGUAAAGGAGACAAGUUGAAAUUUGCAAACCACUCAUCAAACCCCAACUGCUAUGCAAAGGUGAGUCCAGAAAAUCAGAUUGUUGGGAGGUUUAAAACUUGUACCCCAUUUAUGUUGUGAAAACAUUUUCUAUUUUCAUUUCCUAAAAUAUGUGUUAGUUUACCUUGUUAACAAGGAGAAAAUAGACUUUUAAAGUGAGUGAUUGCGAUAGAGAGAUGAUAAAAUGUUAGCUAAAGAUGAAGCAUUUUAUGGAAAUGCAAAACAAUUUUUCACUUCAAAGAGUCUCUCUUCCCAUUGUUAACAAGUAAAGUUAUCACAAAUUUAAAAAAAUAAUAAUAAUGUUUUCGCAAAGUAAACGGGUCCUUCCAUUUUGGACUUUGUAGCUUGAACGUGAUCUUUGAACUGUCACAAUGAUUACCCUCUUGCACUGCUGCUAUAGGUUAUGUUGGUUGCUGGAGAUCAUCGAGUUGGCAUAUUCGCCAAGGAACACAUUGAUGCCGGUGAGGAGCUCUUCUAUGAUUAUUGCUAUGGUCCAGAUCAAGCACCUCCAUGGGCUCGGAAACCUGAGGGUUCCAAGAGAGACGAAUCAGCAGUUCCACAAGGUAGAGCAAAGAAACACCAAUCCCAUUGAUGAGCCAUGGCCAAUGUCCAGCUUGUAUAAACUUGUGGCUUCUACCAGUAUAUUCUCAACAGAGACAAACUUGUGACAUCUCAUGGGAAAGACUCGAGCAACUGUCACUGAAAAGGAAACUAAUAAUUAAUUUGUAGAUGCUAAUAUGCCCUAAAUUAUGGGUAGGGUAUAGUUAGAAAAUAAAAUGGGCAAGAGAUGAAGCAGAUCAAUGUUGAGAGCAAUAAGCUAGAAAUUAGGCUAGCAGUUGGUAUCCUGAGUAGAAAAUUUCCUUUUGGAUGCCCUGCACAUAUUAUUCUACAAACAUGUUUGCUUAUUUGGCAUAAUUUUUCAUAAGAUAAAUAUUCCUAAUAGAGAAAUAGAUAAAUCUUUCUUUGAGGGAAUUCCACUCUUAUCCUUCUACAUGAGUCAAUUUUGCUCAUUGCUGAUAGAUAGAAGUAGUGAUAUGACCUCCUCUAAGGGUUUUAUUUUUCAGGAUGAAUUGGAUCAAGGACUUUCUACCGAGGAGUUUGCAAAUUUUGAAACUAGAGAACUAGAUUGGGGGGUUAAUUCCCAAUUACCAAUUCUGCCAAAAGUUGUGUGAGCAGCUACAAUACAAAUAAAAUCAGCGCUGAUUUCCCAAUUUGUUAUUAGAACUUUGAACUCUUUUUAUGAGAAUAAGCGAAAUGCUAACUAAGGGCACAUGUAUGCACUAAUAGAAAUUAUAUAUUGAAAAUUGUGUUAAUUUAUACUUCCUCCGUUCUAUUUUAUAAGCAAAAAAACAUUAAUUCACACUUAUUAAGAAAACUAACACUUAGUGAUUUGAGGUAUAAUUUUUUGUGUUCUCCUUGGAAUAAGUUUCAUGGAAAGAUGUAAAAAUAAUUUUCAUUGGUUAAAAAUUAUGGAGAAAAUAAAAAGGAGAACAAAUUGAAUGCAACUUGCAUUUAAUUUUACAUUGGAAAAAAUGAUUUGUUUGAAAAAACAUAAUAAUAGCAUAAAAGUUGAUCUUUUUUGCUUAUAUUUUGAGACAAAGAAAAUGAGAUUUUUUUGCUUAUAUUUUAGGACGGAGGGAGUAGCUCAAAAUGUUUAAUAUUAAUUCUUUUUCAGUAAGUUCUUACUAUUAAUGGAAUGACAUUAAUGCUUAACAUGUGUCUUAAGGACGCAAGUUAACAUACCCCUUUAAAUAAUAUACACGUAAGGUUUAAUUACAUUUUUUUUUUCCCUAUUUUUACCUGUUCAUAGAAUUGGUCUUCCCUUUUAAAAUCUAAAUUUUGGUUUCUUCUUCAAAUUCCUAAACUCAAAAUAUGGGGACAUAUUCUAAUCACACAGACAUAUGCUUUGACAAUGUAGAAUCAUUCGUAUGAAUUUAACAUGUCAUUAAUUAAAAAUUCAAAAAUGAAUUUUUUUUAAGUUUAAACUGAGUUCCUUAUAAAGUGUCUUUUUUUAGUUCAAACAAAAUUUGAGGGAGGGGCUAAAAUUGAGAGAUUUUAAAAUAGUUGGACUAAAAUUGGGAGAUUUUAAAAUAGACCAAUUUCAUGACUGGCUAGAGAGACAGAAACUACAACUUUUUUUUUUUUGCUGAAUCAUGAUAAAAGGAAGACAUCAGGAGGAAAUUGCAAUAUUAACUAUCAAAAUUAUUAAAAGAUAAGGUAUCAUUAUAUUGAGUGUGUUUUAAUGAUUUAAUUUAUAUGCACCGUCAAUGUAAAAAAUAAAUUAUAUUUUGUAAUUUUUAGAUCAUUAUAAACGUUUGACUUUUUUUCUUAUAUCAUAAUAAUGUUUAAAGUGGUACACAUAAUUGGUUGUGAUGUUUUACAAUGUGCAUGAAAAUUAAAUUCGAUCUAAUUUGAUAUUGUGAUUUGACUGUUUCAAUUAUUAAUUUGUUGUCUAAUUGGAAACCCUACGAUCUGAUUGAUUGAGCAAAAAGGCGAACAAGAGAGUAACGAAGAAGAUAAAUAUGGGAGAGUAAGAACCUCAUUGUUCGGAAUUGGAGCAAAAGAGAAAAUUGGUGGAGUGAUCCUACCACAAACGGAACCAUAAAGGUAAGGUCAUUGGCUUUGGUUAAAUGGGUAGUGAAUCUCUUCCAUCUAUCAAUAAUGUCUUACUUGUUGAAGGAUUAUGACAUAACCUACCAGACAUAGGUCAAUAGGUAACUUUUAUUAAUGUAGUAAUAUGUGAAGAGUGUGGAACAGACUAACAAAAUCGAAGGGAGUGGGAGGUAGUAGAUUAUUUCACGAUGAAAGAAAACAUGUUAUCCUACCAUUGACAUUGAGCAUUAUACCGACAGAGACAAAAACAAGGACUACAGCAUUUAUGAACUUACAGUUACACCAAAUUUCCACCAGAGUUUAUUCUUUCUAGAUAGUAUCAAUAAAUGCUACGAAACCAAACAUAAAAAACCAAAGGAACACCAAAUUUCAACCAAAUCUGUUUAGAUUUAUGGAAAGUGCUAUGAAUUAAAACACAGCCUCAACAAUUGCAUGCUUCUUUUUAGGGUAUCCAAUACCAACCAUAUGGUUUAGGUACACUUUCCCAUCCUUCACAGUAGCUGAUGUAGCCAAACGAUGUUUAGGCCCUGAGAAUUUUGCAACAACAGAAGCUGUAUUCCAUCCAUCUAAACUCUCCACUAAUCUCCCUGAAGGAUUUCCAGCAACUACCACCUUAUUAGGAGACAAUAACUCUAAACCAUCUCCAAAAUAAAGUGGCCCUCCAACAACAUUUAUAAUCUUCACUUCCUCUCCUUUUGUUAAAUCAAUCUUGAACAAAUUACCACUAAAAGUGUGAAUUACUAUUAAGAAUCCAUCUGGGUGGUAAACAAUUCCAUUAAGGCCAACCAAUGUUUUGUGCCACUCUUUUGGAGUGAAUAGUGGGUUUCUAAUGAUUGAUAUAAGGUUUCCACCAACCCCAACUUUCCAUAUUUUACUUGCUUUUACAUCAGUAACAUAUGCAUUGCCUUCUGCAUCAACUGCAACAUCGUCUGCUAAGGCUUUCUCAUCACCUGCAUUGAAUGGGGAACCAAUAUUAAAUAAUUGAGUCAAAAAUUGGAUAGAGUUGUUACAACUUUCAACACUAGCUAGCACAUUUCAAUAUAGCGGCAAAUUUAAUAAUCCCAACAAUAUCACCAUAAAUUAGUAAUUAAUAUCUUUGAACUUCCAAAGUUCAACCAAUAGGUACUACCUCCAAUCCUAUAGUAUAAAGUUUGGUCAACAGAAGAAGUAGAUAUCAACUUCUAUUGACUCAACUUUUUCGUAAAUAAAAUCUAGUUAAGGAUUGUCUUAGUCAGAAUUCAACUCAACUUUUUCAAACCAUAUUUUUUUAAUGUUCCAAUUGUUUUCACAUUUUACCAUAAAAUUUACUAAUUGUCUUUUCCACUACAAUGGUGCUUGAAACGAAAAAGUUACCGAGUAUCAAGAUGUGAAAACUGAGCAAUUAAGGUUGAUUGUCAAAAUUUGGUGAGCAACUCGACAUCUAGAUAUGAGGUAUAACGUGUCUACCUACAGAGUUAUCAUGAAUCAAAACGAAAAAUAAUCCAUCGAUAAAAACAAAGAGAACAAUAAACGUGCAGGUCAUGCAUGGUUGGAAUAAUUAUAUUGAAAUAUUAAAAAUUGUGAAUAAGGACACACAACAAACAUCUAACCUUUGUUCUUCGUAUCCUCGACCUUUACUACGUUCCAAACAUAACAAACCAACCAUGCAUAUACAAUAUUAAAUUUCAAAUAACAAAGAAUAGAUCAAGUGGCCAGUAUCCCAGGGUGCAAGUGAUUGGUGCAUAGAGUGUGUGAACGUUGUAUUGUAUAUCUUGGACAUUGAGCUCGAUUCCAACAAAUAAAAAAGUAAUUUUGUACUACUAUUUUUCUAGUUAACUCUUGUUACGUUGUAGGUAGGAGUAUAACAUCUUUUACUGGACUCAAUCAUGUAACAUGGUCCAUGUAUUAACAUUUUAAACAUUAUAUUAAAUGAUUAGAUCUAUAAACAAAAUUAAACCGUUGAAUGGGUUAAUUUAUUUUUUAUCUCUAUGUAAAACGAUAAUCACCACAUGCUACUUACACACACUUUAAAGUUCUGAAUGUUCAAUAUAACAAUAUUAGCAUUUAUCAAUUGAGCUAUUUAUUCUUAGAGACUUGAAUUAGUUAUUUAUUUCGGUAAGAACUUGAAUUAGUUAUUCCUAACAUAAAAUUAUUAAUAUACUCUCUCUAUCUUUCUUUUUUUUUUUUAGCAAAAUACUCUGUCUAUGUAUUAAAUUAUAAGUCAUUUGACAAUUCCAAACGUAUUAAUAAAAUAUAGUUAAUUUCUUUUUUAAAAAAUUAAUACAAAAUUUAGUGAAUUGAAAAUAAGAGAGGGUAAAAGUUAAACUAAUACAAAAUACAAAUGCAUGAUGACAUUGAAAUAUUUGAUGAUAGUUAAAUACGUAUACCAACUAAACUCUCCAUUACAUCAAGUUUGUUUUAUAAAUUGGGACGGAAGAGUAAUUAACAAACAUAUUUCCCUAAAAACAUGAAUAUAUUCGGAUUUACGCACUCACGUACACGAGUUUAUGAAUAUGAUAGAAAAUCGAAUCAAAAAAAAAAAAAAAGGAAAAAAGAACAUGAACAUGAAGAAAUAAUAAUAGUAAAAUAAAGAAGAAAAAUACUUACUAGGACCCGAGAGUUGAGUAAGAAAGAGGCGUUUCCACGUAGAAAGAUCAUAAGCAACAAGCGCACUGUAACGAUUUCCUCUAACAUCAGCGUUUACAACCAAAAUCCGAUUCCGACUCCGGUCAAUCGUCAUCCCCAACGACGCAUUACCGGCCAACUCCGUUUCUUUCAGAACAGUCGCUUCCUCAAACACUGUUCCAGCUUCUGAUUCCUUCUCCGGCACAGAAAUUUGACCGAUACCACCUUCAAAGAAAGAGUUUAUGAAACGGUGGUUAUCGGAAUCCCACUUUGCACAUUCUCUGAAAAAGCCUUUGCUGUGAUAGUGGUAAACGUGAGUUGAGGGUUGAGUUCGUUCGAGAGAUAUGAUUAUGCCGAUGGGUAUGGCUGUGAGAAGGAAGAGAAUGGCGAGGAAUUUUGGAGAACAGAGACAUGAACAAGCCAUGAGAGAGAGAGAGAGUUUGGGUUUUUGUGAAAAAAGAUUUCCAAGAGAAAAAUGAAAAUGGGUAUUCGAUCCUUGUUAGGUGGCAAUUGAGUAUGGAAUUGUUUAAAUAAAUAGACCCCACUACCCAUACAUGUUUGAAAGUCGUGAUACUCUUGUGAGCAUGUUCCUCGUGUGACAUUUACACUAUUUUUGGUUUGAGAGAAAUUGUGAAGUGAUAAAUAGGUGAGAGAGAGUAUGGAAAGAGAGAAAGAGGUGAGAAAUAGAAUAGAUUUAAGGUAUUGUUUGGUAUAAAAGAAUAAGAAGAGAAAUAGAAAAGAGAAAAGUGUAUUAAUUUUUUAAAAGUACAAGAAUACCCUUAAAUAAAAAAAGAACAGUCAAAUUUAUUUUUAUCAUUAUUCAAUUAUUUAAUUACAUAAUCAAUUAUUUUUAUCUGCAACUAGACUUAUAAAAAAAAGUUACUAACCCAUUUAUUUUCUUAAAUGCAAAAUACAUUGUAAUAUUAAGAUGAAAAAAAACGUUACAAAAAGUGAGGACUCGUGAUAAAACGAGGGUAAAAGUGAAAGUUUGAGAAAAAAGUGUGUUAUUCUUCCACUUUCUUCGCAGGCCAGAGGAGAAAUUAAAAGUAAUUGGACCCUACCAGUUUUUAUCUCUCUUUCCUUUUUCUAUGUUAAACCAAACAGGAUAACAUUGUUGUCUCUCUUUUAUUUCUCUCUCUCCUAUUUCUCUCUUUGCAAGUUCCUCUUGCUGGGAAGAAUCGAACCUGAGACCUUGAGGAGGAGCACACUCCCAAGUCAAUACCUUUAGUGUGACAUUUAGAUCUAUUUUCAACAACAAAUAAAACACAUCCAAUUUAAAGACUUGUAAUUAAAAUAAAAUUAUUUUAGACAUAUGCUCCCUCUGUUUUAAACAUAUGGUCGCUUUAGAAAAAAAAAUUGUUUUAAAAUGAAUGUCACUUUCAGUAUCCAAUGCAAUAAUAUUUUUUCUUUAAUGAAAAAAAAUCAAUGGUUAAUUAUGGUAAUUUGGUAAAAUAAUAUCUCUCUUUCUUUUAAUUAUACAUUUCUUAAUAGGUGUGUGAAAACAUUAAACGACAUUUAUUUUAAAACGGAUUGAGUACUUUUUUUAAAAAAAAAAAAUUUUUUGAAGGAAAAAAAAUAAUUAUUUUAUACAUAUAUGUCAGUUUAAUAAAUAUGGAUAUACGUUAAUUAUCAUAUUCAUUGAUUUGUGUGUAAAAUAUUUUUUUUAAAAGAAUGUGAAAUCCAAACUCUUAUACAAUUCUCUUAAAAAAAAAUCACCAUAGAUAGGCAGAACUAGCCUUACAAAUGCAUCACAAUUAAAGUUAAAUAAAUGAGAAAUAUUAGAAACAUGCAUUUUAACACACACUUUUCAAUACAUUCUUUUUUAUUAAUUAAAAUUUAUACGAGUCUCACCAAAUUAUAUGGGUCCGAUAUAAUUUUGAUGGGUUCCAUAUGAAUUCUAACAAAUCAAAGAGAGUGUGUUAAAAAGUGUGUGUUAGAAUAUGUUGCUAACAUUUCUCUAAAUAUUAUAAUAUUGCUCAAAAAGUUUUUCAUACACAAUAGAAGCUUCCUUAACCACCUUUUAUAAAGCCUUUCCCCACAUAUAACUUCCUCAUAUUUUUUUUAAGAGCAAAAAUAAGAUUUGUGAAGAACAUUUAUGAGCACAAGAAAUGUUAAAAAAAUGUCCAAAAAUAACAAGAAUGUGUUUAGAGGACAUAACCCCUUACCAACAUCAAAUACAACAACAAGAAAGCCAUAGAACUUCUAUAAGAAUAUAAAAACUCGAACACCAAUAAACCACUAAUAGCCCCCAAUUCAAACAAGAUACCAAAAUAUGCUAAGAAAUUGAAAAAAAGAGUCAUUAGGAUUUCGCUCCAAAUCAUUAUAACAUCCUCGUGUAAUAUUACCCCACAUAAAACCUAUGCAGCCACAAGCUAGAAAAAAAAAAACAGGCUAAACUUUCCUAUUAAAUACACUCCAAAGACAAAGUAAACCUGUGAAGCUCCGAUACUUUAAAAUGGAUGACGUACCGUAUCCCCUGCGUAUCCUGCACCGAUAUCUGCCCAAUACUUCUCGAUACGUAUCCGAAGAAUAUCCAAAUAUUAAAUUUUAUUUUUUUAAAAAAUAAUUAUACGAUACUUUCCGAUACAUCCCGAUACGCACGGAUACUUGUGUUUUUUAUAUUAUUUUGAUUUUUUUUUAUAAAAAAUAAGAAUAGAAACAUUAUAUUACUAUAAUAUAUAAUAUACAUACAUUUCCUUUAUCUUUCUUUGGUGCCAGUACGACCCACACCACACAACCAAUUGCAUUUUUCUCUUUCUCUUAAUCGUCAAUAUUAUAUUUAUAUUAAUGUGCUACGAGCAUGGUUUCUUGUGUUUGUUAAUAUACUUGCAUAUUAAAAAAAUGGUUAUAAUUAUAUAGUACAUUUAAUUAUAUAAUUUUUUUUUUUAUUAACGUAUCCCAGCCGUAUCGUAUCUUAAUUUUUGAAAAUUUUCCGUAUCGUACCCGUAUCGUAUCUCGUAUCUGGACUUCACAGAAGUAAAUACUUUUCAGCUUUCAAACUAUUUCAAAUACAUGUUUGAAAGUCGUUUUCGCUCCAAAUCAUUAUAACUUCCUCGUGUAAUAUUAACCCACAUAAAACUUACGCAGCCAAAGCUAGAAAAAAAAAAACAAGCUAAACUUUCCUAUUAAAUACACUCCAAAGACAAAGUAAACACUUUUCAACUUUUAAACUAUUUUAAUUACAUGUUUGAAAGUCGUGAUACUCUCUUAAGCAUUCCUCGUGUGACAUUUAGAUCUAUUUUGAAACAAAAAACACAUUUAAUUAAAAUAAAAUUAUUUUAUACAUAUAUAUGUCAUUAUUAUCGUAUUCAUUGAUUAAUGUGCAAAAUAUAUUUUUUUAAAGAAUGUGUGAAAUAAUUGUAUAUUGAAAUUUUUUUUGAAUAAAUUAUACAUUGAAGAUAAAAUUAAGAGGUAAUAGUCUUUUAAAAUAUCCUCUGUACACUACGUUAGUUAAAACAAUCUCUUGCAUUAAAAUAUUUCAUUAAUAAUUAUCAUAUUAGUUCAUGAGUGUACUUUUUUUUUUUUUAGAGUCAUGAGUGUACUUAUUUAUUAUCAUAUUAAUCUCUAUAAAUAUUACAUAUUCUCAUAUCACUCUCUAUAUAUUAGUUCAUCUUCCGGUGUUGGAACCCAAAACCAAAAGAUUGCUUAUUGCGGUAACAAUGAGGUCCGGUGCUGCUGUUUUGAUAUGGAAUGGCCUGCUACGGUUUUCUUUUUCUGCUGGAUGCCAUCUUAGUGUGGUUGGCUGUUUUGAUAGGUGGCAGCUGUGUAGAGAUUGGUUAUAAUAGUGGGCUUAGGGGAUUGUUUUGCUUUUGUUUUUGGAUGGUGUAAUAAUAAUAGGAGUAUUACUAUUUCCAUCUUAUAGCAUUCUCGCGUGCCCUACGUUUUUUACAAAAAUGUCUUUGAGGUUUCCGGAUUUUAUAAUUCGGAAUGGUAUUUUCCUUUGUUAAAAGUGAAAAAUGAGUUACGGAUUUUUCCAGAUUUUGUAAUCCAAAAAUAGGGCGCGUUACAUGAUUUUUUCAGAUUACAUAAUCCGAAAACUCCCUAAACACUCUUUUUUUCAUGGUGUUGAUGCAAUUCGGAUUACGUAAUCCAGACAGCAGCAUCACUUGUGUAAACAGAGGGUGUGAUGGCUGGAGCUAAGGCAGCUGUUGUUGCUACUGUUGCCACUGUCAUUCCAACUGUAACCACUCCUUCCAAUUGCAUUUCUUUCUAGAAGUAUUGAGUCCUUAAAAGUUCUGCAAAAAUUAAAAUGCGUCUAGAAGCCAUUAAAAUUAUACGUAAAGAAGUGUUGGAUUUAAACUUGUAUUGUCCCCUUUACCACUUUGUAGCACAUUAUUCUGUUUUUUUUUUCCUUCCUUUUUUACUGUUGUAUAUAUUCUGCUCUAAUCUUUCUUUCUCUUUGUUGCUUCCUAAAUCUUUCUUCCAAUCCCUGUUAAAUGAUCCAUGUUAUUGAUAAACAAAAGACAAAGUAAAGCAUCAUUACAUGAGCAAAACUCAUCUUUAAAAUGGUGAUAACGGUUUGUAUCUCUUGCAAUUUUUUCAUGGUGCUGAUGCAAUUCGGAUUACGUAAUCCAAACUGUAAAUGGACAUUUUUAAAAAUUUUACAGAGCGCGCGAAAAAUCAACAAGGUGGAAAAAGUAACACUCUAAUAACAGUGGGGGGCGGUUACUGUCAUGCUCUUUGGGUUCUGUUUUGUUUUGGUGGUUUUGUAAUUUUACUUCUGUGCAAGCUAUGUGUUUCUUCAAUUAUAUUCACAGGCUUAACUUAAUAAAUUUGCUGUUUAAAAAAAAAAAAGUCGCUAUAUUAAAAUAGUUAAUAUCAGCAUUGAAUGACUAUUUUAACUAAUGAAAUGCAGAUAUUAUUUUAAAAUUUUGAUACAUUGAAGAAUUAUUGCGACUACUUGUUAUUAAAUUAGAGAGCAAAAUAACUCUACAUGUUUAAAUUUUAAGAUUAUACAUGUAAUUUAGCAAAUAAAAUUAUUCAAUUGUUUUUAAUAAAAAAAAAAUUAUAAUAGAAUAAACCAGCCUUAUUACAUUUAUUUUAGUUUUUGAUAACAAAAACAAGAUUUAUAGUCUUUUAGUUUUAUCAAUUACACUGUAUUGGUACACGCAAAACUGGGGAAAAUAUUAAUACAAAAUUCAGGUUGAAUUAUUUAUUUGAUUACCAUAAUAAUGUUUUGAAUAAUAUUAAAUAAUUUUAUUUUUAUUUCAAUUAAUGACUACCAUUUAAAUUUCAUAAAAAAAUUAUUUAUACUUCUUAAUCAUACAGAUAUAUACUCUCUUUUUUUUAAAUAUAGAAAUAUACAUAUAAAAUGGUUUGAUCCAAUGUAUAUCUACGUUGCAAAUCUAUAUCAAUUCUUAAGGAAGUUUUUAUUACUAAAAAUGUUCUAAAAUAUAAUUGUUUGGAAGGGAAGUUUACUGGAUAUGUUUGGGUGGAGGAAUUUGAAGAGUUGUGUAUAAAUUUUUAUAUUUAUUUAAGAUUUUAAAAAAAAAUUAAGUAUAAAAAAACGGUUUAUUUGCUUUAGAAAAACAUUUAUAGUUUUAUUUGUACCACUCUCGAAAAUUUAAGUUAACCAAAUAUAUGGUCUAUGAAACCACAUUUUUUUCAGCUGCGUGACCACUAUUUAGAAACUGAAAAAAAUAUAGUCACGCAACUAAAAUGCGUCUGACCACUAUUUUUCUACUUAGUUAACCAAAUAAAUUUUGGAGAAAUAGUGGUCAAGCAACUAAAAAAAUAUGGUCACAUAUACCAUACAUUUUGUUAACUGAAAUUUUUCAGAGUGAUACAAAGAGGUGUAUACUUUAAGGUUGUCUAUCUAUCAUUACUCUAGAUAAAAACAAGUCAUCUUUUCUCCUUGUCCCCGUAAUUAUUAAUUCAAGCGUACAUUAAAGGUUAAAUAUUCUUCUACAAAAAUAAAAUACAAAAUUAAAGGUUAAAUAUAUUUUUAGUUACUAAAAUAUAUGUAUUGUAUAAAUUUAGUUUAUGCAAUUUUUGUCGAAGUUUGAUUUCCCACUUAUUUCUUGUUUUCAAAUAUGGCCCGUUUUUGUUUAUGCUAAAUGAAUUAUGGGUGUAAAUGGAUCGAGUAAAUUCAAUGAACGUAAUUUUUUUUUAACUAAACUGAAAUUUAUGUGUUUAUUUCUCGCGAAAACCAAUUUGUGACGCACCCAUUCUCGCAAAAAUGAAACACUAACCCAUUACUCCUAGAACACUAUAUAGGAAAAGGGGCUGAGAGAAGGGGGACUUUGCAAACCAAAAAAAAAAAUAUAUAUAUAUAUGAAAGUUGUCCAUAUAAGGUUGCACAACUAGCGAUGAUGGUGAUCUAUAUCAAAAGUUGAUAAAGAGUCGACGAUAAAAUUGGUCUUGCAAUCUAUACAAAUCUACUUUACGAAUAUCUUCCUUCUUCCCUUGGAUGAUAUUGAAAUUUUCAUGCAUUCCUUUUUGGGGGCGACAAAUCUAAUGAUAGUAAAGGCAUUAGAUGGAUGUCUUGGGAUCACAUGGAGGAAUGGGUUUUUGCAAUUUAUACACUUCCAACCUAUCUUUGUUGGGAAACCAAGGAUGGCGCAUAAUGACUCAAUCAGACACAUGUUCAUGGCUAAGAUUUUCAAUGCUCGUUACUUUCCUUAAAAAAAAUUCCAAAUGCCUCGAAGGGGUGUAAUGCAAUUAUUGUUGGGAGGAAUCUUUAUUGAAGCAUUCCGAUUAUGAGAAAACGAGUCCGCGAUAAAGUGAAAAUUUUUCACGAUUAUUUCACUCCCGAAACUAUCUUAGUUCAACCAGCCUCGUAUGCUAAUGUCAAUAGUGAGGUGACGAUGCAAGAUUGAGAACAGAAGAUGAAAUUUGAAUGUUAUCCCUAAGUUGGUGGAACCAUAGUCCAUAAUGUCAAUUAUUAAUAGACUUAUGUUGGAAGUGGUUCAGGAAGACGAUGCAUCUUGGAGAACAAACUCGUGUCGAUAGUAUACGGUCUGAUCAGCAUAUCAUUUUGAUCAUAUCAUUUAUGUUUGGAUGAAGUGUUGGAUACUAGUUAGUUGACGGUAGUUAAAUGACAUUUGAUGUGGUGUGGAUGGGGGCUAGAAAUUGUUUCCGGGUUCAAGCUCGCUUGAGUAGCAAAUGUACCGCGGUUGGUACUCAAUAUUUGUGGUGUGAGGAGCAAUCUGAGACCAUUUAUCACAUAUUUCGUUACUAGCUCAUGUGUGAUACAAUCCGAGCUUGUGAUGGUUUUAAGGGAAUCAGAUUCCUUGCUGUUACAGCAGGGUGAUGUAAAUGAUCCAGGCCAUUCAAUUUUAAAUUGAUGGCUGAGAUUAUUUUACUGUGUGAAACUGUGAUUAAAUCUGGACCGACGGAUCUCAUAUUUACGGCUGAGAUGUGCUACAGCGUGCAACUGCGUGUAAAUUUACAGCAGCAAAUCCUAAUCCCAGUUUUAAGGAGGUCAUGUUCUAUCUUUUUGAGGUUUUUUCAUCAGAGAAUGAGGAAGUGUUGCUUGUGUUUAUAUGGAGUAUUUGGAAGAGCAGAAGUGCGACAACGUGGGAAAUCAAACGGAUAGACCAGCUGAAUUUGUUCAUUGCAGCAGAAUGUUUGUUGGAGGAGUUGCUACAAGCUUGUGAUACAUGUUUGCAUUGGACUAGUUCUAGUAAGAUUGUGAUUCGAAAAACCCACCUCAUUCUAGAGUUGUUGAUCGCACUGAGCUUGGCAACAUUCUUAAUAAGUAGAUUUAUCUUUACUUCUCAUUUUAACAAUCUUAUGUGAAGUAAUUUUCACCUUUAUUAUGAUAUUCCAGCAUGUAUUAUGUUUUAAUUUUCAAUGAGAUGGAUUAGCCAUUUAUCGUGUGUCUGUCAAAUGGACCCUUUAUUUUAUUUUUUACGAUUAAAAUGGACCUACUUGAUACACCACAUUCAAUUCAAUUGUGUAAGAAAGAAAUAAAUAAAGGAAUGAAACUCGAGUACACUACCGCGAGGAACACGUUACACGCAGUAAGAGGGGAACCAACCAAAGUACUAACAAAUUUUCAUUUCCUGAGUCUAUUAACUCUAUUGUUUAUUAGUAUUUACACAUCACACCAUGCACAAAGGAAAUAAUAUACACCAUUCUCUGUACGACAUUGCAAUUACAAAUAACUUAAAAAUAAGCACAAUCACUUGCAAAACAUAGGACAUUUAUAUCUUUAAAACAAUGAAGCAAAAGAAAUGACAAUCUCCUGCUUCUACUUAGCAUUAAAAUGACAACAAUUAUGUUUGGAGCUCAACCAAGCCGGUACACAUAAAUAAAAACUCAGCUUCCCAAAAAAAAAAAAACUCAGUUUAAAAAGUUUAGUAAUCAUCAUAUACAUCUUGAUAUUUAGCUUUUUAAUUAAACUUUAUUUUAGAAUUUUAAGAUUUUAAUUAAACAUUUUUCCAACCAUAAUUUAUUUGGUUGAACAGAGAAUUUUAAAGUUGUACCAUUACCGAUACAAGCGACGAGGUGGAAAUUAAGGUGUCCAGUCUUUUCGUUUUUUUUUUUUUUGUAUAAAAAUAUUAAAGUUGUAAAGUUGAGACGUUUAAAGUAAUUUAAAGGAGUGUUAUAUAUGUUUUCGUUCCGUAUAAAUAUUUCGAUUUUUGUUUUAGCUUUUUAAAAAAAUUUCUGAGUUUUAGUCCUUCAAACGUUUUCUAUCACCAUUUUUUUUUUUUUUUUAAGUCAAUUUAUAUGUAUUAUUUGAAAUUUUAUUUGUAUUCAUGUGUAGUACAUUAUAAAAUUCUCUCUUGCAAGAAUUUAAUAUUUUUUAACAAUUGAUGAAUUAAAUUUAAAUUUUUACAUUUUGUUUUUAUGCUUAAAAAUUCAUACUUAGAUCAUAUUUUAUUAGAAAUUAUAAUUUAUGUCAGAAGAGACACUCAUAAUCUUAUAAACAUUCCUUAAAAAAUAUAAAGGAUGCAUAUACCUAAAAUAUGAGCAUAAUACUUUAUGAGAACUAAAAUUCAAAGAAAAAUGUAAGAAAGAUUAAAACGAAACAUUUAAAUAUUUAUAAAGAACGAAAACAUAUUUAACCCUUUCAAGAAUUAGACAUACCUUUGGACAACAUUGGAAAAUAUGAGAGAAAGAGGGUGUAUUAAUAAAUAUGUGUAGUGCGAAUAGAAGAAGUUUAGAGCAAACCUAUCUUAGUUUGGGCUGACGAGAAUCUUCGGCCUGUAUUUUGCAUACUAGGUGGGUGGAUUGCUGUGUCCGAAAUCCUGUCGACAGCUUCGUCUUCGUGUGUGCCUCUCUCUCUCUCUCUGGUGAGUUCUCUUCUCUCUCCUUUUUCAAUCUUAUUACGAUCUUCAAACCCUAGCAUCCUAAUACCGUUUUUAUUGUUCAUAAUGUUGAUUUCUUUGAUUUAAUUGCAAUUUUGUGAAGAAAAAAAAUGAUUAAUUAGGGUCAGAUUCGAAUUGAAUUUUUCUCUUUGAAUAGUGAAAUUUAAUUUUUAAUUACAAAACAUUAAAUACUUGACCCCAUUCACGAUUUAUAUCUAGCUUCAAAUGUUUGUCAGAUCAAGUUCUAGACAACUAUCAUGAUCGAAUCUGGUGAUGAAGAAGUCUUAGAAAUGUUUUACUCUCACGUGUUUAUAGGGAAACAAUUUUUGUGUUAGUUUUCUAUUUAGGUUUUGGGUUGUAUGUGCUGCGUCUUCUGUAAAUUUAGUAGUCUAGAAGAAUAAGAAGCUACUCACGACACCUAGACAUAUGAUUGAUUACAUUGAAUUAUGUCAUUUUCAAACUUAUUAUUGGCGUCGACGUGUCCGGGUCAUGUCUGAGUCUGCUUGAUAGCUUAAGGUUAUGUGCAGUUCUUAAGAAAAUGAUUGAGUGAACCAAUUUCUCUUAUAAACUAAGCUCAUUCUUAGCAGGCUAGAUACAAUAUAUAAGUGUAUAUGAGUGGAAAAAUUUAAUCAAUGCUUCAUUGGCAUUCUAAAAUGGCAAGUAACAUGCCACAAACAAAUAUUCCAAUCAUGACAUUUAAUAUGAGAUGGAAAGAGUAUACAGACAUUAUACUGCAUGCUUUUGAGAAUGUGUAGAGCUAAUAUUUAUCGCCCAGUUUCAUUUCAAUGAGAAUGCAACUUGUAGCAUGUUUUAUUUGUUUGGUGGGCUAACAAGAUCUGCUAAGGGUUUGUUGAGCUGAUUGGUAAAUGAAUUCACAGUGACAAUGGCUCCCUUGUGUUUUCUACCUUUUUUUGAUCCAAGAGAAUGUUUGAAAAAAUGGAAUGUCACUUCUCCUGUCUUUCCCUUUGCUUUAUGUUUCCUUUCAUUCUCUUGUGUUCAACACACUGUCAGAUCAGAUUCGUUAUUUAGAUUGUUCAGUCUAUCUUGAACUCUAUUCAUUUUUUGUAUAUUUGUUUGUAACUUGCAGUAAUUACAACCUUCAAGACAAAGAAGAAAAUGUCUGGUCCUAGGAUUGCUCACGCUACCUUGAAGGGUCCAAGUGUCGUUAAGGAGAUAAUAAUUGGAAUCACACUUGGUUUAGUUGCUGGUGGUGUAUGGAAGAUGCAUCAUUGGAAUGAACAGAGAAAAACCAGGACCUUUUACGAUUUACUCGAAAAGGGUGAGAUUAGUGUUGUUGUAGAUGAAGAGUAAAAUGAUGUUGCGAUGCUUUCCUUCUGUAGACUGAACUCUAUUCAAGCCUUUUGUUUGUUGCUAUAUUCAAUUGGCUCGUGUAAAUGAGCCGAGCUACUUAUACAUUGCAAAUAAUAAGUUCUUGCUCUGAUUUUGGAUUAUGUUGUCUUGUAGAAAUUUCAUGAAGCAAUGUUAUAUUACAUGUUUGUGUUAUUUCAGCAGUAUUGAUAUUGGUAGCUUGUUUUUUUUGCAAUUACACUAGUCGUCUCUGUGUGUCUGAAUGAUGGGAAUAUAUAUAAUAAUUACUAUUAAGACUGUUAGGAUGAGUGUGUAUUAUUAGGAUGAGUGUGUAUUAUUAGGAUGGGCUUGUUGCAGUAUUAGAAUUAAUGUGUAUUGGGUCAGCAUGUUAUAUCACCACAUGACAAAUAUUAAGAGACUGUUGCUGACAUAUAAUCUUUGGUAACCUUUUCAUCUAAUCCAUAAAUUUCAAAUUAUACAACUUUACAAGUGUAGAGUUUAGUACUAGGAGGGAAGAAUACUGCUGAGCACUGCCUGGAACAUUUGAAUAUGCAUAUGUUCGCCUGGGGUGGUGGGAUACUAGGACGGAAAAAUACUGAUAAACACUGCCUGAAAUAUUUGAACAUGCAUAUGUUCGCCCGGGAUGGUGGGAUGUCUCGCCAGGAUUAGUCGGUCCUUAGGCUGGAUACCUCACUUAGGAUGUAAAAAAAUCCUUCCCAAUUGUGGUGUAUCCUCCUUUCUUUUGGGUCAUGCUAACCAUUGUUUGUGCAAAAAGAAAAGGCAAUCGGCUGAUAGGGAUGGAAAAUAAAUAGCAGAAGGUUACCCAAAUUGUUACGAUAUUUGACCAGCUACUUCUGGGACAAUAUUUCAAUGCUUUGUUUUGGUGUUGGGGAAUAUUAAGGAUAUGAUAAAGCUAUUCCUACCCCUUCAACAAACGGUUAGGAUUUUAGGACAGUUGGGCUAUGAAAUGUUAUUAGAUUUUCCUUGAAUCAGUGAUCAAGAGUUUAUUCUUACUAUUUCCAUUUUUCUCAAGUCCAACCACCCUACCCUGACAUUGAAACAAAGUGGGAGUUUAACCACCCUUGCUACUCCCUCAUUCAAGUCUCAACUCCCAAAGUCUUCGAAUGUUUCUUUCUAUCUUCAAAAAUUCUCUAAGGUGUUGUUUGGGAGUUUGGAAGGGAGGGGCUGACUUUGAGGGGUCGGAAAUAUAAGAAAAAUGAAGAAGUCUUUCACAUUUUUUGAAAGAGUAUUUUUUUUAAAAAUGAUAAAUUACUGCUUAUGAUUAAUAUAUUUUUUAAUCUUAAUUAUAUGAUACCAGCCUAAAUUGAAUUUGAAUAAUUAAUAUAAACCAUCCAAAAUCAUCUUUUAAGCCAAUUGAGUUUCCCCCAAAUUACGAAGGUUUUGUAGUCCGAAGAAAAAUAAACCCCCUAAUUCUUCCUCUUUUAAAGUCUUCUAUUUCUUCCAUUUGAUCAUGUUUUUUUCCAAAGCACUUCCCUCAUUUUCCCGUCAACCUUCCCGCCAUAGCCUAGGGUGCUCCUUCACUCGUAUUUAUUGUGACCCCUCUCACUUAAGUUUGAUUUACUGUUUUGUGAAUGGGAUAUUUUUGCUACCUCUAUGGCAGGAAAGGUCAGCCUUAUGUCUGAUAACCCUUCAGUUUGCUUAUUUAUCAACCAAUUUAUAACCUACAUAUUAUUUAGUAGCCUUUUCUUGUUAGGAAUACAAUGAAGUACAAAAAUUGUUUCCCAUUAGUUUAUGUUUUUACAAAAAUUGUUGCCAACUUGGGGACAUGACUUUGUUCUCUACAUUUACGUAUAAUUUAACAAGGUUACAGGAGAUUGAGUUGAGGCUUUCAAUACGUGGUUCUUAAUUUGAAUGUGUAGAAAGCUUAUGAAAGGAUUGUCUGUCCUAGAAGAACCAGUGAGUAGAUAAGAACUCUCGUUUGGUUAUUUGAUGACCCUUUUCGGUUAUGUAAUUCAAGUGAGUUUUGUGGAUUAAUUCUCAAGCCGUGAGUGGUAAACUCCUGCGGCAUGCUUCUUAACAUUAGUACAGUCUCAGGCCAAUAACUUUUGCCUUGUUGCCCAAUGUUUACAGAUUGAAGUUAACGAAUAGAUACGCAACAAUUUGAGAUGAUAUAUUUUGUUUGUAUUGUAUUAUUCUAUGACAAAUAUCAGAACAUCUGGUUGGCUAAAAUAAGAGACCGUAUUAAUAGACGGCUGAUAUUUUCACUUCCAAACAAACAUUUUUCUUUAAGACUACCAAAAUAUCAAGAUUUUAUUAUGACUAUUAAACUAAUGAUACAAAAUAUACAAGAAUAUUUGCAUGACUAAAUUCAAGUGAGCUAGAAAGGUUUCUAACAAAAAUGAAAUUUCUCUUGAAAUAAUUAGAAAGUAAUAAAAAUAAUAUCUUAAGAUGGGUCCAACGUGGAAGAUAACAAGAGGUUGUGAAAAGAUAAGAAGUAUGCGUCCAGAAAUAUUCACCAACAUUGGUUAUAUAUCCCGCCAUUACAUUCCCUAACCCCAUUAAAUUAAACCUCAUCUUUAUCACACCAACAAAAAAAAAAAAAAACAAUAGCUGCAGUUAUGGCAGCAACAAUGGCUGGUGUGAGUCUUUCAAGCCCUAGAGUAAUUUUCAAGGGACCAGAGUCUCUUCAAAAGUCUCAGGCCAUCAGGUCCGGACCGGUGUUCAUGCUCAACCAAAGAUGGACCGGUGCAGUCAGUUCCGGUAGGAUGGUAAGCAUUCGACCAGUGCAAGCAUCACCGGACAUAACCGGGAAGGUGGAAGAGAGCAUAAAGAGUGCGGAAGAGGCGUGUGCAGGAGACGCCACUAGCGGUGAAUGUGUGGCGGCGUGGGAUGAGGUGGAGGAAUUGAGUGCAGCGGCAAGCCAUGCAAG
rnacentral:lncRNA from 1 species